GAGGGGUUCUCAAAGGAAAAAAAACUCAAAAAUCUUUUACGGAUGGAGUACCAACAUAUACAGUAUACAAAUAAAUAGCUAGUGCAUGUAUUAACCGCAAAGAGACGAAAACAGCCUCCAAAGCCAGUGACCCCAUGACAUCACUGACAGUGGGACCCGGAACGCCACUGACACAUUAUUGAAGCCAACUGAGAACGACACACAUACGACUGCUAGCUAGACCAUGUACGCAGCUACGUGACGUACAUUGCGCACCCACGCGACGACGAUCAACCACUCACGAAAUACGCCCACACAUACGGAUCCAAUAAUAAACGAACUAAGGUACCGUGCCAUGGCAAUGCCACGGCACGCGCACGGCGAAGCCAGGCAAAGGCUAGCUCAGGAGCACGAUCGCACCCGCGCGCAUCAACUCACUCGGCGGCCUUGUCGGCGGCGGCGGCAGCCUGAGCAGCUGGUGCCUCUGCCGGCACCGCCUCGGCNNNNNNNNNNNNNNNNNNNNNNNNNNNNNNNNNNNNNNNNNNNNNNNNNNNNNNNNNNNNNNNNNNNNNNNNNNNNNNNNNNNNNNNNNNNNNNNNNNNNNNNNNNNNNNNNNNNNNNNNNNNNNNNNNNNNNNNNNNNNNNNNNNNNNNNNNNNNNNNNNNNNNNNNNNNNNNNNNNNNNNNNNNNNNNNNNNNNNNNNNNNNNNNNNNNNNNNNNNNNNNNNNNNNNNNNNNNNNNNNNNNNNNNNNNNNNNNNNNNNNNNNNNNNNNNNNNNNNNNNNNNNNNNNNNNNNNNNNNNNNNNNNNNNNNNNNNNNNNNNNNNNNNNNNNNNNNNNNNNNNNNNNNNNNNNNNNNNNNNNNNNNNNNNNNNNNNNNNNNNNNNNNNNNNNNNNNNNNNNNNNNNNNNNNNNNNNNNNNNNNNNNNNNNNNNNNNNNNNNNNNNNNNNNNNNNNNNNNNNNNNNNNNNNNNNNNNNNNNNNNNNNNNNNNNNNNNNNNNNNNNNNNNNNNNNNNNNNNNNNNNNNNNNNNNNNNNNNNNNNNNNNNNNNNNNNNNNNNNNNNNNNNNNNNNNNNNNNNNNNNNNNNNNNNNNNNNNNNNNNNNNNNNNNNNNNNNNNNNNNNNNNNNNNNNNNNNNNNNNNNNNNNNNNNNNNNNNNNNNNNNNNNNNNNNNNNNNNNNNNNNNNNNNNNNNNNNNNNNNNNNNNNNNNNNNNNNNNNNNNNNNNNNNNNNNNNNNNNNNNNNNNNNNNNNNNNNNNNNNNNNNNNNNNNNNNNNNNNNNNNNNNNNNNNNNNNNNNNNNNNNNNNNNNNNNNNNNNNNNNNNNNNNNNNNNNNNNNNNNNNNNNNNNNNNNNNNNNNNNNNNNNNNNNNNNNNNNNNNNNNNNNNNNNNNNNNNNNNNNNNNNNNNNNNNNNNNNNNNNNNNNNNNNNNNNNNNNNNNNNNNNNNNNNNNNNNNNNNNNNNNNNNNNNNNNNNNNNNNNNNNNNNNNNNNNNNNNNNNNNNNNNNNNNNNNNNNNNNNNNNNNNNNNNNNNNNNNNNNNNNNNNNNNNNNNNNNNNNNNNNNNNNNNNNNNNNNNNNNNNNNNNNNNNNNNNNNNNNNNNNNNNNNNNNNNNNNNNNNNNNNNNNNNNNNNNNNNNNNNNNNNNNNNNNNNNNNNNNNNNNNNNNNNNNNNNNNNNNNNNNNNNNNNNNNNNNNNNNNNNNNNNNNNNNNNNNNNNNNNNNNNNNNNNNNNNNNNNNNNNNNNNNNNNNNNNNNNNNNNNNNCCGGCGCUUUGGCCUCGACGUCGGCAGCAGCAGCUGGUGCUUCUGUCUCUUCCACGGCUGCUUCGGCUGCCACGGCAGCCUCCACAGGUGCCUCCGUAGUUGCUGCUUCCUCCUGCACUGCCACAGCGGCCUCCUCCUUGGCCGGUGUCUCCUCUGCCACCGGCUCUUUGGCCUCGGCCUCGGCAGCGGCUGGCUCUGCCUCUUUGGUCUCGGUCUCGGCCGGAGCAGCUUCUUGCUCUGGUUCCUUGGUCUCGGUCUCGGCCGGAGCAGCUUCUUUCUCUGGUUCCUUGGUCUCGGCCUCAGCCGGUGCUGCCUCACGCUCCACCACUUCGGUCUCUGUUCCCUCGGCAGGGGCAGCUUCCGGCUCUUUGGUCUCGGUCACUGUCGGCGUGACAGGGGCCUCCUCAGCGGCGGCGGCCGGCUGGACAACCUCUGUCUCGGCCUCCUUGGUCUCCGCUGGAGCUGCCUCGGGCUCUUUCGCCAGCUCGGUCACGGCCGGCGCAGCAACUUCCUCCUUCACGGCCUCCUCGGCAGCGACAACGGCCGGCUCGACAGCCUCAGCCGUUGCCACCUCGACUGUGUCGACGGCCGGCUCGACAAUCUCCACUGCUGCCACCGUAGCCUCCUCGACCGCGACGACGGCCGGCUCGACGACCUCCACCGCCACGGUAGUAUCCUCGACAACGACGACGGCCGGCUCGACAGCCUCCACCACCGCCGGCGCCGGAGCCUCCUCGACGGGCAUGGCGUGGGUUGCGGCGUGGACCUGCGUUUACAUUGAUGCACGCCUUCAUGUCAGAGAAGUACCAGUACGCAGCGUACGUGUGAUCAGGUUGCUCGUGCCAGAAGAGAUCGAGGUGGCAUGGCACCGUGGCAGCAGGUCAAAAGCUACAUGAUCGAAACGCAACGAAGCAGUAUUGAGCAGUCUACCUGGACGGCGGCCAUUGAUGACGAGUUCCGAGUCGACCGGUCCGAACUCCGACGAGCUGAUGCUAUAGCUCGGUUUGGUGCGACUGAUCAGAUCAGAGUAUGCGAUCGGCUGUGUUGUGUGAAGCAAAUGUGCUGCGGUAGAGGGGCUUAUAUAGUGGCUCUGGAGGGCAAAACGGUCACAAGAUUCACAGCUAGGACGCAAAAGCGAGCAGCCCUUUUGCGUCACGCAGGAAAAUAAAAUGAAAUCGAGGAAUCAAAACACUGAUCUGCAUCAUUCUGAUCUUGGUUGGGAAUAUACUAUUGCAAAACUAUAGUACUGGUACGUACUGUAGAUGCAAGCAAGUUGCGUACGGUGAUCGCUGUAUCGAAAUUAGGGUGGUGGCCACGCAUGCACGGAGGCUAAGGUCCAAACUGCUAUGUUUACGGGUUUGGUUUUCUUUGAUAUGUUUGGGGAAAAGGGCCAAGGGAGAGGGCUGGCAAGGCCACGAGGGCAAGCGUACCUUUGGCGUUGUAAAGAGGGGGCCAUCGCGCUGAGUCACACGCAUGCAUGCACCGACCUGAUCAGUACAUGUGUACAUCGCGUCACGUCCAUGCACGUUCUAUAGUGCCAGCCUUGUAUCCUAGUACCACUAUCCUGCUGUCUGCCCUUGGUCCAGAUCGGUGCAAAAAUAAAUGCUGGGCUAGAAUCUAUUAGUACUGUUAUUUUAUUUCCCCCCCCCCCCCCCCCCCAUUUUAGUUUGGUUCUUGGAAUGGCUAGAGACAUGACCAAACAUUUUAUCUAAUAAAACCUGUUGGAAAAAUCAUCAUUCGAUUUGCCUCUUGAUUAAUCUCAUCAUUUCUCAGCUGAUCACAUCUCUUAUUCUUCUACGCAAAUUAAACUACUCCCUUUAAUUCAUUUUACUUGCCGUCAUGGUCUGAGCUCUCCAGUCUGUGAAUUAUAGCUAACCCUAGUCCCACUGAUAGUGCUGUUUUCUUUCUUUCUUUUCACUGAUGGCGAGGCCUUCUAAUGAUAAUACACACCAUUUCUUUUUCUUUUCUCAUUUGUUCUUGUUUUUAUUUGUAUGCUUAAUUUUUUUUUCAUUUUCCUCUUCUUGCCCGUAAAAUACUGGAAAUCUAAACCGUGAUCAAUGUGUCUUCUAAACCGUAACGGAGGUAGUAUUGUUAAUUCAUCUCAUGUGUGCCCUUUUUCCAAUUGAGACACUGAUAGUCACAACAUCGUCCCCGUCUCCAACGAGGUCCUCAUCCGGAGUCAACGCUUGUCACUGCGGCGUUGUGUGGUUGUGUUGUCCUCACCUUCAGACUUAGAGGAAGUAGAAUUGAUUAUACUCCAUUUACUUUCACCGUUUCUAAAUAUAAGUCUUUUAAGCGAUUUCACUAAAGGUCUACAUACAGAGCAAAAUGAUUCAAUGUACACUCUAAAGUAUGUCUAUAUACAUCCGUAUAUACUCUAUUAGUGAAAUCUUUAAAAAAACUUAUAUUUAAGAACGAAGGGAGUAUAUCAUAAUAAUUAUUGUUAAGGAAAAACAUAAUAAUUAUAGUUGAAAGAACUAGUUUACUAGUUUUCUUGCACUAUAAUUAUUAUGAUAUGCAGGAAGUAAAAAUUGCAGGCACUUCAUCAUUCGCAAACAUGAAUUAUUAUUUAUUUAUGGGGAUUGCAAAAGCGGAGAUAUCAGGGAGAUCGCUAUAUCUCGGUUUUCUACGGCGCACUCGAUGGUGGCGUAGAGACAAUGCAACUUGAGCCGAAGAAUGUGCGCUCGAAUGCCGCCAUUGAAGGCCGUGACAUGAUCCCUAUAGAUCGAGUGGUGCAUAUCUUCUUGGUAGAUGAUCGAUAUGCAGUAGAAAGGGGCGCAGCCACCUAGAGCUAUGUGUAAAAAAGGCCGUGCGUGUUUGUCAAAGUGUGAUGGCACGGCAGUAUAUUUGGAAUUUAGUUAACAUUUUCUUCCUCAUCUGAAGUAGUACCACUAGCUACUUAGGUGUAUUCUCUGCCUUAGAGCAUCUCCGGACUCCUCAAAUCCGAUCUUUCAAACGUCCGCAGACGAACUACUACGUCGACGCACACACAUUGUCCAGUUACUCCAUCAUUGUUAAACAUGUCAUCGGACUAUCAAAAUUUUACAUGUUUGGCUAUGGUGAAGAUCAUCUACGGCUGCCUCUGUUCUUCCCGACACCCUUGCCGUCUUGUCGUGGAAGUACCGGUUGAAGACGCAGUACGGAUCGAGCCGGAUCUUCUCGUCGCCACAACUGUCCUCAUCGCCGCUCACCUCUUUCUCCACCUUUGGUGGUAGUCCGGCCAUUCCCCAAAGGAGCCGAGCACCCUUUGUGCAGAUGCUACAGAGUCGCGGCGGACAAAUCCUUCUGUCGGUCAGGCGCUGUCCUCGCGCGAGCGGCGGAGUGCAACGCGAACCGCUAUUGCCUCCUCCACUCUGCACGGGACGACCCCCCAGUCGACGGAUCCGGACUGGUGAAGACAUUGUUGGGAUUGACUGGAAGCAAAGAAACCACUCAAGAUGAGGCUCGUCAUAGUAGAAAAUAACUUGCAUUAGUAGCAUCCAUAUGUUAUUAGUCCAUAUUAAUAACUUCAUAUUAAAUAAUAUUAUAUGUAUGAUAUUAUGCAAGUAUUUUUUUUGACCGGCUACUGUAGGGAANNNNNNNNNNNNNNNNNNNNNNNNNNNNNNNNNNNNNNNNNNNNNNNNNNNNNNNNNNNNNNNNNNNNNNNNNNNNNNNNNNNNNNNNNNNNNNNNNNNNGCAAGUAACAUACCGAAGGACAAAGGGAAUGACAUACGGGAUUAUACGAAUCCUUGGUACUGAGGUUCAAACAAUAAGAUCUUCGUAGAAUAUGUAGGAUCCAAUAUGGGCAUCCAGGUCCCGCUAUUGGAUAUUGACCGAGGAGUCUCUCGGGUCAUGUCUACAUAGUUCUCGAACCCGCAGGGUCUGCACACUUAAGGUUCGACGUUGUUUUAUGCGUAUAUGAGUUAUAUGGUUGGUUACCGAAUGUUGUUCGGAGUCCCGGAUGAGAUCACGGACAUCACGAGGGUUUCCGGAAUGGUCCGGAAACGAAGAUUGAUAUAUAGGAUGACCUCAUUUGAUUACCGGAAGGUUUUCGGAGUUACCGGGAAUGUACCGGGAAUGACGAAUGGGUUCCGGGGGUUCACCGGGGGGGGGGGCAACCCACCCCGGGGAAGCCCAUAGGACAUAAGGGUGGCGCACCAGCCCUUAGUGGGCUGGUGGGACAGCCCAAAAGGGCUCUAUGCGCCAAGGAUAAGAAAUCAAAGGNNNNNNNNNNNNNNNNNNNNNNNNNNNNNNNNNNNNNNNNNNNNNNNNNNNNNNNNNNNNNNNNNNNNNNNNNNNNNNNNNNNNNNNNNNNNNNNNNNNNGACGUUGUUGGGCCUCCAAGUGCAGAGGGUUGUAGGACAGUAGCAAUUUUCCCUCAAGUGGGUGACCUAAGGUUUAUCAAUCCGUGGGAGGCGUAGGAUGAAGAUGGUCUCUCUCAAGCAACCCUGCAACCAAAUAACAAAGAGUCUCUUGUGUCCCCAACACACCCAAUACAAUGGUAAGUUGUAUAGGUGCACUAGUUCGGUGAAGAGAUGGUGAUACAAGUGCAAUAUGGAUGGUAGAUAUAGCUUUUUGUAAUCUGAAAUUACAAAAACAGCAACGUAACAAAUGGUAAAAGUGAGCACGAACGGUAUUGCAAUGCGUGGAAACAAGGCCUAGGGUUCAUACUUUCACUAGUGAAGUUCUCUCAACAAUGAUAACAUAAUUGGAUCAUAUAACUAGCCCUCAACAUGCAACAAAGAGUCACUCCAAAGUCACUAAUAGCGGGGAACAAACGAAGAGAUUAUUGUCGGUUACGAAACCACCACAAAGUUAUUCUUUCUGAUCUAUCUAUUCAAGAGUCCGUAGUAAAAUAACACGAAGCUAUUCUUUCUGUUCGAUCCAUCAUAGAGUUCGUACUAGAAUAACACCUUAAGAUCCAUAUCAACUAAGACCCUAAUGUCACCUAGAUACUCCAUUGUCACCUCAAGUAUCCAUGGGCAUGAUUAUACGAUAUGCAUCACAUAAUCUCAGAAUCAUCUAUUCAACCAACACAUAGUACUUCAAAGAGUGCCCCAAAGUUUCUACCAGAGAGUCAAAACGUGUGCCAACCCCUGUGCAUAGGUUCCCAAUGUCACGAACCCGCAAGUUGGUCACCAAAAAAUACAUCAAGUACUCACAUGAAUCCACGUGUGCCAACCCAUAUGCAUAGGUUCCCAAUUGUCACAAACCCGCAAGUUGAUCACAGCAGAUAGACACGUGCAAGACAUACAUCAAGUGUUCUCAAAGACUCAAUCCGAUAAGAUAACUCCAAAGGAUAAACUCAAUUCAUUACAAGAAGGAGAGGGGGAAGAACAUCAUAAGAUCCAACUAUAGUAGCAAAGCCCAUGGUACAUUGAGACCAAGACAUCUCAAGAACACGAGAGAGAGAGAUCAAACACAUAGCUACUGGUACAUACCCUCAGCCCCGAGGGAGAACUACUCCCUCCUCGUCAUGGAGAUCGCCGAGAUGAUGAAGAUGGCCACCGAAGAUGGAUUGCCCCUCCGACAGGGUGCCAGAACAGGCUCCAGAUUGGUUUUUGGUGGCUACAGAGGCUUGCGGCGGCGCAACUCCUGAUCUAGGUUUCUUUUGGGGGGUUUCUGAAUUUAUAGGAAUUUAUGGCGGUGGAAUUACGUCGGUUGGGCCCACGAGGAGGUUACAAGCCUGGUCGGCACCACCUAGGGGGGUGGUGGCGGCGUCAGGGCUUGUGACUCCCUCGUGGCUCUUCUGGCCUUCUUCCAAAGCUUCGGGGGUCUCUUUCGGUCCAAAAAAAAGCAUCGUAAAGUUUCAUUCCAUUUGGAGUUCGUCUGAAAAUGGGCCAAAAACACGGAAACAACAGAAACUGGCACUCUGCAUUGAGUUAAUAGGUUAGUCCCAAAAAAGAUAUAAAAUAGCAUAUUCAUGCAUAUAAAACAUCCAAAGUUGACAAGAUAAUAGCAUGGAACCAUCAAAAAUUGUAGAUACGUUGGAGACGUAUCAGCCAUCACCUGUUCCCAGACGCUGCCGACGCCCUGAUAAUCCCCAAGUGCAAGGAAUCAUCGUAGCAAUUUCAAAAGGUGGAAAUGAUAAGUAUGGAGCGUCGAACCCACAAGGAGCUAAAGGUAAGAGCAAUAUUCUCUCAAGUUCUAUCUGCCACUGAUAUAACUCUACGUACGCCGAACGUUUGCUUCCAACUUGGAACGAGAAAUAAAACUACAUUGUGGGUAUGAAGAGAAUAGCUUUGCAUGACAUCGGAGAAAUAAAAUAUAAAAAUAGGUGUUGUUAUCAUAAAGUUAGAAUAUAUUACAAAUAGCGAGUGUGGAAUAGUGAUGGGUCGGUGUGCGGAAUUGUCCUAGGCAAUUGUUAACAAGAUCAGUAAUCAUUAUUGCAAUUUUAUAUGAGGGAGAGUUAUAAGCUAACAUACCUUCUCUACUUCGAUCAUAUGCACUUAUGAUUGGAACUCUAGCAAGCAUCCGCAACUACUAAAGAUCAUUAAGGUAAAACCGAACCAUAGCAUUAAAGCAUCAAGUCCCCUUUAUCGCAUUCGCAACAACCCACCUACUCGGGUUUAUGCUUCUGUCACUCAAACAACCCACUAUAAGCGAAUCAUGAACGUAUUACAACACCCUACAAAGGGAAUCCCUCAUGCUUGCUAGACACGGAGAGAACCAUAGGACAACACCAAUAAUAAAGCAUGCAAGUCAAACCAAUCUAGAUCAUCAAUCAACCCAUAAGACAAAGGGAAUCUACUCAAAACAUCAUAGGAUGGCAACACAUCAUUGGAUCAUAAUAUGUGGCAUAGAGAACCGUGUUCAAGUAGGUGAUUACAGCGGGGCGCGGGGGAGUGGAACGCUAAAAGAAGAUGGGGUUGGUGAUGAAGAAGGUGAUGUUGAUGAAUACGAUCACCGCGGCGAUGGUUCCCCCGGUGGCACUCCGGCACCACCGGGAGAGAGGGGGAGAGGGUCUCCGCCUUGUUCCUCCUCCUCCAUGGCCUCCCCCAAGGUGGGGAGAGGUUCUUCCUCUAGUCCUUGGCCUCCAUGGUGAUGAUGGCCCCUCCAUCUUCCUCCUCAAUGGUCUCCGGUGAUGGUGACCCUCUCCGACAGGGUGCCGAAGAGGGCCAAGACUGGGUUUUCAUGGCUCUGGAGGCUUGCGGCAGAGGAACUCCCGAUCUAAGUUUCUUUUCGGGGGUUUCUGUUUUUAUAAGAAUAUUUGGCGUUCGAACCACGUCAGGGGAGUGCUUGAGGGGCCCACAAGCCAAGGAGCGCACCCUAGGGGGGUGCCCUGGUGGCUUGUGGUUGCCUCGGGACUCCUCUCUGGUAUCCUUUUGCUCCAGUAUUUUUCAUAUUUACCAACAAUAUUCUCCGUAAUUUUUCAGCCCAUUCCGAGAACUUUUAUUUGGGCACAAAAACAACAACACGGUAGUUGUGCUGAAAAAAGCAUCAGUCCGGGUUAGUUAUAAUAAAAUCAUACAAAAACCAUAUAGAAUUAUUGUAAACAUGGCAUGAAUACUUCAUAAAUUAUAGAUACGUUGGAUACGUAUCAGCAUCCCCGACCUUUAUUCCUGCUCGUCCUCGAGUAGGUAAAUAAUAAAAGAAAUCAUUUAUGAAGUGUGAAUGCUAGCAUAGUGCAUAAAUUUGAUCAAUGAUAUAUCCAAACACUUUUUCUAGCAUCAUUACAUAUCAUACACAGUAGCUCAUCUCAUAAAACUUCUCAUGAUGAAGUAACAAGCUAUUCACGUGUUAAAAUGUAGACCAUAAAGUUUCUUGAAAACUAACAAAUUAUGCUUUCAGUCACCAAACAAUUGCAAUUCAUCUUAUUUUUGGGAAGGGUCUAUGUAAGAGAUUUUAUUUAGAAAAUUCCACAUACUCAACUAUCAUAUAGUCUUCCAUGAUUGUUGACGACACUCAAAGCAUAUUUUUAGAACAAAUAGCAUCCAUCGAACACAAAGAAAGACAGGGGCUUAAAGUUUUGCCUCCUAAUUUAUUUACCAUAUAGAUAAUUGUCAACAAUAAUAAUUCAUGAUCAAAUAUAUUUGUAUGGAUAUAUAUGUUUGCAUCUUUCCCCACCACAUGAUGCUUGCCAACUAAUACUUUGAGGUUGGAAUAAGAAGUUAACUCAACAAGAAUAGUAAAUAACAUGAAAGUAAAUAGAUUGGCCCUUGAUAACCCACAAGUGUAGGGGAUCGCAACAGUUUUCGAGGGUAGAGUAUUCAAUCCAAAUUUAUUGAUUCGACACAAGGGGAAGCAAAAGAAUAUUCUCAAGUAUUAGCAGCUGAGUUUGCCAAUUUCAACCACACCUGAAAGAUUAGUGUUUGCAAGCAAAGUAUAAGUAGCAAAGUGGUAUGAUAGCAACGGUGUCAGAAAAAGAUGUGUUGACGGCAGACUAUUCCUAACUUGUUGUAUCAAUGGCGCCAGUAAAUACCACGUGGAAGGGGGACUAUUCUUCCCCGGCAACGGCUCCAGAAAAGUCUUGCAACAAGUAGCAGCAAAGUAACAGCAGUAGUGACAGCAGUAGCAAGCAACAUCAACAACAUCAGUAGCAAGUAACAACAGAGUAACAGCAGUAGCGACAACAGUAGCAGCAAAGUAACGUAGCAAGGACAAGUAGUAAAAGAAUCGUAGGCAAUGGAUCGGUGAUGGAUGAUUAUACCGGAUGUGAUUCAUCAUGUAAUAGCUAUAACACGGAGAGAUAAGUAACUAGCUCCCGUUCGUCAAUCUAAUGUAGGAAUGUAUUCCGUAUGAAGUCAUACGUGCUUAGGGAAAAGAACUUGCAUGACAUCUAUUGUCCAUCCCUACCGUGGCAGUGGGGUCCUAAUGGAAACUACGGGAUAUUAAGGUUCUCCUUUUAGUAAAGAACCGGACCAACGCAUUAAAACUCGGUGAAUACAUGAACUCCUCAUACUAUGGUCAUCUCCGGGAGUGGUUCCGGCUAUUGUCACUCCAGGGUUGCCGGGUCAUAACACAUAGUAGGUGACUACAACAUGCUAGAUAGGAUCUAAAACACACAUAUAUUGGCGACAACAUAAUAGGUUCAGAUCUGAAAUCAUGGCACUCGGGCCCUAGUGACAAGCAUUAAGCAUGGCAAAGUAGUAGCAACAUCAAUCUCAGAACAUAGUGGAUACNAUCUCAGAACAUAGUGGAUACUAGGGAUCAAUCCCCGUCAAAACUAACUCGAUUACAUGAUAUAUCUCAUCCAACUCAUCACCGUCCAGCAAGCCUACGAUGAGAUUACUCACGAAUGGUGAAGAACAUCAUGGAAUUGUCGAUGGAGGAAGGUUGAUGAUGACGAUGGCGAUGAUUUCCCCUCUUUGGAGCCCCGAACGUACUCCAGAUCUGUCAUCUGGAUGAAGAACAGGAGGUGGCGGCGCCUCCGUAUCGUAGAACGCGAUGAAUCCUUCUCUCUGAUUUUUUCCGAGCGAGACGGAAUAAAUAGAGCUGAGUUUGGGGGCGGUGGUGCCACGUGGGUUCCACAAGGCCUCACGGCGCGGCCUAGGGGGGGGGGGGGGUCGCAGCCCACGGGCUUGUGGCCCACUGGCACACCCCCUCCGUUGGAUCUUUGCGCAGGUAUUUUUCAUUUAUUUUAGAAAAAUUCUCCGUAAAUUUUCAGGACAUUCCGAGAACUUUUAUUUCUGCACAAAAACAACACCAUGGCAAUUUUGUUGAAAACAACGUUAGUCCGGGUUAGUUCCAUUCAAAUCAUGCAAAUUAGAGUCCAAAACAAGGGCAAAAGAGUUCAGAAAAGUAUAUACAACGGAGACGUAUCAACUCCCCCAAGCUUAAAGCCUUGCUUGUCCUCAAGCAAUUCAGUUGACAAACUGAAAGAGACAAAAGAAAAACUUUGACGAACUCUGUUUGAUCUUGUUGUUGCAACUAUGUCUAACUCAUAACCAGAAUUUCAGCAAGAUCACAAGCAAACCACAUAAGCAAAUGACAUCUAGGUCUCACGAUAAACUCAUAUCAAUGGCAUAAUCAGCUAGGGAGCAAAUAAUAAUAAGCCUCAAAUGUCAACACUUCAAUCAAAACAACAUGAAGCAGUACGAAUAGAUGGUAUCUCGCUAGCUCUUUCGGAGACCGCAAAACAUAAAUGCAGAGCACCUUCAAAGACCAAGGGCUGACUAAACAUUGUAAUUCUAGCCAAUGAAGAUCGAGUCACAGUCAUACUCAACACAGUUAAAAGCAAAGCAUAAAAAUGACAAAGGUGCUCUCUAAUUGGGUCUUGUUGUAAGAGGAGGAUGACUCAACAGGAACAUAAAUAGACAUGCCCUUCGCAGAGGGAAGCAUUAAUUUGCACAGGUGCCAGAGCUCAAGCUUUUAAAACAGAGAUAAUAAUUUUGGGUGGCAUGCUUUCAUUGUCAACGCAAUGACUAAGAGUUCUCAACAUCUUCCACGCUACACAUGCUAUAGGCGGUCCCCAAACAGAAAAGUAAAGUUUUGACUCCCCCACCACCAAUCAAUCACACUCCACGGCUAGCCGAAUCCUCGAGUACUGUCCAUACCAACAUCAAUCCUGGGGGAGGUUUGUUUGCAAUUAUCUUUUCGAUUUGAGCAUGGACCUGGGAGUUCCAAUUACCGCCCCCUUUCUCGUGAAUGAUAGUGAAUAAACACAUAUCGAGGAUAACACGCCUAGCAUGGAAGAUACCAAUAGCCCCCUAUCACCACAUGAGCGGUUCGGGCAUGCAAAACAGAUUAUUUCUUGAAGGUUUAGAGAGUGGCACAUGCAAAUUUACUUGGAACAGCAGGUAGAUACCGCACAUAGGUAGGUAUGGUGGACUCAUAUGGAACAACGUUGGGUUUAUGGGGGUGGAUGCACAAGCAGUAUUCCCGCUCAGUACAAGUGAAGGCUAGCAAAAGACUGGGAAGCGACCAACUAGAGAGCGACAACAGUCAUCAAAAUGCAUUGAGAUUAACUAACAUUGAAUGCAAGCAUGAGUAGGACAUAAAUCACCAUGAACAUGAACAUCAUAGAGGCUAUGUUGAUUUUGUUUCAACUACAUGCGUGAACAUGCGCCAAGUCAAGCCACUUGAAACAUUCAAAGGAGGAUACCAUCCUAUCAUACUACAGCACAGUCAUCUCAACAUUCAUGUGGGCAUCCAAGACAAACCAUUAUAAGCUCCUAGCUAAGUAAGCAUGGCAUAAGCAACUAUGAUCUCUAAGUUGUCAUUGCAAACAUGUUUCUCUCACAACAAAGCUGAAUCAGGCAUGAUGGGCUAGUCAUAUUUACAAAAACAAAAUAGAUCGAGUUCAUACCAUCUUUUCCAGGCUCAGUCACUUCAUAUAUCGUCAUUUUUGACUUUCACUUGCACGACCGAAUGUUGUGAACAAUAAUAAGCGUGCUCGUGUAGUGGACUAAAGAUGGAAUCUGCAGGAAAACACAAAUGAGAAACACCUACUCCCCCAAGCUUAGGCUUUUGGCCUAAGUUGGUCUACUCCCAAGGAGGGAAAUAACCAGCUCCGGGGUACUCCGGAGUGGACUGAGGAUGCCACUGCUGUGUGAGCUCCUCUGGCUCCCACUGAUAAACUGGCGUCUGGUACUCGACUGCUAGCUCGGGCACGGGCACCUGUGGUUGGGCUAUGCCCCAAUAUGUGUAGAUGUCCAAGGGCAUAAUAAUGUACCUACCUGCAUGAAGAUUGAACAAAGAAGGAGCAAGCAAAGUAAUAGUCUCACGAGUACCCUGACUAAAUACCAGGUUAUAAAUCAUCCUUCUAUUUAUAUCUCUAUCAAAAAAGUCAUGGCGAACCAUGCUAUUGUAAUAUAGAUAUCUCUCAGGAAGAAGAAUCUCUUCUUCCUCGUCCAGUCUAAUAGGUAUCUCAAAAUGUAUAGCAAGACGAGUAGCAUAGAUACCUCCAUAGAUAACGCCUUUAGAACGGUUCGUGUUCAACCGUUGAGCUACUAUAGCGCCCAAGCUAUAAGUUUUAUCGUUAUAAAGGGCUUCGCGCAAGACCGCAAGAUCUGGGGAACUAAGUGACCCAGCUUUCCCACGGCCAAUCAAACAUUUUCCCACAAAUAAUGAGAAGUACCGAAGCACGGGAAAAUUAAUGCUAGUAGCUCUAGCGCAAGACACUCCUCUCUCCUCUCCUACAACAAUAGUAUCGAUGAAAGCUUCCAAGUCCCGUGGACGAGGUUCAUGAAUAUCCCCAACAUAAGGUAAUUUGCAAACAUUGCAAAAAUCUUGGUGUGACAUGCGCUGGGGGAUAUCAUAAAUUUUGAACUCAACCAUAGGAGGAUUCUUCCUCGGAUAGAAGUUAAAACUUUGUAUGAAGAUAUUAGUGAGGAGGAGGUAUUGCGGACACUUAUCUUCAACGAAGGCGGUAAGGCCUGCGUUAUCCACCAAGUGAUAAAAGUCCUCAUAAAUUCCAGCGGUGCGUAAGAACACAUCGCUUGGCCACUUGCACGCUCGAACUUCUGCGACUCGAGGGACCAGAUACUUGGGCUUCUUCUCACUCCCAUCAUCCUUGGGGUCACGGCUUGAAGAGCCUCUUAAGAACCUCCUCAUCUUUUCCCUUUUCUAUCUUUGAAAUUUUCUGAAAAUUUUAGUGAUUCUAAGGAAAAGUGAACAAGGCUCAAUGAAACUCAUAGCAACUACUCCAACAAAUGCCUAGAGGCCAUAUUACGCAUCAAAACUACUUGGGACCAGCUAGAAUUAGCAUGCAAAGCUCAAGAACAUGGUCACCAAGGCAGAAAAAAUACGCGGAGUAUAAGGCACUAGAGCAAAAAAUAAUUGGACCAAUGGAGGAGUCACUUACCAAGGAGUAAUUUCCCCAAAACAGUUCGGAGAACGGUGAUUUGAGCAAAGAGAUCGAAAAUCCCAACAAGAGGAGCGAGAACACGGGUUUGAGCUGCGGAACAAUUUUUUCUGGAGGUAGGAGAACCAGAUAAGAGCAAGAAUGAGUGGAGGGGGUGCCUGUGGGCCCCACAAGCCUGGGUGGUGCGCUCAGGGGGGGUGCCCGCGCCCCAAGCGCUUGUGGCCCACUCGUGCAGCCCCCCGACAAGCUCUUUGUCUCAGAAUUUUUCAAAAAUUCCAAAAAAAAUCAUACUUGAUUUUCAGGACGUUCGGAGUACUUUUAUUUUCAGGGUACUUUUCCACCGAGCGCUAAAACAGAAAACAGGGAAAACUAAACUAAAUCUAUCAUUUUUCUUCUAAGCAAUAGAAGGUGAAAGCUUGGAACAGAGGUUUGUGACUCCUCGAUUCAUCCAUCUCAUUGUCAUCAAAAGAAAUCUGUCAGUGAGGUUGAUCAAGCCUCUUUGACAAACUUUUUCGAAUCACAAAAGAUAAUGGAGAAUUUCCGAAUAAUCACUAGGUCACCUCAAUGGGGAUGUGUAUCUCCCCAACAAGCAAAUCAUACUUCAUCUUGACACGAGGUAUAGGGCAUUCAAAGAUCCCAAUAAAAAUUGAUGAAGUUUUUUCGAUAGCAUUGAUGCAAUGUACUCGAUAUUGUUUCUUCGGAAAGUGCACUGUAUGGUCAUUACCGUUGACAUGGGAAGUGACAUUGCCUUUGUUGCAAUCUAUAACAGCCCCUGCAUUGUUUAAAAACGGUCUUCCGAGGAUGACCGCCAUGGCAUCGUCCUCAGGAAUAUCCAAGAUAACAAAGUCUGUUAAGAUAGUGACGUUAGCAACCACAACAGGCAGAUCCUCGCAAAUGCCGAUAGGGAAAGCAGUUGAUUUGUCGGCCAUUUUGCAGAGAUUUCAGUGGGUGUCAACUUGUCCAGUUCAAGUCUACGAUAAAGAGAGAGAGGCAUAACACUAAUACCGGCUCCAAGGUCGCAUAACACUGGUCUAACGUACCUGCCUUUAAUGGAGCAAGGUAUAGUGGGCACACCGGGAUCACCUAGUUUCUUAGGAGUUCCACCCUUGAAGGUAUAAUUAACAAGCAUGGUGGAAAUCUCAACCUCAGGUAUCCUCCUCUUAUUAGUUACAAUAUCUUUCAUGUACUUAGAAUACGGAGACAUUUUGAGCAUAUCUGUCAAACGCAUUUGCAGAAAGUCAGGUCUGAUCAUUUCAACGAAUCACUCAAAAUCCUCAUCAUCCUUUUUCUUGGAUGGUUUUGGAGGAAAGGGCAUGGGUUUCUGAACCCAUGGCUCCCUUUCUUUACCAUGCUUCCUAGCAGCAAAGUCAUUCUUAUCAUAUCUUCUAUUCUUAGGCCGAGGGUUAUCAAGAUCAAUAGGUUCAAUCUCCACAUCCUUAUCAUUGCUAGGUUGAGCAUCUUCAUGAACAUCACUAUUGAUAUUAUCAUUAGGCUCAUGUUCAUCACCAGAUUGUGUUUCAGUGUCACAGACAGAGGCAUCGUUUGGACUCUCAGGUGUAGCAGCAACAGGGUUGCUAGCGUGCAGGUUCCUAUCAUCUUUCUUCUUCUUUCUAGGAUGACUAGGUGCAUCAGUGCUAACUCCUUGAGAAUCUUGUUCAAUUCUCUUCGGAUGACCCUCGGGAUACAAAGGUUACUGGGUCAUUCUACCGCCUCUAGUAACAACUCUAACGGAAUUUUCAUUCAACUCAUCGAGCAAGUCAUUUUGAGCUUUAAGUACUUGUUCUACUUGAGUAGUAACCAUACAGGCAUGUUUACUCAAAAGCUUAAGAUCAUUGACAUUUCUGUCCACACAAGCACUUAAAUGACUAAGCAUAUGAGCAUUCUGUUCCAAUUGUCUGCUAACAUAAUCAUUNNNNNNNNNNNNNNNNNNNNNNNNNNNNNNNNNNNNNNNNNNNNNNNNNNNNNNNNNNNNNNNNNNNNNNNNNNNNNNNNNNNNNNNNNNNNNNNNNNNNUAGGGCGAAUUCAAUAUCUUUCUUCAUAAAGGAACCAGCACAAGAAGUGUCGAGCAUGGAUUCAUCAUUACGAGAGAGCUGAGCAUAAAAAUUUUGAAUAAUAAUUUCUGUCGAGAGCUCGUAAUUGGGGAAUGAAUAUAAAAUUGGCUUAAGCCUCCCCCAAGNNNNNNNNNNNNNNNNNNNNNNNNNNNNNNNNNNNNNNNNNNNNNNNNNNNNNNNNNNNNNNNNNNNNNNNNNNNNNNNNNNNNNNNNNNNNNNNNNNNNNNNNNNNNNNNNNNNNNNNNNNNNNNNNNNNNNNNNNNNNNNNNNNNNNNNNNNNNNNNNNNNNNNNNNNNNNNNNNNNNNNNNNNNNNNNNNNNNNNCUCCCCCAAGCUUGAGAGAUUCUGUCUCCUUCACGAGGCCAAAAAUUAUAAAUAUAAUUUCGAUCAUCAUGAACCAGAUGCAUAGGAUAAAACUUCUGAUGAAAUUCCAAUUUCAAUCGGUGGUAAUUCCAUGAUCCAAUAUCAUCACAUAGCCUAUACCAUGUCAACACCCUUUCCUUAAAAAAUAAAGGAAAGACCUUCUUCUUGACGUCAUCCUCGGGCGGACCUGCAAGCUUUAAUAAUCCACAAACUUCAUCCACGUAGGUUAGAUGCAAAUCAGGAUGUAGUGUUCCAUCUCAUGCAUAAGGAUUAGCUAGUAUUUUUUCUAUCAUACCCGAAGGAAUUUCAUAAUAAAUAUGUUCAAUAUGUGCAGCAGGUUGAGGAGCAUCUCUUUUUGCUUCCGGUCGGGGUGAAGAUACCCCAAACAAGCCCCUCAAAGGAUUAUUUUCCAUAGCGACAAGUGAUAGUAAAUUUCAGCAGAAUAUAUAAUUUUUUCCUUACCAAGUUCCACUUACCAAAGGCGCUUCACUCCCCGGCAACGGCGCUAGAAAAGAGUCUUGAUGACCUACAAGUGUAGGGGAUCUAUCGUAAUCCUUUCUAUAAGUAAGAGUGUCGAACCCAACGAGGAGCAGAAGGAAAUGAAAAACAGUUUUCAGUAAGGUAUUCCCUGCAAGCAUUGAAAUUAUCGGUAAAAGAUAGUUUUGUGAUAAGGUAAUUCGUAAUGGGUAGCAAGUAAAAAAUGUAACAAUGGUGCAGCAAGGUGGUCCACUCCUUUUUGUAGCAAAGGACAAGCCUGAACAAACUCUUAUAUAAAGAAAACCGCUCCCGAGGACACAUGGGCAUUUAUGUCAAGCUAGUUUUCAUCAUGCUCAUAUGAUUCGCGUUCAUUACUUUUAUAAUUUGAUAUGUGGGUGGACCGGUGCUUGGAUGCUACAGCCCACUUUUGAUUAACCUCUCUCACAAGCAUACGCAACUACGAAAGAAGAAUUAAGAUAAAUCUAACCAUAAAAUGAAACAUAUGGAUCCAAAUCAGCCUCUUACGAAGCAGCACAUAAACUAGGGUUUAAGCUUCUGUCACUCUAGCAACCCAUCAUCUACUUUUUACUUCCCAAUGCCUUUACCUAGGCCCAAAUAAUGGUGAAGUGUCAUGUAGUCGAAGUUCACAUGACACCACUAGAGGAGAUACAAUAUACAUCUUAUCAAAAUAUCAAACGAAUACCAAAUUCACAUGAUUACUUAUAACAAGACUUAUCCCAUGUCCUCAGGAACAAAUGUAACUACUCACAAAGAAUAUUCAUGUUCAUAAUCAGAGGAGUAUUAAUAAUAAUUAAGGAUAUGAACAUAUAAUCUUCCACCAAAUAAGGCAACUGGCAUCAACUACAAAGAGUAAUCAACACUAUUAGCAACCCACAGGUACCAACCUGAGGUUUUGAGACAAAGAUCGAAUACAAGAGAUGAACUAGGGUUUGGAGAGGAGAUGGUGCUCAUGAAGAUGUUGAUGUACAUUGACCCUCUCUCGAUGAGAGGAUCGUUGGUGAUGACGCUGGCUUCGAUUUCCCCCUCCGUGAGGGAAGUUUUCUCGGUGGAAUAGCUCGGCUGGAGCUCUAGAUUGGUUCUAUUGCAAUUCUGCCUCGAGAUGGUGGCGCCUCGUCCCAAAAGCUCUGAUAUGAUUUUUUUUUCAUGUCAAAACCCUUCAUAUAGCAUAAGAUGGGCACAGGAGGUCUGCCAGGGGGGCCACAAGCCUGCAGGGCGCGACGAGGGGGUGCUAGGCUACGCCCCCUGGUUUGUGACCUCCUACUGGGUCCCCUCUGGUAUUUCUUUCGCCCAACAUUUUUAUAUCUUCCAAAACAAUUGUCCGUGACUUUUCAUGACUUUUGGAGGUGUGCAGAAUAGGUCUCUUAGAUUUGCUCCUUUUCCAGUCUGGAAUUCCAUCUGCCGGCAUUCUCCCUCUUCAUGUAAACCUUGUAAAAUAAGAGAGAAAAGGCAUAAGUAUUGUACCAUAAUGUGUAUUAACAGCCCAUAAUGCAAUAAAUAUUGAUAUAAACAUGAUGCAAAAUGGACGUUGAUACGUCUCAAACAUAUUGACAUUUCCAAACACUUUUGCUAUUGUUUUGGCCUCAUUCUUGCAUGAUUUGAAUGAAACUAACCCGGACUGACGUUGUUUUCAACAGAGCUGCUUGUACGGUUUUCUUGUGCGCAGGAAAAUGGAUAUUUAGACGUCAUGGAAAAUUCCUAUAAAAAUAGAGAAAAUCCACACACCGGGAAGAACCAUGGGCCGGAAGAUGGGCCAGAGGGGAGAUACACGCCCCCCAGGCGACUUGUGGGCGCGACCUGCCCCCUCGCCGCACCGGAAGGCCGGCUGGGUGGGGCCCACCCCCUCUGGUGCCCUACUUUGGCUCCUAUUUUUACCCAUGAUGCAGAUAUCCCAGAACAGAAGUCAUCUCGUAAGUUCUCGACGCGGAGCCGCCGCCACCCUCGGUCUUCUUCGGGAGAGCUAAUCUGGAGGUUGUUUUGGCCUUCGGAGAGGGGAAAUCGUCGCCAUCGUCAUCACCAUCACCACUCCCUCAUCCUCCCAUGGCUUCCCCCAUCAUGUGCGAGUAAUUCUCUGCUGUAGGUGAAGGGGAUGGUACGGAUUGGAUGAGUUAUAUCAUGUAAUAGUUCGCCGGAUUGUUGGGGGCAUGUUGCCUAUCAUCUACUAUGGUGUUUAUCAUCUUUUCUACUACUUGUUACUCUUAAUGCUUGUCACUUUGGGACCGAGUGCCAUGAUUUCAUAUCUUAAUUCAUUAUGUUUUCAUGAAUAUAUUUGUGUUCUAGAUCCUAUCUAUGAGUAGUAUGCACCUAUUAUAGUCCGGAAUCGGCGAUCCCAAUGGUGACAGCUUGGGACACCAAAGGGGAUAGACUAUAGUAUGAGGAUUCAAUGUAUUCACUGAUUGUUAAUGCUUUGUUCCGGUGCUCUUUGACAGGAGCACCUUAAUCUCCAUAAGUUCCUUUUGGCCCCGUUGAUAGCGGGAUGGUAGGACAAAAUAUGUUCUGCAAGUUCUUAUUGCAAGCACACACGACUACCUAAGGAUACAUGCCUAAUGUUUGAUAUAUGCCUAGAUGAUCAUUACUUUUCUAUGUGCCUUGCCCCCAAGUUAAAUACAUGAUAUCUCUCAUCCAUGACCAACCAUCCAUCUCCCUAUCCUACAGUGUUUUAAUCCCGCUGGUCACAAGUCACUUUACUUUCCCUGUUUUACUUUCGUUGCUUUAUCACUAUUAUUUCCGUUGCCACCAUCACUUCCAUAUCACCGUUGCUAUUAAUAUUUCAUUGUCAAGCGAGUAUCUUUCAGGUGCGGUUGAAUUGACAACUCAACUAUUAAAGCUUAUAAAUAUUUUUGGCUCCCCUUGUGUCAAAUCAAUAAAUUUGCUUAUCUUACCCGUGAAGACUGUUGUGAUCCCCUACACUUGUGGGUUAUCAAGACCAUUUUCUGGCGUCGUUGCCAGGGAGCAUAGCUUUAUUUACAAGUCUACUUCGAGUUAUUUUGCUUGCUGCGAUUUAUUCACUAUGGGUAAGAAACGAGACCCCAAGGUUCCAAUUUUACCAUCCACUACGAGAAAAGGUAUUGUUCUUAGCACUAGCGCUACGAUUGAUUCACCUUCCGUUAUGAGUAAGUUUGCUUCACCACCACCACAUGUUGCUUCUACCGAGUCUGUCACUAUGCCUGGUACAUUUGACGAUGCUGCUACUACUAUUGAUGAGCCUAGUUUACUUGGUUAUUUUAUUGAGUCUCAGAUUGCUAAGGCUGCAAAGCAGUCUGGAAUUGAACUUCCUGUUACACGCUACCCCAUUGGUAGAUCUUUAGGUUACCCACACUUGAGUGGUCUCAAGGAAAAAAUUCUUGAUCAUGAUUAUAUUGAACUUGAUGAUGAUUUAUGCAGGGAACUUACCGAGUGUGCUCACUCUGACCCUACUUCUGUUAAGAAGUUGCUUGAAAAGCAUUCUAUGAAGAACAAAUUUACUCCUGAUCCUAAAUUUUCGUCAUCUCCUAUUUGCAUUGAGGAUGCUGAUUUUGAUUUCUCUAUUGAUCUUUCACUUAUCUCCAGAGUUGAAGCUAACCCCUUCUAUGGCAGAGAAAAUGACGAUGCUAUUGCACACCUUACCAAACUCACUGAGUUGGGUGGCUUAUUCACUAUAGAGGACAAGAAGAGAAACUAUUAUGUUACUAAGCUACUUCCUUUCUCUUUGAAGGAAGAUGCUAAAGCAUGGUAUGAUUCACUACCAUGUGGGUCCAUUACGAGUCCUCAAGAUUUAGCUCAAUCUUUUGUUGCUAAAUAUUUUCCUGCCCAUAAGGAACAUGCUGCUUUACAAAGAAUAUAUAACUUUAAACAGUUGCAGGAUGAGCACCUCCCUAAAGCUUGGGGGAGGUACUGCACUUUACUCAAGGCUAGACCGGGACAUGGAGUCCCGAAGAAUGAAUUGCUUGAUAUAUUUUAUCCUGGUCUAACCGAUGAAUCUAGAACCUAUCUGGAUAGUUGUGCUGGUUGUGUUUUCAGGGAAAGAACACCUGAGAUGCUGAAGAAUUAAUGGGUAAGAUAGCUAAGAAUCAUGAUGAUUGGUACAUUAUUGAACCACCUCCAUCACCAAAGAAGAGGGGUAUGCUUUUCUCGAGCCCCGAAGUUAUGCAAGAAGCCAAGAAGUCUAUGAAUGAGAGAGGUAUUCAAACUGAAGAUGUGAAGAAUCUACCUCCUAUUAAGAAAUUAUGUGAGCCUACCACUCACCGACCUAUGGUAGAGGUACACUCUAUUUUAGAAUUCAAUGCAAGUGACAUCCCUCAUGGUAAGCCCCUUGAUCAAUGUUUAGAUGAGCUUGAUAAUUGUAUUGUCAAGCAAAAUCACUUUAAUGAGAGGAUUCAAAGCCAAUUUCAUGAUAAUUCCCUUGCUAUCAAAAGUUUGCUUGAUGUUUUAAGUAGAACUGUUAAUGAUGUUAAACGUCAUGUUAAGCAUUUUUCAUAUGGUUCAAACUCAGCUUGAACAAAUUUCUAAUGUGCAAAAAGAUUUGCUUGCUAACAAUAUCAAACAAGUUGAUGCGCAAGCAUAUGGUAUAAAGACCCGAGGUGGUACACACACCCAUGACCCCCUCUAUCCGGAGGGGCAUCCAAAGAGGAUCGAGCAAGAUUCUCAAUUGCAAGAAGAAGACAUUGUCAGCUCCCCGAAGAAGAAGAAGAAACACAAGGAAGCUGACAACUCCAAUGAUCCCAUAAUUGAUGAAGAACCUAUUAUUGACCCUAAUAGUAUAUCUAUUUCCGAUGCUAAAACUAAAGAUGGUGCUAAACCUGAUAAAGAUAAUGAGAAGAUUGAUCCUCCUGAGAUACGAGAAUAAGAAGCACCCGACAAGCGCAAGAGAUAUACUCGAGAAGAUUUUGGUGCAAGAAAACAUGGGAAGGAAAGAGAACCGUGGGUACAGAAAUCAAUGCCCUUCCCAGGUAAGUCUUUCAAAACCAAAAAGAAGAGCAUUACAAUAAAUUUUGUGAAUGGAUGAAACCUCUUUUUCUUCAAAUUCCUUUGACCGAUGCUAUUAAGUUGCCUCCGUACUCGAGGUAUAUGAAAGAUAUUGUUACUAACAAAACAAAAGUUCCUAAUGAGGCAAUAUCCACUAUGGUUGCUAAUUUCUUUCAGUGGCAAGAUUUCCGAGAAGCUUGGUGAUCCAGGUAUACCCACCAUUCCUUGCUCCAUAAAAAUAAUUAUGUCAGAAUUGCUUUAUGUGAUCUUGGUGCAGGAGUGAGUGUUAUGCCUUUCUCUCUUUACAAAAGGCUUUGUCUAGAUAAACUAAUCCCUAGAGAUAUCUCUCUUCAAAUGGCUGAUAAGUCAACAAACGUUCCCGUAGGUAUUUGUGAGGAUGUUCCCGUUGAAGUUGCUAAUUGCUUGAUCCUUACUAACUUUGUUGUGCUUGACAUGCCUGAGGAUGGGAGCAUGUCUAUUAUUCUUGGUAGACCUUUUCUUAACACCGCAGGUGCUAUUAUUGAUUGCAAUAAAGGAUAGGUGACCUUCAGUGUUAAUGAGAAGGAGCAUACGGUAUAUUUUCCGAAGAAGAUUGAUAAAAGGCAUGGCCUUAAUUCUAUUGAGAAUAUUGAGACCGUGAAGGUUGGAGAGUGGGAUUGUCCUCUACAUAUGCACCAAAAAUACAAAACCAUUAUGGUGGGGACAAUAUCCAUUGAAAUAAAGGUACCAUGAUUGCUUUAUAAGAAGUGAAACUUUUUGCUCAAAUAUAACACCUGUUUGGUAGUAAGACUUGAUCAACCUUACUAACAAAUAUGAUUUAUAUGAGUAAAAAGAGAAGCUUGUUAUGUUUUCAUUUCCUUUAUCUUUCAUCCUCUUUGUUGUACCAAAGCAUUAUGUUUUUGAAGCCUCAUAUGUUUAACCUUUGUUUUGAGCUUUCUGCAAAUUUUGCAGCUUUCGGUACUUCGAUUUUUUUUCAAAAGUGAAGUUUUCAGAAAAAUUCCAGAAAAAUUAAAUGAAAAAUUUCCAUGAAAAAAGAGACGCAGGGGCACCUGGAGACAGCCAGGGGGGCCACCCUUGGUCCAGGCGGCCAGCAGGCGCGACCUGCCCCCUGGUCGCGCCCACAAGUUGUCUGGGCCCACGUGGUCCCCUUUCCAGGUACUUCUUCUUCCCUUCUCUCUUUCUCACUCCUAAAAUCCCGAUUUUUCUCCUGGAGCUCGAGUUCUUGCUGCUCUUGGUGGCAAAUUUUGAUCUGUCUCUACAGCCCAUCAUUUGCAUUGAGAAUUUGGGCAUUUGAUCCUUGGUAUGUGACUCCUCCACUCCUCCAAUUAAAAUUUUGAUUGGUGGUCUUAUUUGUGAGUAUUUAGUAGUUCUUGGUGCUAUUCAUAUGAGCUUGCAUGCAUGUUUAGAAAUUUAUUUGUGAUGUUUUGAUACAAGUUUAUGCAUCAGGGAAGUGAGUAGAAUAGUUUGAUCCAACUCAUUUUUGCUUAAAUCUCCAUUUUUGUGAUGAACCAAAAAAAUUAGAAAUGAGUUUGUUUGGAAAAGCAAAAGGAUGGCUUGGGAAGAAGAGACCUGAGCCUACUGAUAGACUAACUAGAGCUGCAGCUUCAUCCUCUACUGUGAGGACAAGUUACAAUGACGAUAUCGUGCCACCAGAGUUGUUCCACGAGACGGACACGGCACGUGCCAUGGCAUACCCGUGUUCAGAUUUCCUGAUGGCGGCAGGUAUUAAAGAUGAGUUUGAUAACCUCUGUGCAGCUGUAGGUUUGACACAUCUCGUAACACGACGUGUGCAACAAUAUCCAAAACUCACAUAUUAUUUUGUCAACUGGUUUAGAUAUAAUGAUAAAAUUUCCAUGAUUGAAUUCAUAUUAUAUGAGGAUGUCUUUACCAUGUCUUUGGCAGAAUUUUUUGAUGUUAUAGGUGUGCGGAAUGUCGGGAUGAUGACCAAAAUGAAUGUUCAUCCCUACGAGCUGAAAUCCCUAUUCACUUCCCUUUUGCAGUAAGGACCCGCGAGUAAUUCACUUGGGGGAGAUCUCCAGCAUCUUGUUUCCCCACAUCAAGUAUUUCGCAUACUAUAUUGCUCGAGGGGUGCUAGUUCGUGACAACACGAGUAACAUUUCGGAUCCGUACCUUGCUAUCUUGGCAUCCUCCCUCUUAGGAGAUUACACGUAUAAUAUUGGUGCGUUCAUUGUUCAUUGCCUCAUUGCUAACAGCGACAAAGGGCCUCACUUUGGUGGCAUUUAUGCCAGGCUUAUCCUCGAGCACCUCAGGCGCAAUGUGCGGACGAAUGAUACGCCUUUUUCAUUCAUAAGCUUUGAUAUUACCGCUAUGAAGAGGCAUGAGUUUGUUACUAGGACUUCCGAGUUUGGUAACCUUAUUUAUAUUAUGAGGUUUGGCGAGCUUACUACUCGCGAGAUCCGUCUACAUGCACCACUUUUGUUUGAUUACACUAGAAGGAAUGGAUAGUCCUUCACCUCGAUUGAGCUAGACGAGUUCGUGAUCCAGCAGCAGUUCCACAACCCCAUGGAGGGGAUUGUUCCCGAGGUAGAAGAGCCUUCUAAUUGGGAGGCCAGACGGGCAUCAGUGUAUGCGCCCGAGGCCUCGUAUCAUUCUUGGAGCCACCCAUACCACUCCGGAGCCAGAGGAAGCUCCUGGAGCCCUCAAUAGCCGAGCUCAACUUAGGCGAAAAGCCUAAGCUUGGUGGAGUACGUAUCCUUCUCACCUUUCAUUGUAUCAUCCGUAGUUUCCUUUUUAAUCUUUUCGGAGUUUUUGCCCGUUCUUCUUUGUUCUUUCUUUGCAAAAACAACAAAAAGAUUUCUCUUUUCUUUUGCUUUCGCUUAACCUUUGGAAAACCCAAAAAGAUUUCUUUUCUCUCUUUAGUUUGCUUUGUUUGCAGAGUUCAGCUCACGUCCAUGGUUGCAAUUGCACUUGAUUAUAUCUUUCUACGUUCGAUCGUGCAAGUGACGAUGCAAUAAUGAAGAAGAUCGACAGAAGGAAUGCAACAAGGAAAGUCGGUAUGAACUCUAUUUGUUUCUACUUUUGUACAUAUGCAUGUACUUAUGAUCUAGAGACUAGCUUAUAGCGACAUAGUACUAUGAUUACAAUGAUUCCCAGUAGUUCAUGCUUUCUUUGUGACUAGUCUCAAAUAGUUGGAGUGCAUAAUGUGUUAUUGAAAUGAUUAGCAUGCAUUGCAUUGUUCAUGGUUUGGCAUAUUGGAGUGGUAUUUCCCUUCGGAGAAUUUCUGGAUUGACUUGGCACAUGCUUACACAUGUUUAUGACUAGAAGUCUAUCAAGCCUUGAUGAUCUUUUUAUUUCAGAAUAGUUAAAUCGCUUUCAUGCCCGAUUCAAAGUUGAUUUGUCGCUCUACAUGAUUAUGACCAUUAUUGCUCUCUAGUUGGGCGCUUCCCCAUCUUUCGCUAGCCUUCACCUGUACUAAGCAGAUUGACUGCUUGUGCAUCCAAAAUGCUUGAAACCAGUUGCGCCAUAUGACUCCGCCAUACCUACCUAUAUGCGGUACUUAUGUGUCGUCCUAAAUAAAUUUGCAUGUGUCAUAUUCUUAACUUUCAAAUAAAUAUUUUGUUUUGUAUGCCCGAAUCACUCAUGUAGUGACUAGGGGCUAUCAGUAUCUUCCAUGCUACGUAGGUUAUUCUCAAGAUAUGUGUUGAUUCACUAUCAUUCACGAGAAAGUGGCUGGUAACCAGGAUGCCCAUUUCCAUGCUCAAAAGUCAAAUCAAAUUUAAUGAAACAAAACUCCCCCAAGAUUGUUGUUUGUAUGGACGGUACCCGUCGAUUCGUCCCGCCGUGGAGUGUGAUUGAUUGGUGGAGGGGGUAAAAACUUUACCAUUCUGUUUGGGAACCGCCUAUAAUCUAUUUAGCAUGGAAGAUAUUGAGAUCUCUUAGUUGUUAUGUUGACAAUGAAAACAUACCACCCAAAAUUUUGAUUUAUGUUUGUUUUAAAGCUCAAGCUUUGACACCUCUGCAAAUCAAUGCUUCCCUCUGUGAAGGGCCUGUCUAUUUUACUUUAUUGUUGAGUCAUCCUCUUCUCAUAAAAGCACCAACUAAGAGAGCAUAAUUGUCAUUCUCAGUGUAAUGUGCAUUGUCCCAAAGUACCACAUUGUCUUCUGUAUGAUUGUGAUAUUACUUAUUCUGAAAUAUUUAUUUCUAGUCUCCUUUAAGACUCCGGAGGAGCGUUUGCAUUUAUGUUCUGCUUCACUCAUGGGAGCUAGCGAGAUACCACUCUAGUAUAUCCAAGUCAUGUGCAUUGUGAUCUCGUUAUGAUUUUCAGUUACAUAUUAUUCAUUCUUAGUUGUUUGAAACUCUUCACAUGAUCGAAGGAUUGCUUCGUGCAUUGUCUUUGUAGCAUUGCUUCAAUACUUGUUGGGCUUGUUCGUAGUGCAUGCUUAUAUACAUCUGAUGAAGCAAAAGAGUUUGUCAAAGUUUUCUUUGUCGCGUUCAGUUUGUUGAACUGAAUUGCUUGAGGACAAGAAAUAUGCUAAGCUUGGGGGAGUUGAUACGCCUCAAACGUAUCGACUUUUCCAAACACUUUUGCUAUUGUUUUGGUCUCAUUCUUGCUUGAUUUGAAUGAAACUAACCCGGACUGACGUUGUUUUCAGCAGAGCUGCUUGUAUGGUUUACUUGUGCGCGGGAAAAUGGAUAUUUAGACGUCCCGGGAAAUUCCUAUAAAAAAUAGAGAAAAUCCACGCACCAGGAGGAACCAUGGGCCAGAAUAUGGGCUAGAGGGGAGCCACAGGGCCCCCAUGCGACUAUGGGUGCGGCCUGCCCCCUGGCCGCGCGGGAGGCCGCCUGGGUGGGGCUCACCCCCUCUGGUGCCCUACUUUGGCACCUAUUUUUACCCGUGUUGCAGAAAUACGAGAACAGAAGUCAUUUUGCAAAUUCUCGACGCGGAGCCGCCGCCACCCUCAGUUCUUCUUCGGGGGAGCUAAUUUGGAGGCUGUUUCGGCCUCCGGAGAGGGGAAAUCGUCGCCAUCGUCAUCACCAUCACCACUUCAUCAUCCUCCCAUGGCUUCCCCCAUCAUGUGUGAGUAAUUCCCUGCUGUAGGUGAAGGGGGUGGUAGGAAUUGGAUGAGUUAGAUCAUGUAAUAAUUCGUCGGAUUGUUGGGGGCAUGUUGCCUAUCAUCUAUUAUGGUGUUUAUCAUCUUUUCUACUACUUGUUACUCUUAAUGCUUGUCACUUUGGACCCGAGUGCCAUGAUUUCUCAUCUGAAUUUAUUAUGUUUUCAUGAAUAUAUUUUUGUUCUAGAUCCUAUCUCUGAGUAGUAUACACCUAUUAUAGUCCCAAACCGGCGAUCCCAAUGGUGACAGCUUGGGACACCAAAGGGGAUAUACUAUAGUUUGAGGAUUCCAUGUAUCCAUUGAUUGUUAAUGCUUUGUUCCGGUGCUCUUUGACAGGAGCACCUUAAUCUCCAUAAGUUCCUUUUGGCCCCGUUGAUAGUGGGAUGGUAGGACAAAAGAUGUUGUGCAAGUUCGUAUUGCAAGCACGCACGACUACCUCGAGAAACAUGCCUAAUGUUUGAUAUAUCCCUAGAUGAUCAUUACUUUUCUAUGUGCCUUCCCCCAAGUUAAAUACAUGAUAUCUCUCAUCCAUGACCAACCAUCAAUCUCCCUAGCCUAUAGUGUUUUAAUCACGCUGGUCACAAGUCACUUUACUUUCGCUGUUUUACUUUCGUUGAUUUGCCACUAUUAUUUAUGUUGCCACCAUCACUUUAAUAUCACCAUUGCUACUAAUAUUUCGUUGCCAAGCAAGUAUCUUUCAGGUGCGGUUGAAUUGACAACUCAACUGUUAAAGCUUAUAAAUAUUCUUUGGCUCCCCUUGUGUCGAAUCAAUAAAUUGGGUUAUCUUACCUUCGAAGACUGUUGCGAUCCCCUACACUUGUGGGUUAUCAGACGUAUCAAGGGGGGAGUUGUAGGCGUCGGGGAGGCGACGGUGGCAGCCAACACCGCACCCAUGUUGGCUCGGGUGAGUAGGAGGAGGACGGUGGGGCUAGGUGGGCUAGGCCGACAGUGUAACGAGUAGGCUUUAGUGUAGAGUACCGCUUGGACCCUUCCAUUUCUUUUUUUUCUCUUUGUUUUUUAUUUAAUUCCAAUAGUAAAUUACUUUUGUAAAAUAUAGUGUUUGACCCAAUCAUUAACUUGCAUUUUUAGGUUCAGCCACAAAAAUUUUGGGGCGCAUUUGUAAGUUUGGGAAUUUUCAUAAUUCAAAAAGGUAUUUAAGUAAUUGUUCCGGCCUCUCCUAUAAUUAUUUUGAGGCACCAAAUCACUUGAUAAAAUGUUGGUUCAUAUUUUAUAAUUACUAGGUGAAUAUUUGCCAAGCAACCAUGAUUUUAGUUUCAGGUUUGUCAAAAUAUUUAAUCCAUUUAUUAUUUUAAUUUUGAAUUUCAAAAGGGAAUUUCAAAUAAGAUAUGAUUCUAAGAUUGAUCAAGCAGUGUUUAGCAAACGCAUUAGCUUAAUCUUGGCCAUAACUGUAGCCUAAUUAUAGUGAUCACUAUAGCUUAAUCCAGGGGUGUCACGUAUACUUUUUGGGUAUUUAUUUACCAAUUUAUAUUAUUUUAGAGCACUAACCUAUUAACCCAGUGCCCACUGUGAGUUGUUGUUUUUUGUGUGUUUUUGGCUUUUCAGGUUUACGGUAGCAAACGAAGUCCAAUUGCCAUGAAACUUUUUAGUGAUUUUUUCUGGACCCAUUGGGGCGGACGCGCCCACAACUUAAAUUGAUGUAUCUUAUAUUUUGCCAAACAACAAAAUAUACUCUUGUCGCUGGUAUUAACAUGGCAUGAAAUUUCAAUUUUUCUCGAUAUAUCUAUUUAUUUGUACUGCUUUUCUCUACUUCAAUACCUGCUCGAUUUAGAUUGGGAAAAUCGUACAGAUUUUAUGAAACCUUAUCAUUUUUUUACUGAAUAUUUUGCAAACUAUCUCAGUUCCUUAAAGUCUACAGGUGGUCACGUACUGUGACUGAAAGUUUACAAGUAGUCAAGUAAUUUGACCAGCCAAGCCAAAAGAGAUGUGUACCAACCUCAUGAGAAUAAAUAAGUAUGUCAAACGGUGAGCACAUCAUACACCCUCAUUAGAAUAAAAAAGUACUAUGUCAAAGGGCACUCACUAGCUGGCACCGCCCAGCUCGAGGAGGCACGUCAAGGUCGCGUCCCAACACCUAGUUACCAAUACUAGUCGUCGACCCCGUGUAAUUGCACGGUCUAAUUAUUUAGACAAUAGCUUAGUGGACUUUUGUAAAUAUUGGUUAUACUUACAAAAAUAUAAAUGGAGAGGCUUUAUGUUGAGCUCUUCAAAAUGUACUUUUUUUAUGAUGAGGGGCGUUUUGGUAACGAUACAUUCAUAUAUAACAUUUACAAGAAGUUCUUCAUUUGUUAACUCUUCGAAGUAUAUGGAAAUUACAAAUAAAAUCAUGGAACAAACAAUAUUCCAAUAAAACUAAUAAAGAAAACUGCUCUUUACUUUCUUAAAUUUGGUGCAUAAUGAUAGUGCUAGAUAGAGUACGUAGUUUGGUGUAUAUAAUCAUGCCAUCAUUCCAAACAACUAAAAAAACAUGAGCACAUGAUACAUUGAAAAACAUAUGAUUUCUUCAUGUGUACUGAUCAAAAUAAAUUUACUUUUAUACAUCGUAGUACCCUUGAAAGUGGUAACUAUGAUAAGAAAUCAGGAUCGCAAAACUGAUACAGUAUUGUACGAAACCUAAUUCAAUUAUGAAAAGCUUUAGUACAGAAUAAGAAAUGUAAACAAAUCUUCUUGACAUAUGUCCACAUAUAUUACCUCUUCUCUGAAUCCACCAGCCAAUUAAAUUAUUUCUCUUCACUUAGAGAUCAAGUGGACUGUCAGAAUAAUAUAAUUAUUUCUGUAUAAAGGGCAUCUAUAAUGAAGUGAAAUUAGACUAGUAAUUUGAGAAAGAAUUUUGUUUUUUUUUAACAUGCACACGAACACAUCUAAUAUUUUAUUAGGGAAAUAAAAGAAUAUUUGGAUGUACCCAAUAUGUCUGGUAAGGAUAAAUGUCACCUUGCUUUAUAAUUUCAAGAAAGAACCGUCUGAAGUAGAGAUAGAGAAAAAUGUACCCAGAAGCAACUCCUCGAGAGAUAAAACUUGUUAUAUCCAGUUCUAUCAAGUGACUCCUAGUCUAGAUUUGCACUUUCUGGUGUGAUAUUGAUGAUUCCUGCCAAGAAACGUAAUUAGUAUAGUUGUGGAGUAAUUAUGAAGAGUGGAAAAGGUAAUUAGUAUUUAUUGGCUAGGCAUAUAAUUUUAUAUAGUGACGGAGGUGUAGUAAGAUAUUUUUUCGGCGAAAAGAGGUAACAACACAAUCAUAUUAGAACAGAGGUGAGAAAUAGGUAAUGCUGAGAAUGUUGCGAAGAACUGAAAUGUUUUAAUUCUGACAAAAACAUAUACCUCUCUUUGCAUCAAGAAUUAUAUUGCUGAGAUAAUAUAGAACAAUCGAACAUAUGAGAUAAGACGAUUAUCUGGCACAUGCCAGUGUGUCCGUGAUUUGUUUUCCUUUGGUCGAACAUAGAUGGCAUACUUGAGUAGUGCUGAUGAUGGAGACCAAAAGGCCAUAACUUGCGAAUAUAGUUAUACCAAAGGUUAUAAUUAUUAUCAUAUAAACAUUAGAUAAUUUUUCUAGUCUAAAUGACAAUUCUAAUUUUCGAUCUUGAGGAAAUGUAAUACAUGUUGAAGACUACUAUUCCUCAAUUAAUCUACAUCGACACUGAUAAAAUAUUAUAUUUGACAGCCUUUAUAGAGUGGACUCUGGAGACCCCAAAAAGACACACUAGUAGAAAUAAGGGCUUUCGUCCCAGCUCGAAAACACAUUAGUCCCGGUUCCUUUACGAACCGGGACUAAUGUUAGUAUUAGUCCCGGUUCGAGCGGCAAAGGCGCCGGUCGGGCAUUAGUCCCGGUUCAAAUGGGACCUUUAGUUCCGAUUCGUGUCUCGAACCGGGACUAAAGGGUUUGGAGGAUUUAGUCCCGGUUCGUGUCUUGGACCUUUAGUCCCGGUUCGUAUCUCGAACCGGGAGUAAAGGGUUUGGAUGAUUUAGUCCCGGUUGGUGUCUUGAACCGGGACUAAAGGUGUUCAGAUUUUUUUUGUGUUUUUAAAUUCUUGUUUGUAGUUUCUGUUUUAAAUUGCUUAUAUCUUUUAGGAUAUUUGAUGUUUUUUAUUGAUUCUUUUUGCAUUAGAUUCAAAAUUUUGUCUAGUUUCUGUUUGUGCCAUUAGUUUUCAAAUUUGAAUGGUUUAAAUUUGAAUUUGUUUAAAUUUGCUUCAAACCCAGUUUUUGAUUAACUUGAGUUUACAAAUAGUUUUUAAUUUAAUUCUUUUUGCUCCCACUCAUGUGUUAGAUUGUUAUCACAAUAAGAUUUAUUUGGUUAUUUUUAGAAUAAUUUAAAUUAGGAUUUUAAUUAAACAAAUAUUGUUUUGCUUAUAUAGUUGUUUUAGUCAUCUAGUUGUUGUUUUUUAUUAUGUUUAGUUAGUUCUUUCUGUAGAUUUUAACAUGUUGUAGUAUGGUGCAUAUUUAAUGCACAAAAAAAUCUAUAGUUCAAUUAAUUUUAAAAAAAUGCCUUUGUAGCAGAUGGGUUUUCGUCUGAAACCUUGAUACUUUGAGUUUUGUACAAAAUAAACAAAAAUGAUAAAAUCUUCAAAAAAUAAACAAAAAUGAUAAAAUCUUCAAACAAUAAAAUCCUUUGAGAUGUUGUUAGGUUUUAGUGUCUAGUCGGUAUAGAAAUUUUGAGAUAUGAAUUUUGACCAUUUUGGCAAAAAAAGGAAAAAAAUAAACGGCCAUAACUUUUGCAUACGAUGUCAAAACAAAUAAUAUAUCAAAAAAAACUAGAAAAUAUUGGUACUCGAUUUCACCCGGGCUUGCCCGAUGAAGUUUUCUCACAUGCUCAAAAUUCCAAAUGGAAAAAAAGUUAUUUCAAAAAGAAGUUUUUCCAAAAAAAAAAGAAAAAUAGUUUUAUUUAAAAAUAUUAGGUUGUUUUCAUUGAAAUUCACUAUUAUUGUUACUUAUUAAGUGUAUUUUAGUAAUUGUUUUUAAUUCAAAAAAUUAAAUCAUGUGACAUGACAUCAAGACCCAAGUUGUUUAGGAUUGAUAGCUUACUAUUGUCAGGAAAACAACAAGUGCACACUUGGCAACUAGGGGCGAUAGAACCAGAAAGUUAAGGUGCUCGGGCUGAAGCAGUGAAAGUAUGGGUGAUCGGCCGGGAAGUUAGACGAUUUGAAAUGAGUGAUCCACGCUAGAGCAGUGAGGAUGGGUGAUUAGAGAUUAAAUUGUCAAAUAAUUCAAAGAUUAGAAAAUUGGAAUAAAACAUAAAAAAUAUUCAAAAAUAAAAUUUGAAAAAAAUUAAAAAAAACUACAUUUUCGGGUCAAAAAAAACAGACGGAUCCUUUAGUCCCGGUUCGUAAGUAGAACCGGGACUAAGGGUGUGUUUGAUCCUCCCGCGGCGGCCGCCGGCCGCGUCGGCCGCCCAGAGUGGUUGCCACGCCCGCCCAUUGUUGGCGAUUGGCCACAUCCCUUUGUUUGGAGAAUAUUCCCAGCAUCUUGUUGACUCUAUCCCUCCUCGCCCCAGAUCCAAACUCAUGGCAACCACAGAAAAAACUGGUUAUCCCUGUCCGUGGGAGGAUAUCCCUCCAACCAAAUACACCCUAAAGAUACUCCCUCCGAGGCGGCCACGUGGAGCACCUUUGGUCCCGGCUUGGAACAGGGCCGGAACUAAAGGUUAGGCCUUUAGUUCCGCCCCUUUAGUCCCGGUUGAUGAACCGGGACUAAAGCCCCUUACGGGCCGGGACUAAAGGCCCUGUCACCACUAAUGACACUUACUAAACUAUCAAUCUAGCCGUACUUGAUCAAAUAGAAAGGAGCUAUAACUUGCACAUGGAGACAUGGCUAAACAGCAAGAUAGCAAUACACAGUACCCCUCACAGUUUGUACAUCCAGAAGACCUGAUCAAUUUUAACACGUACAUAUGAACAGGAAAUUCUACUAGUCUUGUAUCACACGUGAUAAAAAUCCUUUACUGAUAAUCAAUUUCCCCAUGCGCCUCACACCCUAAUUUUCUGCAAGACCAAGAAACUCAAUUGAUGCGAUACUGAAUAUCCCAAGAUCUACUUUUUAAAUCUUAUUCACAUUGUGCUAGACUCAUCUUGAAGACAUCAAUAGUUUUUUUUUUGCAGUGAUGAAGGCUUGAACAGUUUACUUAUUUACAACAGAUAAAAUAGACGGGCAAGGCUAGCAUUAGCAACGAUCCUGCGUAGCAGUAGCUAUAUACAAUCAAACCUAAACUAACAGCAUGAGUCGACUAAAAAAGUGCCAGUGUCCUCACCUGAGAUUAUGUAUAUUUUGCGUCAUCUCUGAUAAAGAAUUAUGAAUUAUGAUAGACCCGGAGUGUAUGGGGAUGUAUCUGCCUUGCCGAGUAGAAGCCUUCCAUAGACUAUGUAGCUCCACACCUGUAUUUGUAGUACGUCUCAUGUCAUGGCUCAUGGGGCAUGGGCCAUGGGCCAUGGAAUUCGCUUUCUACUGAAAGAUGUCUCUGUCGCUUCUGUCCAAGGCAUCACGACAGCUAUGGGCUCUUGCAUCGUAGCACGGGCCACUGCAUCACCCGCACCUUGAGCAAUGCUACAUCUACGUAAAUGUUUACGUAAGUUUACGGGAUAGUCUUGAUAGAUCCCGUGGAUCUUAGGCCAGAUGUGUUCGGUAUGAUGUGGAGAUUUAUUACCUUUUAGUUUGCUCGAUGAGCUCCCUCCGGUCGUCCAUCGUGAGGUGGUGACGACGGUGGGGAAGGAGAGAGAUGUAGCAGCGGCGGCGGUGGACUUCCCAUCGCUUCAGUGCAUCCCUCUAGAUCGGAUUAGGGUUAGAGAGUGGGGAACCAGUGGCGGCGGCGAACCUCGUGUCUUGUGCCAUGGUCCUCACCUCCUCUUUAUAGCACUGCGCGACAGGGGCCCACCAGCCUUACUUGGGCUGGACGCCCCCGAUCAGGGUGUGAGUCAAGGUCCAAUGGGCCGUUGGGCCCAUUGGGGAAAGAGAUCAACCUAACAUUCUCCCCAUUGAUCUCAUCAUAUACUUUUAACUUUACCCGUUUCGUAACAGAUCAAUACAUAGGGCAUGUUUCAUGUCACGGCUCAAUUGCUGAUGGACUCAGACAGCCACAAUGUACCUCUCUAUUUUGAGACAGAUUCUUUAACCUUGGGCCCUUUAUUGUCCGGAAAUUUUAGACUAUACCAAAAAAAACCAUGUCGAUUGUGUGUUCUCCGAACGCACUGGGCGGUAAGCCUUUGAUAAGAAGAUCUGCAAACACUUGUUUGUCGCUUUUAUGCUUUCAAGCAUUUUUCCAUAAUUCCGGACUUUCUCCUUCACAACACAUAACUCUUUGUCAGUGUGUUUGGCAUCAACACUUGACUCGUUGUGACAGGAGCGAAAGAAUUUAAAAUGGUUAUCGUUGUUGUCAACCAUUAUCAACUCCGGGUACAGGUAGCCUUAACCAUGUUGCCCGUCCCUCAGCCUCAUAUCAAGCUAUGACAUAUCAUUGCAUCAAAUUGAUGACAAUCGUUUUUACUCAUUUGGAGAUUUUCCACACAAAACACCGAGUAUGAAAGUUAGCGACAAUUGUGGAUUUCGCUAUACAUUUCACAAGUCCUCUUUUGUACUCACAAUGUUUUGAGAGCACUUAUUUCUUUCAUCAUGAGGCCGAUAUCUUUGACUCCAUUCCAUUGAUUUAUCUAUGGACUGGACAUUUCCAAAACAACCUGGAUAUAUACGUGAACUGUGUCAGGGUAAUAUCUUGAGCUUCCAACAACUGAAGCAUAUGGUACCAUAUCCGUUUACAAUCUUUCUUAUUAACUUUUGGAACACCAUAGUUUCCACUUCCAUUACCCAUGACUAUAAGAACAGGCAUAGGUUUUCUCGUAUGCAUACUUUAGAGAUCUUUCUUAGCAUGUUCAUGCGACAUUCCUAAUACCCCCUUUUAUUCUUUUGAACUUUGAGGACAAGAACUUCUUUUCUCCUCCUGCAGUAGAUUGACAUCACCACUAGCAAGUAGGACAUCAUCCACAUGCAUAGGAAUUGGGAAACGAAUUUCCCAUUCUAUGACUUUGCAUGAAUGCAAUUGUCCUCUCAUUUUCUUUGCACAAAAUCUUUCGAUUUAAGUCAUGUUUCACACAUUUACAUAUUUCCUUUCGAGUCACAUUUGCCUUGUAGACCCUUCAUAAAGUCUAUGUUAGNNNNNNNNNNNNNNNNNNNNNNNNNNNNNNNNNNNNNNNNNNNNNNNNNNNNNNNNNNNNNNNNNNNNNNNNNNNNNNNNNNNNNNNNNNNNNNNNNNNNNNNNNNNNNNNNNNNNNNNNNNNNNNNNNNNNNNNNNNNNNNNNNNNNNNNNNNNNNNNNNNNNNNNNNNNNNNNNNNNNNNNNNNNNNNNNNNNNNNNNNCUAACAUAGACUUUAUAGUAGUCACAAGUAUCUGAUUUUCACAUACCUAGAGAACAUUAAAAUCUCAGGUACUGGCACUUCUUUCAUAUGGGGUUGUCGUUGCUCUGUCAUUGCCAAGAGGGAAUUAAUUCUAUAGUCACCCAUUUCCAAAAGGCAAUAGGUUUUACAGGAACCUGUAUCACAAGAUCCCUUGUAGAGCUAACAACAGGUGUUGUAUAGGUCAUACAACAUGCUCCCCCAGAAUACUCCAUCUUCACACAAGAAAUGGCGUAUCUUUAAACUUUCUUCUUUAUGGCACUUUAAGCACCACCGUUGUAUUCCUUAGUCUGCUUUCGGAACUAUAAAAGAUCCGAAAAUACAAUUGUUUCUUUUCUUUAGGGGUAUCAUAAUGACGGUACUCCGAUGACUGUCGUACUCCCCUUGACAAUCACAUUCUUCAUUAAUGGAUCACUUUAGAUGCAUAAUGUGCAUCACAUCAUCUGAAGUACAGAGGAGUCAUGAAAUACACUACAAUGUAUUUCAUGUCUCUAUCUCCCCCUCGAAAUGUGGAAAGAACUUUUCUGCCACAAUUUUGAAACCCAUUCAUAGCUCUUUUGAAAUGAGGAAACUUCGAUUAUCUAGCUCAUUCAUCUUAUCACUUCAUGUAAAAUGAAGUUAUAAGUUAACUAGUAUGGGAGUACUUUUUCCUCAUUUCAUUUCGGAAACUCAAUAGAGUUCUUUAUAGUUGUCACUUUUGCAAGUUACACUUGCAUAUCAUUCUUGUCUUUAGGUUCGUCUGUUACUUUUAUCCUUUCUGGAUUUAGUGAUUGCAUAAUGACCGUUACACAUAAAGUGUACGGUCGAUAAUAGGAAAGCUUAAUAGCUACUCCAUACUUUUCUCCCAUAGUGGGACACAUUAACCGCACAUGAGUCAUCAUAACUUUCUCCUGUCAUAUAGGAUAAGACCUUUGCCAAAAUUUCUCCCGCCAUACACGGAUUGUUAACCUAAUACAAUGUCAACUUUACCCGGUGACGCAGGCAUUCUUCCCAGACUUUUCCCACCAUGCAGGUAAUUCCCUUUAAGGGACAUCAUAAAUGCCAUAAUUGGCUCUUUUGACUGCAUCAAAUUCAGAAAUAAAUCUGAAUUAUCUUUGACACACAUGUUUGAUCCGACGUUGGUCAAAUUAAACAUGCAUGUUGCUUGUUUCAUUUCAAUCAUGUUGACUGAAAAAAGGAGACUCCAUCAUAGAGAGUACAUGAAAGACAUUCGUCAACCAAGACUCUCAAUGAUCUAUCUCUUUUCUUUUCUUGAAUUAAUAUCCAAGAGUUCUUUUCUUUUGAAGCCAUUCUUUAGAGAGAAUUUAUUCCCUCAAGUUAUGACCUUUCUUUUCCAUCUUUCAGGUCACUAGUGCCCAAACAUUCGCUUUCAUGAGUGAAAGCUUGAAUAACUUUUAGUCUGAGAAAACAUAGCCAAUAAACAACGGUAAUGAGCAUUAAAAAUAACCCUACGUUGGUCUGAUUAAAAUCAUGCACAUUAAACCUUUUAAAACUUUCUGGAAUAUUCUAAAACACCGUUGUGGCAGAAUUAGAAUAAAACAUCAUUCUUCUGCAUUAAUUCCAUAUCAUCGUUGGGCAGAAAUGGAAAUAAUGCAUAUAACUCAUAAACAAUGUGAUGAUAGUAUUUCUAUUGAACAACUUUGCUAAUAAAUAAUCAUCAUCAUCAUUAACCAUAUUGCAGCAGAAAUAGAAAUAUGCAUUUCUUUAUCUCUACUCCGAAAAAUUGAUCACUUUGAUACAAAAUUUAUCAGAGAUUUAAGCUUUAAACAUAAGAUGACUCAUACAAUUAUGGUAUUGUUAUCAUCAACGUUGGUCACAAAAUAACAAUACCAUAUUUAACUUUAAAACAAACAUCACUCUAUUGUCAUAGCGGAAACUGUUUGAAUCCUAUUUCACCCACAAGGGAAAAACUUUGCUAAUAACAGUUCUUCUAAUUAAAUUUUCCCAUUGGUUUCAAUUUAAUUGGAGGAUUAAACAUUUACCUUGCAGCGGAAAAACGUGAAUAUAAAAUUCAUGCACCUUUACAGAAAAAUAUUCUGUUAAAAUCAAAAUUCAUGAACUUUAUUUUCCUUAUAUAAAAUCCAUGAACUUUUCAUUUUCUGAAAAAACUCUAUUUAUUUCCAGAAACAUCUACUUUUCUUUGGAGAAAUUUUUUGUCUUUUAUUCUGCACACACCUUUUAUUUAAUUUGCAUAAGGAUGCCUUUCCCUUUUCUAUUUUCUAAACAUAAUUUUCCAAGAAAAUUAUGCAUAGAAAAGACUAUUUUUCUACUUUACAGAAACUUUUCUUUUUCUGAAAAUUAUCUUUAAUUUUUCAGAAACUUUUCUGUUUUUCUUAUCAAGAAAAACUGUCAAUACUUUCUGGGCCGAAACGGGCCCAGUUACCCAGCAGCCGAGCGUGCUCCCGUGCAGCUCCUGACCUGGUGGGCCGCCGGCCUCAGCCGCCUCCCUUUUGGCCCCUUUGGCCCGAAAACUGGCCUGGGAGCGUGUCAUGUACCGCUGGCGGCGCUGGCCCGCUCUUUGCGGCCUAGUUGGCCCGGCUGGGCUAGGGUUAGGCACAGGAGCCAUCCUGGCCGCCCAUCUUGAUCCGACGGUCCCCCGUGGAGAUCGGGGAGACCAAAAACGAGACCGAGCCGGCAGGGGGAACCCUAGCGGUUCAUUCCCUCCCCCCAGCGCCGCUCAUCUGUGUCUCCCGAGCGCACAACCCCUUCCUGCCGCCGCGCCGUUUCGUUCGCCGCCGGUGGCCAGGCCACCGCUUCGCGCGCUCGCCUUUUCGUUUCCCUCCUUAUCUUGUGGCACAUCAAGAGUGAGGGACGCACCAUGCCUCAUGUCUUCCCUCGCGCGUUCUGUUACCGAACGGUGACAGCUCGGCCGCUCCGGCCACCAGCAGCGGUUUCCACCGCGCCGAGCGAGCCCUUUUCCCCUUCCUCUAUUCUUUCCUCCGGCGAGCGAGAGUGAGGGCAGCGAGGCGCGGCUGCGCGCCCCCUCUGCCCCCCGUUCCUAUUUUAGAUCCAGUGAUCUUUCUUUCAGCCACCACCGCCCCAGCGAGAAAGAGACGCGAGCAGAGCCUUCGUCUGCUUCUCUUCGCGCCCGACGACGGUUUCCAGAUGUGGCAGUGGCUGCGCCCCUGCCGACCCCUUCGCCGGUCGUGCGUUCCCCUUGCGGUGAGCGCGCCGCCGUCGAAUGGAUCGGUGGUGGUGCUUGUACUUUGCCCCGAAGGGUGGAUUUCUUUGCAUGUUUUUUUUGUUUGCUUUUUUCGGAUCCAAUCUGAUUCCUUUGUUGGUUUUCCUUUUGGAUCUAAUCAGAUCCAUACUUUUCCUCCAAGGAGGUUGGUUCUUCUUCCCCACACCUCGGCUUGCCGAUGCGUGCGGGGAUCGAGAGGAACAGGCGCGGCCGAGGCGGCACUCUUUGCCGGAGAGGACUCCGGUGAAACCUUUCUUUUCUUUGAUCUUUGCCCUUCUCGGGUUCAUAUCGGGGAGGGGGAAACUUUUCUUGUACAUGUUUCAACCGAAACUCAUCUAAAGCCUCGUGGCUCAUGAUACCAUUGAUAGAUCCCGUGGAUCUUAGGCUAGAUGUGUUCGGUAUGAUGUGGAGAUUUAUUACCUUUUAGUGUGCUCGAUGAGCUCCCUCCAGUCGUCCAUCGUGAGGUGGUGACAACGGUGGGGAAGGAGAGAGAUGUAGCAGCGGCGGCGGUGGACUUCCCAUCGCUUCAGUGCAUCCCUCUAGAUCGGAUUAGGGUUAGAGAGUGGGGAACCAGUGGCGGCGGCGAACCUCGUGUCUUGUGCCAUGGUCCCCACCUCCUCUUUAUAGCACUGCGCGACAGGGGACCACCAGGCUUACUUGGGCUGGACGCCCCCGAUCAGGGCGUGAGUCAAGGUCCAAUGGACCGUUGGGCCCAUUGGGGAAAGAGAUCAACCUAACAAGUCUCACUUGACAAUCAUUGAUUGGAUUAUGAGGAGGAUGAGGCCCACCCACCCCUGAAAAUCAGGGGGGCAUAUUUAGAUUAGUUGAAAGGUUUAGUAAACGUAAGUAAGAUUUAGUAGGUCUAGCAUUUUCGCCCGCACCAUACGUGAAGCCAUGCAUAAUCCUGCUUUUGAUCUCAUCUACCGCCAGGGAGAGUGAGGACGUUUCAGGAGGAGAAGAACACACCAUCAGCCACAGUCGGGCUAGUGCAUCUCCUACUCGAGCGAUGCGGACUUCACAUGGGAGAUGUGCUCCGAGAGAAAUGCCCAAUCGUGGGUGUGUGUCCAUGCCGCAUGGCACCUGGAAGCUAGGGCGCUGCUCCUGUAUGACUGGAAGAUGAGGAGGCCGAUGGAUGGAGACAUGCUGAAUAGUAAUCUCGUCCGCACCAGAUCAAGAAGGAAUCAACAAAGAAGUGGUUUGCAUAUGUACCUUGCAUCUGCACAGCACAAACCAAUCAGAGGCAUGGCUAGCUGCUUGGCCGAAUAAUAGGAGAUCGUUUGUUUUCUAGAAGAAAAAGAAGAGAGAUGGGUUUUCUGUAGGGAGAGAAAGGAGAGAGAUGGACGAUAGGAAUCGUGCCGCACAUGGCUACCCAAAUGUACGCGUUCAUGUAUUCAAGAAAAAAUAAAAAAAGGUAUGCGUUUAUCAUACAACUUUAGAUAGAUCAAUGGUUCUGCUAAAAGAAGAUACAUUAUGGGUUAAAAGAAACUAAUCCUAUUGAAAUAUUUGCACCAUAAAAACUUGGUCCCACCCGAGGAAGGGAUCUCCGAUGAAAAACUUUUUUAACCCUGUCGAAAGAUCUCCACCGUAAUAACUUGGUCCCACAAAAUAAACGGCUCCUAAUUUCUGAUUAACAUGAGAAUUUCUAGAGAGUCCAUAAUUAGUAUAAGUAUAAAUAUAGAUUAUGCAUGCCAUAAACUGAUGCUCAAUAAUAAAACCAACUGAUCCUCUUGUAAAAUUUGAAAGAUUUGUAGGCCAAAUCAUAUUAAAUCAAAGCAUAUUUCCACUCACCAAUUUUGCUAUGAAUUGAUCUAUGCGACGUAUUUUGAAUGGCGACAGGCAUAAUGUCUCAACUCCAUGCAAGCAUAAUACAGCUAUACGUAUAAAUUUCCACUAACACAUACCUUGUCUCACUCUCCAGUUGAACUAAGGACAAUGCUAGAAUACUGCACCAUAUUUUUUGAUACAUUCUUAGGGCGAUUGAUAAACAUUGGUGAUUACCAUAAUGUCCAUGUAAACUUCAUCCACCAAAGCCCGUAUAGCCGAAAUAAACAAAUGAAGUGAUAAAUCAAGUAUUUCGGCCCUUUGGAUCAACAACGAACUUAUAGAUAAUCAAAUGUAUAGUGAUUUGGUAAUACCCCUUCAUGAUAUAAGAAAUUAUAUUGCAUCCAUCAAUCUAAAUAAGCCCAUACAGGGUAACCGAUCAUACAUCUGACGUAAUUGUUUUUGCUUCCAUCCUACUAUUUCUUUCCUUUUGUAACACUUGUUGGAAUAGAAGGUUGCACAUCAUUUUUAUUUUUCAAAACCCAAGUCAUGUUGUUGUGUCUCAGCUCUUGUGCACUAAGCUUUUAUAGUUCCUUCAUUUUCCAAUACGUUAAGCCGAGUGGACGCCUCGACUGUGGUUUUUUUUUUCAAGCAAUGGUAACUCUUUUUUGGCCUUGUAUACUCUCAACUUCUUCCCUUCAGAUUUUGCACUUUAAUUUUAACAAUUGAUUGCUUCACUUCUUUACCUUUUGUAGCCAAUACUAACUCUUUAAGUGGUUCCUUAUAUUUUUCGACCAAACCUGAAUUGGCACUCUUGAGACCAUCUUUUUUACUCGAUAUACUUGUUUGAUCACCUUUUCUUUUUUCUUGAGCUCCGAAUUAUUGAAAUGAUUUUGAACAUAUGACUACUCAUUGAAUGUUAGUAUUCUUGGAGCUGUAUAAUAUUGGUGAUAUGGUUAUAAGAAGAUGGAGAAUGUGCCCUUGAAUCAUACCUAUCCCAUGAUGGAUACAGAUUUACGCGAGCAUAGGGAGGCAUCCACGACACUGGCAUUGGCGGCCCAAAUUAAGGAUAUGAAUAUGUUGCAUUGAAAUUCUCGCUUUCUCAAACCGAUCCUUGGUUCUGCGCCUAGGGGGUGAUCUUGAUGCUUUUACAUUAUUUAGUCGAUAAGCCCUUUUUAGCACAUUCAAUUCUUAUAUUUAAAGUUUUGAUUUUUUUUAUCCUUUUGCUUAUUUUGACCUUUUUUCUCCUUUCUUGCAUCAACCUUUGGAUUUUCUUGCUUCCCCCAGAGCUUGACGUCUUCAUUCCAGCUUCGGUGGAAUUCUUGUCGUCAAUAAUAUCUUCAAUGUGAAGUUGAACAAUCUCUUUAGAAAGCUUGAUUCCAUCCCCUGAAGUUUUUGCCUUCUCUUUAAAUGGAUGGUUUGAAGAAACCCAAGAAAAAACUUUUUGCCAUCAUGACCCAUCGGAAUAGACUGGUCAUCCCAUGUUCUUUCAACAAAUUUCAAUUUUCCUUUUUCAAUGGCCGAUUUAGCUAUUUGACGAAACAUGUUGCAAUCCUCAAAACUAUGUUUGAAUGAAUCGUGCAACUUACAAUACAUUUGUCCUUAGAUAGAUGGCUUUACAUGGUGACCAAGAAUUCUAAUAUAAUCAUUUUUAGCAACAAAUCAAAGAUUUGAUCACACAUCCUUGAGUUAAAUGUAAAUCUCUUAUUUUGCCGAUCUUUCUAUGAGAAUGGCUUUGGAAGUAAGAAAAUGAAUGGUUUCGAUUUGGCAUCUCCCCAUUCGCCUAUGAAUUUCUUUCGCAUUCUUUUUCCGAUGUCAUUGUGUAAGAAAUUAUACUAGCAUCGGUUUUCUCAAAAGUAUUUAACCUUGGCUUCAAGUUACUGGAAAGAAAAUAGCUAGAACAUACAUGCCUCAAUUGAGGCCAAGUGUAAGCCAAGUAUGAAACAAGCAAAGCUACCCAUGUAGAUAUAAACUCUAAAUAAAACAAAAGGGAAAGCUUCAAUUGUAAUAAUUUUUCACUAUCCGUCUUUUUGAAUGGUGCGAUAUGUUGACCAAUAUGCUUUGUCAUAAUAUGAUUGCUAACAAUAAAUUACCCUUAUUCAUUGGUCUCUCAGUAUUACUUAUGAAGAUUUUUCUAAUAGAUGCAUCAACAACAAAGUUAUGAACAAAUUGUAAUAGAGGUAAAUUACUUGCUAAACGUACCUCUUCGGUUAGGUUGGGAGAGAAUGAUGGUUGCAUGACAUGAAUAAUAUCAUGCUUUGUUUAUGGAUGGCUUCCCAACACCUCAAAUCCCUGAUUUUCUUGGUUUGUGCAUCAUUACAUUGAAGAUGUUUGUCAACUGAACUUUGUUCAGCUACUUGUUCUUGUCCUUGAAGCUCGUCAAUUUGUAUGGCACUAGACUCAUAGGGCAGGAAGUAGGUUCCAUUAACUUCAAAAUAAUCAAACAUGGUUACUAUUCUAUCGUUGCCAUGACCUUUCUCAAUAAUCCUUUCCUCUUUGGAUUUGAUGGAUUCAUAAUAUAUACUACUUGAUUUGGCUUUUUCAACCGAGCACUUUCAUGUUCAGAAUCAUCCUUAUUUUCAUUGAUUCUACAAACUCGCAAUAAUUAUUGAAAGGAUCGAUAUGGUUGACUAUAGGGGUGGCUAAUAGAUAACUAACAAUUUUUAAGCUUUACUUAAUCAAUUAAACUUUAGCAACAAAUAGGUUUUCUAAAUAUGCAACUAAGAGAAUGACCUAUAUGAUGCUAGCAACAUGAAUAACAAGUAAGUAAAUAAUGCAAGUAAGGGAAAGAAGUAACCACAAGUGGAACUGAUGAAGACGAGGAUGUGUUCCCAAAGUUCCUUCCCACAUGGGUAAGUACGUCUCCGUUGGAGCGGUGUAGUGGCACUAUGCUCCCCAAGAUGCCACUAAGACCACGAUAUUCUCCUCACUCCCUCACACAAUGCGAGGUGCCGUGAUUCCACUAGUGGUGCCCUUGAAGGUGGCGACCGAACCUUUACAAAAAUGGUUGGGACAAUCUCCACAGCUGAAUUGGAGGCUCCCAACGAUACCACGAAGCUUCACCACAAUGGAAUAUGGCUUCGAGGUGACCUCAACCGUCUAGGGUGCUAAAACACCCAUGAGUAACAAGAUCAGCGAGGGAUUAGUGGGGGGAUCAAAAAUUUCUUGGUGGAAGUGUAGAUCAAGGCCCUCUCAACCAGACCCUCGAGUAUCAAGAAGUUUUGUUGACUAGGGAGAGAGAUCGGGUGAAAAUGGAGGAACAAUGGAGCUUAGGGUUAGGAAAGGUGAGGUUGUUUGGGAAGAAGAACCCCUUUAUAUAGUGAGCGAAAGAACCUGCCCGUAACCCACCUGUUCUGCCCGUACAAGAGCGGUGCUACCGAUGAUAAGAGGUAGUAUCGCUCCAAAGUGAGCGGUACUACCGCUCACGCACAGGACAGCCGAUCCGAGUGAGCGGCAGGGGCUAGUAGUACUGCCGGAGUGGUACUACCGUUGCCAGAAGCGGUACUACCGCUCAUAAGAGUUAGUACUGCAUCCUACAUCCGCUCGGGGAUCAGUUGCGGUCCUAGCCCAGAAAAAAAAGGACUCCCGACAUGGUAGUAACAAGCGGUAAUACCGCCCAACGGGCGGUACUACCGCACAGUCCGACACAAAAAGUGUCGAGAUCCGCGGGCAGCAGUACUGGCCAACGGACCAAGCUCGGCAACAUCCGCCCUGGAGCGGUACUACCGCCAGCCUGUGUGGUACUACCGAUGACAAGAGGUAGUAGCGCUACCAGGAACGGUACUGCCGCUUGGGUAUUUAUGGACAUUGUUGGGCAAGGGAAGAAGCUCCAUUGAGGUGGGAAAGAUGUUGCGAGGGAAAGUGUACGUGAUGAUUCCACCCAGACCUUUCCGAGGCGGACCCUCUGUUAAUAGUAUGGCUUUUCGUGCGACUCAAGUCCACCGACAACGAAACGUAAGAGAGAAAGCCGUCUUCAUAUCAAUACACCGAGGGGCAUGCAUCGUCUUUGUGCCAAAUGAGGAAAUACCUGAAAGGCUUAGGGCACAUGAUUAGUCCGCAAAAGUAUUGUCAUCAAUCACCAAAACCACUAGGGUAGAAAUAUGCCCUUACACUUAUUUUAUUUCAUCCAAUUAUUUUCCUUCUUAUUUCUAACGGCGAGCGGCAAUUUUGGUUUUAAGUUUUUUCUCAAUUUCAGCCCGCUCAAGAUAUGAUUGCCUCCAAAUCUUUUAGAUUCUUUCGCAAUGACACACUCGUGUUGUCGAAAGUUGGCAAUUGUGUAGCGCGUGUAUAAUAUGACAUAGGACUAGGUGAAGGUGUAUGUAUUGUUGCAAAACCAUAUUUUUGCUCGCCAAUUUUAUCAUUUGGAAAAGAUUCAUCCUCUUAUAAAACUCUACUUUUAUUGCAUUAUAAUGAGGAACUAGCCCCUUAUCAUGCUCUUCAAGGCAAAGAGCACUUCCCUUGUUGUUUCAGGACGUGUCUCUUUUUAAUAUAGGUACUUCCAUCCCGGCCGUAAGGGAUUGCUCCACAAUACUUUUAGAUCUCGACAAUGCGAUGUUGCCAAAAUUGUGCAAUUGCGUAGAGGAUGCAUUAUAUGCUACAAUAUUAGAUGAUGUCAUGUGCACUCCUGCACAAUUUUCACUUAUUCAACUAUGACCAUGAAGCUUUGAAGUUGAAUUGUGAGCAUCUACAGUUGUGUACGGUGCCAAAAAAUUACUAACACAUGAGGUGUAGCAUAUGACGGUUGACAGUAACUGGUCGAAUAGUUAGUGGUAGCAUGGCCAAUUCUCCCAUCCAUCAGCAAUGGGGUAUUUAUUCCAGGCCGGCGGUAUCAUUGUUGAGCGAUCGCUCGGUUGAACUAGUACAUUGUAAAUUAGCUGUCCAAGAAUAAAAAGGUCAAACACUUUGUUGCAUGCUAUUGGAACUUCCUACACAAUGUGUUUCAAUUUGAUUGACCAAACUCAUCAUGUUGUUCAUCCGCAUAACGAUUUGUGGAGUUGCUGAUGGAUGAGAGUUUAAAUACAUAUGGUGCAUGUUACUAGUAUCAUAAGUUGAAGCACGUAUAUAACCUUGAAUUGGCCUUUGCAUGUGAUUAGAUGCAUGAUUGAAACAACUAGGGAUGGUCGAUAGAGUAUACUCAUUGAACGAUCUAGUAAUACCAUAUGAAUUAUUUGUAUGUACACUAGGGAAUUGGGUAUUCGUAUCACCUUUGUAGAUUUCAAACCCUAGAUGACGGUCUCUUCAUACCAAGAACGGGUUAGGGAUUGUUCGAAGUUUCGUCCCUAGCAGAGUCACCAAAAAGUGUGUUCGCACACGAACACAUUACUGUGCACCCUUACUGUCGAGGGUGACACAUUAAAGGAGACCAGUUUGAAAAAGCGGUUCACAAGUAGUCCGACGAGCACUUUUGUAGAUCCGAAACUCCCACAUGGCCGAAAGGGACCCCGUCAAAGCGCAUGGUGGCUAUGGGCUACAUUAGGUCGACCUGACCGCCCCUAGGGCCUUGUGGUUCGCCCAAUAGGAAGAACGAACAAAAGAACGAGGAAGAAGAAGAACUAGGGUUAAGGAGAAAAGUUAAAGGUAAAAAUUGGUAGAUUGAUUUUGCAGUUGUGUGUUGUUCAAUCGUCUGUCAUCUCUUAUCUAUUUAUGAGGCGAUUGGACUUUCCAUACAAGAAAAGGACAAAAAAAAUCCGUUUCAAAUAUCUAAAAUCCUAACCUAACUCGGACAGGAAUCUUUUGUAAUUUUCCGUCUUAAUUCGGGCCCUCCAAGUGGUUUCGUUCAGUCUCACCGAGUGGACGUUGCCAACUUUCUGUAAUCUUUUGUAUCUCACUCGAAAGUUCCAAAUGGGUUUCACUCGGUCUCACCGAGUGCACUGGAUGCUUCGUGAAUUUUUUUUCCAACACCAACUCGGUCUCACCGAGUCAAAUACACUCGGUCUGUCCAAAGUGACUCUGCGGUUUUUGUUCUUGACCUUAUUUUGACUCCACAGGUCGCAUACGAUCUAAGAUUAAGAUAAUUUUUCUAUCAAAUUCAACCAUUUCGAUGAGCCAGACAACUUUGAUGUUGAACACAUUUUCAUCAGAGUCCAUCUUAAUUAUGUUUCAUGACAUAUUAUAAUCUAAUAUCAACACGAGCAUGUGUAAAAUUUCAUAACUUUUGCAUCUGAACUCCAUUUUGGCCCAUCCUCGUAUCCAUCUUUGAUCUCCUUGAAUAGAACAGAACCAUCCGAAGGUGACUUUCAAUCGUAAGUUUGAAUUAAUUUUGACAUAGCUUAAGUUACUUUUAUGACUGUCACUUUUGAGCGCCGACAAUGGCCUAGUAUUUUCCUGGAGUUGUUGCCACUCUCUUAUACUUCUCCCGGAAGAGUUUUUCUGAUAGCCAUUCUGUCCAAAUCGUUCUCCAGGCUUUCUUCACUGUCUUAUUCUUUAAGAAGGCAAUGAGUUGUAUCUGUGAAAUUCUGUGUCAGCAAUUAGUUAUAUCUGUGAAAUUCUGUGUCAGCAGUGCUAUAUCGGGCUCUAGUGCGCCGCCCAUACUUGACAGCGAACCCAGCCUGUGCCAUGGUAUACCAUGAAGCGGAGACGUGCUCAUGGGCCCUGCGCUGAUCGCCGUCCAUAUCCGAUUCCAGCGAUUUGACACCGAAUCAGCCUACCUAUCUCACUGGGCAUGUUGGACCUCCGGUAGGCACACGUCGACAUUGCUUUCCAUAUAUUGUAUGUUGUCAUCCUCACACCACGAAAUUGUACUCUGCACAUUAGUUGAUGGGUAAUAAAGCAACGAAAAGGACAUGCACAACGCUGCACCCUCGCAGAUUCACCCAAAGGCUAGGUUGUUCACGCAUCAGGUGGACACGCUCUAGCUCUCGAACUUUCAGAAGACCAGAUGGUAUGUCAGUUGGCAAUCCUUUUCCCUUUCUGUCGUUUCUACGGACACUGUAACUUGCAUGGUUAAUUAUCUGCCGCGGUAUACCUUUAUUCUUGAGGUUGGUCCGUAGUAUGGGUUGGAUCAAUGGUGUUCCCAUUGCGUUGGUCAUAUUUCCGUUGUUCCUUUUCCUUCGUAGUACCUGCUCACGAAUAUACACGUCGAACAGAAUGCAUAAAACAGAAGCGCUUACAUCCAAGUUGGCAUAGAUGCACGUACUCCAGACUUAACUAAUCACACCAUCAUCACCAUGCAUAAAAGGGUUAUGCACUACCAGCUUUGAGCGGUGCCCAUGAUCCAUUGUCAUCGGCUUCCGCUUUUCAAAGUAUAAUAGACCAAACGGGAGAUCAGCUCAUAUGCCGUAAUUAUUGUUGCCCACGGAGCUGACAGCACAUCUUAGCUUCAUGUUAUCUGUAAAACUCUAACUCGUCUCGAACGUAGCUGUGAUGUCCUCUGUUUUCACGGCAUGCACGCAUGAAUAAGAAUAGAAUGUACUCCAUACGUGCUAGCUCGUUGUACAUCUAAUUAGUUUAUUACUAGACCACUCUUCGAUUAAAAAGUAACAUUAUCAGGCCCUUCCCGAUUGAUGAUCCUAGGCAGUAGCACUGGCGUAUUCCGCGUUCAUCUCACGCUAUGCACUAUGAUUAUCUCACGGCUCUCAAUCGGUAACAGUUUCCAGUAGUACCAAAUCAAGUCCAAUGUUCUGAACCUAACGCUAUUGUAGCUGCAAUGUUCGUAGCUAGCUAGUGUCCACGCACAUCAUUGCGCUCUUGCACACGAUUUGGUCAUGUGGGAAUCAUCAUCCUUAACCUGUGCACCUCAGUCCACUCAACGUAGCUGCAUUCAUUCAGGCUAAACACAGUAGGAGUAACUUAGAGCAUCUCUAACAAACCUCGUAAAAGGACACCACCCGUAUAAUUCUGACGAGUAUCUGGUUCUGGUGUGUUUUUCUUAUCAGGACAGACUCCAUAUCCCGUGCGCGGCCCCUAAAAAGUUUAGGGUGGCCUGAAAAAAGGCCCUCUCCAUCAUUAUUUAUGUGGUUUCAUUGUUCGGAUACGGGUCAAACCCUAUCCGCCUUCGCCGCCGCUCCACCACGAUUCCCCUCCCCCUUCGCCCCAAUUUCUCGUCAUCGACGAGCCUAAAAAAAGUCCUAGCGACCCUUCCCGACCCAUGAACGACUACGGAAGUGGUGGGGAUGACGCGAAGCGCCGCCGACGCCGCACGCAAACGGAAGGGGGGGAGUGGAUCAACUAUGGGAGCCGGCUACCACCGACGUUCGAACAUCGCGAGGUCGACGAGUACGAGCGAGAUCUCGCGGUCCACGUCCAAGGAGAUCUUCCUCGAGCAGGGUGUCGCGGCGUCGCACGCGCAAGCGUCCAAGGAGACGGACCUGAUCAUCGACCUCAACUCCGACGAGGACUGAGCACAUCUGGCUCCUCCGUCAUAUCAUGGCCGACGCAGGCUCGUGUACACUGCACGGCCCGCAGAUCUCCCCCUAUGUAGCACUAUGAUGUAGUAUGAUAAGCAACUUCUAUGAUGCAGUAUGAUAAUCAACUAUGUAUGAUGAAUGCCAUUGUAAGUUUCUCCCAUUAAUGUUUUUUCCCAAAUUUUAUAGUUUCAUAUACGGGGUCUUUAUCUGCAGCGCAUAAAUUAGCCCCGCAAAUCUGAUCUGUGGCGAACUAUAAACGUGCUUUUCGGGUCCAACUUUUACGGGGUCUGUUAUACAAGUACAUAACACACUUCAAGGCAGGUUUAUUUAUGUGGCAAGCAGUUUAUAAUGCAAGAGGUGAUUCUGCUAUAAUAAUACACUACCAAAAGAGUUGGGCGAGCUUUACUGCACCAUUAGUGUUGUUGGGUUUUCAUGUUUUAUUGUCUCAAUCUGUUUCAAAAUAUAAGGUCUAUUAGUUUUUUAAAAGUCGAACCUCUUUAAGUUUCAUCAAAUCUGCAGAGAAGUAUAUCAAAAUCCAUAAUAUGAAUUUGGUAUCACUAGAUUCAUCAUGAAAUAAAUUUCUAUAUUUUAUUUUAUUUUAUUUUGUAUUGUGGAUGUCGAUAAUUUUGGCUGUGAACUUGAUCAAAGUCAAAGAAAAUUGACUUUUCAAAAAACUAUUACACCUUAUAUUUUGGAAGUGAGGAAAUAUUUGUUUUCGCGAGUGGGAAAGAUGGUGGCGUGUGUUUUAUUUUAAUUUAUAUAAUGUGGUGUUUUGGUGUGUCUUUCGCACUGUGAUUCUUUGUUAUCUGCGAAUCAACUCAUAUUUAUGUGAGGAAUUUUUUUGCGUCACUGAGUGCAUGUACUAAAUUGGUUCUAGUGUAUCACAUGGUGGUGCUUCUUUUGUCUAGGUGAUGAGAGGAAGCGCGGAAUUGAUGUGUUUUAUAGGCUGGUUGUUGCUAAUUGAAUUGAAAAAUCGUUGGCCGGUAAAAUCAUGAAUCAAAUUCAAAACUGAAUACCUCAUUCGAAUGGAAGAGUUUCAAAUUUAGGAAGCAUGGUGAAUUAAUUGGAAUGAGAGAACUCCUUGAGAAAUUGAAUGAAAUCGGAUGACCCAAUUCUAAAUUGGGGACCUCAAUUGAUUAUGAGCGCUUCAAAAUCAGUGAGCCUCGUGUAUUAAAAGAAUUGAAUGAGUGAACUCCUUAAGAAAUUUUUGACCCUAUCAAAAUCGUAUGACCCAAUUUUAUUGAUUGCGAGGCCUUAAAAGUUAGGGAACAUAGUCUAUAGUACUAGAAAGACUGGACGUGAUUUGCUGCAUCGUUGGUGUUGUUGGGUUGUUAAAUAAUUACCCAUUCUGUUUCAAAAUAUAAGAUGUAUAUUAUUACGUUUUUGAAAAAUCAAACCUUUUAAGUUUGAUCAAUUUUGUAGAGAAAUAUGUCAAAUCACAUAAUAUUUAAUCAGUGUGAUUAGAUUCAUCAUGAAAUGAUUUUCUAUUAAAAAAUAAUAUUGUGGAUGUUGAUAUUUUUUGCUCUCGUUGUUGGUGAAAUUUGACUUUUCGAAAAACUAAUACCCCUUAUAAUUUGAAAUUGAUGGAAUUUACUUUGGCCGAUGAAGGAGAUGAUGGACUGAGUUUUAUUUUUAUUUAUAAUGCGUUGAUGUGAUGACCUUUCAUGGUGUGAUUAUGUGUUAUCUCGUAACUGAUACGUCUUCAACGUAUCGGUUAUUUAUGAAGUAUUCAUGUCAUGUUUGUCUAUGUUUACAACACUUUUAUAUGGUUUAGAUGCACUUUAUAUGAUUUAUUUAGAACUAACCCGGACUGACGCUAUUUUCUGCAGAAUUAUCGUGGGUUUUUUUGUGUGUGUUGAAAAUGAAAGUUCUCGGAAUCACCCAAAACAUUUAUAUAUUUUUUCUGGAGGAAAUAAGCAACAUUGGAGCGAAGAACUACCGGAGGGGAGCCACCUGUGGGCUACAAGCCAACAGGCCCCCACCCCCUAGGUCGUGUUGUGAUGGCUUGUGGGACCACAUGGCUCCGUUUGGCGUGAUUCCAACACUGAAAAAUCCUAUAUAUACUAAAACCUCCAGAAAUAAAGAAAGACCUUCUGCUCGGCUGGCACAACUCUCACUACUAGGAAAAACCUUAUAGGCAUUAUGUUGCAUAUUAUCGUUCAAAUUAUGUUGCAUAUUAUCGUUCAAAUCAUGCCUCUUUGUUUUCUUAAGUACAUUAUGUUGCAUAUUAUCGUUCAAAUCAACAACUCACGAUGCAGGUACCUAGAUCAGAGAUGGCGAAGGACUACUACGCCGUGUACGUUGGGAGGGUUCCAAGAGUCUACGACCACUGGCCAGCCGCUCAGGCCCAGGUGCACAGGUACCCGGGUGCUAGCCACAGAGGGUUCGACACCAGAGCCGAAGCGGAAAGUAGUUACUUGAGGUGGGGUACUACAUAGCCGCGCUCUUCAUCAUGCUGAUUGCUCUUCACUUCUACAUCAUGUUGUAGAUAGAGAUGAUGAAACUUGUGGGUGUGUCAUGACCAUGCAGUUGUACUUAUUCGAGACAUGACAUGAUCGCACUUAUGUAUUGCUAUUUUUGAGAUGAUGUGAUGAUAUUUGUGUUGAAUGAUGAUGAUGAUGAUGGUAUGACGAGACUACUGUAUGUCUAUGAUAUGUGAGAAUAGUGUAUGUUUAAUAUGAUGUGAUGAAACUAUUGUAUAGAGCAUGUAUAAAUACACCACAAAUACGUAGAGGGUGCAAAUCUGUGAAAGCAGAAAUACUUACCAGUAGCGCUUAAAAAUACUUACCAGUAGCGCGGCUUAGCAGCAACGCGCCAUAUGAACAAGCGCUACAACUAUAGUUAUCAGUAGCGCUGGACAAGGAAGCGCUACUACUAACACUACUUACCAGUAGCGCUGCCCAUACCAGCGCUACUACUAGGGUUUAGCUGUAGCCGAUAGCAGUAGCGCUUGGCCCAGCGCUACUACUAUGCAUAUUUCAAGCGCUACUACUAGGGUUUUCCCUAGUAGUGUCUGUGUAUCGACGAGAAACCAAUCUGAAUAGAAAAAACAGUAGCGAAAACAGGAGAGAAAUAGAGAGAGGGGUCCAAUCUUGGAGGGGCUUUCGCCCCUCCGGGAGCCAUGGUGGCCAAGGACCAGAGGGGAGAACCUCUCCCCAUCUAGGGAAAGGCCAUGAAGGAGGAAGCCUAAGGGGGAGACACUCUCCCCUCUGUUCCUGCAGCGCUGGACUGCCUUUGGAGGAACCAUCCCCGUGGUGAUCGUCUUCAUUAACAUCACCGUCUACAUCACCUUUGCUCAUCUAUCUAUGGCGGUUCACUCUCCCACAUCCCAUUGUAAUCCCCUACUUGAACCUGGUAUUUCACGCCACAUAUUAUUAAUCAAUGAUGUGUUUCCAUCCUAUGAUGUUUGAGUAGAUUUAUGUUGUCCUUUGGGUUGAUUGAUUUUUGUGUAUGUUUUAUUUUGUGUUGUCCUAUGGUGCCCCUCGUGUAGCACGCACGUGAGGGAAUUCUUGUUGUAGGGUUUGCAAUAUGUUCAUGAUUCGCUUAUAGUGGGUGGCUAGUGUGACAUGAGAUUACAACCGAGUAAGGAAGUUGUUUGCCUACGGGAGUAAAGGAGACUUGAUGUUUAAUAUUAUGGUUGGGUUUACCUUCAUGAUCUCUAGUAGUUGUCGAUGCUUGCUAUAGAUCAAGUCAUAAGUUCAUAUGAUCCAAGUACGGAAAGUAUGUUAGCUCAUGCCUCUCCCUCAUAUAAAAUUGUAAAAAAGAUUAUCGAUCUUUGUUAUCUAUUGCCUAGGAUUAUUCCGCACUCCAUACCAUCAUUCUUCCACACUAACUAUUUGUAAUAUAUUCUAAGUUUAUUUAAUGGAACAACUAUUUUCAUAUUUUUGUUCCCCAAUAUCAUGCAAAGUUACCCUCUUUAUACCCAAAAACAUACUUUUAAAUAGCGAAGAUAGCAUCCGCUAUUGCGUCCGCAACAGCGCUAGCGCCAUAGCGACCGCUAUCACUAAAAUUAAAUGGCAUUAGCUUUUCUUCAUGUUCUAGUGAUAUAAACAAGAAUUUAGUGUUUUUACAAAUCUGUUGCGCAGACAAAGCACCUGCAGUCUCGCGUGCUAUCCUCAUUCCACCAUGCUUAACCCAAUCCGCUACGAGUCCGCUAUCCGCUAUUUAAAACCAUGCCCACAACGCAAUUUUAUUUCUUGUUACUAGAUAGAAGCAAACGUUCGGUGUAUGUAGGGUUUGGUAAAUAGGACUUGAGAUAAUAUUGAUCUUACCUUUAGCUCCUUGUGGGUUCGAUACUUCAUACUUAGAAAUUCCUUGUGUAGAAAAUGCUAUGAUGAUUUCUUGCACUUGGGGAUUAUCAGUAGCCAACAUAUAUUUAUACAGGAAAUUUUAUGUGUCGGCAACUGCAUUGGUAUGUUGAUGUUACAUUAUCACAUGAUGGUGUUUAUUUUUAUGGGUGGUGGGAGGGUGCAUGGAAUUGACAUGUUUUUUAGGCCAGUGGUGCUCACUGAUUUGAAAAUCGAUGGUCCGACGAUAUCGCAAACCGAAUACAAAAUUGAAUACCUCAAUUAAAUGAAAGAUGAUGAGGAUAUGGCUACCUUGGGUACGAUAAAUAAUAUUUUAUAUUUGCAUAUUUAUGUGGUGAUUUAUUAUAAUAAUUAUGUAAUAAUUUAUUUGUGUUAUCCGGAACAAAAAUACUUCACCUAUUUUUACUCCAUGCCUAAAUGUAGAAUUAUCGAACGUUUGCACGAACCACAUGUGAAGAUAAAGAAAGAGGAAAUAAUUAGGUGUUGUUAAAGAAGUCGUUUCACAUCAAAGGAAAUUAUUAUGUGUUGUUCAAGAAGUUCUCUCACAUUACUUUUGGGCCAAGAGAAGAUAAAGUUCAAGUCUCUGACGUUCUUGACUCAGAUUCGGACUGCACACACAUACGUGUCUCAAAACAUCAACAACUUUUUCAUACGGACUCUGAAUUGGGUGAUUCUUUUUUUUGUAAAUUACAUUUUAUGUGCGUUCCAUCCCAAUUAGAAUCGCCUUAAAAUUCUUUCGGACCGUGGAGAUGUCGACGAAACAAUCUGACGUUGCACGAGAAUUCGAGUCAAACUACAAGUCCAAAGGUGUCGCAUCACCUCCACUUGGGCCCAUAGGCCUUGUACGACCUAUGGUUAGUUUUAGGCUGCCUUGGGUUGUCCUCCCACCUCCAUGACCGCCACCCCUUGAUCCUAUAUAAGUAGAUCUACCUAGUAUCUUUUUUAUGGGGAUUUGUUUAGUUAAAUUUAAUGGUAUUUCCGCGGCAGAUGCCAGGAGUGGCUUAGAAUGUGGUUUGGGGUCGAUGGACGCCAGCGACGUCUAGGAACGGGUGAUGGAGCGAGACAUAUGACAUCGAUCUAUCCAGGUUCAGGGUCCUCCGAUGAGGUAAAAAUCCAUAGUCCUGCCGGUUUGACUAUAUGAGAUCACAAUACAAUGGUCCUCCUUGAGCUAUUCGUGAGGAGGGACACGAAGCUCUUGCUGCCUCGGUGGUAUGUGUCUAAGGGUUCGCUAGUUUUCUUCUCCCAUUCUCUUAGGGGAUUGGGGUUCGGAUUUAUAGUGUAGCCAAAUGUAUGCAAUAAUGGGUAGAAAUGGGGUGCGGGGCCCGACUUUCAGCCUCUCUACCUGGCUGUGAGGCUCGCCGGCUGUCGGAUCUUGUCUGGCGCGGGUCCCGUCGGACGUGUGCUGCGGCGAAUAAUGCACCGGCCGCCAGGGAGUUGGUAGGGGUAGGCCCUAGCGGCCACCUCGCUCGGUCAGCCUCGGGCGUAACCGGUGGUGCUGUAGCCACGCCGAGCCUUGCAUGAUGACGCGUGUAGCUGCGCCGGCACUGUCAACAUGCACUGUAGCCAUGUGCGCCCCUGCGCUGAGGGUAUGGUCUUGUUCAUCGUACCUCAAUAUGACCGGAUGGGAUUGGCGCUGACCCACUUGCUGCUGCCAGCCGACCCGUCGUGCGCUGGCCAAACGAGCCGUCUGUGGCCAUCCGGCCAAGGGCGCCCAGCCAAAAGGGUCAAACGCCAAUAUUCGGCCCGUCACACGGUGGCUAGGCGAGCCGCGUGUAUCCAGCCGCCUAGGGGGGCAGACGGCCCGAAUGUCAAGCAGAGGGAUUCCCUCUGCUUUGGUAUACCCAAGGGCCAUAACCCCGUUAGUAGCCCGCAAAACCGUUGGGGUCUGGAGGCCUCCAGGCGAGGGGCCAGUGGUUUAUCCCUCCCCUCCGCCUGAAGGUGUUAUCGAAGUUGAUACGCCCGCCGGAGCCGGCGAGCGGGGACGCGUGUCCCCAGCCGGCUGUGGUGGCAGCCGGUUGUGUCUUAGUCGAACAUUGCGGCGCCUCGGAGGGUCGGAGGUAGAUAAGAGGCCCACCACCACGCGCGCGAUGGGACAUCGCUACAUGCCCGACCUGGCACACCUCAGCCCACGCGCGGUAUCAUUUGUGGCCGUGGACCGACGGUUGUGGUUACCCACGCUGUUUAAUGCGCGUGGGGAUCAUGUGUUAGUGGGGGACGUGGGCGUAACCGAUCGCACGCCCCCACGUCUCCCCCGAGGCUUUAAAAGGGGGGAGACCCGUUUCGCCAUUGCCUCCCCUCGUCCCACCUUCAUUUUUCCCUUGCGAUGGUGCUCUCCGUCGUCGUCCUUACUACUCACGCCUGGAGCACUCGCCGCUGCCGCCACCCCUCCUCGCGGGCGGAGCGCACACCGCCAUCUUUCCUCCAUCCUUCGCAUGUAGUGCCUCCCUGUGGUCGAUCCUAUCGGGAGUUGCAUCUCUCGCCUCCUUUUCUCCGCUUCAUUGCCGGCGACCGACGAGAUGGUCGGACCACCCGCCGGCUCGUGGGAGGGCUCGAUCAUGACGGAUGAACACAUCGACUACCUCCAGCGGACGCGGAAACUCCCGCCCGCGGAGCUUGAUACGUGUCCAACGUAUCUACAAUUUACGAAGUAUUCAUGACAUGUUUACAAUAAUUCUAUAUGAUUUUGGUAUGAUUUCAUUAGAACUAACCCGGCUCAUGUUGUUUUCAGUAGAGCUACCGUGGUGUUGUUUCUGUGCAAAAAUAAAAGUUCUCAGAAUAGGCUGAAAAUUUACGGAGAAUAUUUUUGGAAAAUAUGAAUAAAAUGGAGCAAAAAGAUAUCAGAGAGGAGUCCCAAGGCAGUGAUAAGCCACCAGGCCCCCCCCCUAGGGCACUCCCCUCGCUUAUAAGCCCCUCGAGCACUCCCCUGACGUGAUUCCAACGCCAAAUAUUCUUAUAAAUACAGAAACCCUCGAAAAGAAACCAAGAUCAGGAAUUCCGCCGUCGCAAGCCUCCACAGCCACGAAAAACCAAUCUUGUCCCUCUCUGGCACCCUGCCGGAGGGUGUCACCAUGACCGGAGACCAUGGACGAGGAAGACGGAGGGGCCAUAAUCACGAUGGAGGCCAAGGACCAGAGGGAGAACCUAUCCCCGCCUUGGGGCGGCCAUGGAGGAGUAGGCACAAGGGGGAGACCCUCUCCCCCUCUAUCAGGGUGGUCCCGGAGUGCCACCAGGACAACAAUCGCCGCAGUGAUCGUCUUCAUCAACAUCACCUUCUUCAUCACCAUCCUCAUGUUCUUUUAGCGGUCCACCCUCCCGCACCCCGUUGUAAUCUCCUACUUGAACAUGGUGCUUUAUGCCACAUAUUAUGAUCCAAUGAUGUGUUUCCGUCCUAUGAUGUUUUAAGUAGAUUCCCUUUGUCUCAUGGGCCGAUUGAUGAUCUAGAUUGGUUUGAGUUGCCUGCUUUAUUAUUGGUGAUGUCCUAUGGUGCUCUCCAUGUCGCGCAAGCGUGAAGGAUUCCCGUUGUACGGUGUUGCAAUACGUUCAUGAUUCACUUAUAGUGGGUUCUUGAGUGACAGAAGCAUAAACCCGAGUAGAUGGGUUAUUGCGUAUGGGAUAAAGGGGACUUGAUGCUUUAAUGAUAUGGUUGGGUUUUACAUUAAUGAUCUUUAGUACGAUUGCUUGCUAGAGUUCCAAUCAUAAGUGCAUAUGAUUCAAGUAGAUAAAACAUGUUAGCUUAUGCUUCUCCCUCAUAUAAAAUCGCAAUAAUAAUUAUCGAUCUUGUUAACAAUUGCCUCAGACAAUUCCGCACACCGACCCAUCCUCAUUCCACACUCACUAUUUGUAAUAUAUUCUAACUAUACGAUAACAGCACCUAUUUUUAUAUUUUAGUUCUUCGAUGUCAUGCAAAGUUAUUCUCUUCAUACCCACAAUGUAUUUUUAUUUCUCGUUCCUAGUUGGAAGCAAAUGUUUGGCAUACGUAGAGUUGUAUCAGUGGCAGAUAGGACUUGAGAGAAUAUUUCUCUUACCUUUAUCUCCUUGUGGGUUCGACACUCCAUACUUAUCACUUCCACCUUUGAAAAUUGCUACGAUGAUUCCUUGCACUUGGGGAUUAUUAAGCUCUUUUCUGGCGCCGUUGCCGGGGAGCAAUAGCGUGGGGUUGAUAUUCUUGUGUGUGCUUGUUUUCUUUCUUCACUAAGUAGGUUUUGUUUUCCAUUUUUUCUUUGUUUAGUUGUGGAUUAAAUAAAAAAUUACUUGCCUCUUAUAACUAAGAAUUUUUCAAAAAGAGAAGUGAUUGGAAGGUUGUGCAUUGGAGAAGUGACGGUCGACCUUGAGCACUUGUGUUCAUGAUCAUGGAAGCAAUGUAGAAUUUUUCAUGGAAGUUUAUCAAAAAUAAUUAUGCCCUUGUAUAUAUCCAUUGUAUUAUAAAAUAAUGUGCCAAGAUUUUCCUUUAGGAUGAUUGGAUUGCUUGUUUGGUGUGUUCAGUGCAAAAACAGAAAUUUUGGCUGUACUGCGUGAAUUUACGUUUUUUACUAGAAGGUCGCAAGUUUCUGAAUUUUUUACACAGUACUCCUAUGCAAAAAAAUUAUUUAUUCCUAAUUAUUCAGAAUUUUUUUAGUUACAUAAGUAUACGAAGUUUCCAGAUUGCUAAAAACUAUCUUGUUUUUGAUAGGUUCUGUAUUCUAUGCAUUGUUCUCUUAUUUUGAUGAAUCUAUGGGUAGUACCAGGGGGUACGAACCAUGGUGAAGUUGGACUACAGUAGAUAUAAUGUUAAUAUGAAUUUGGAAUGAGUUCACAAUAGUACUUAAGUAGUAUUUUUCUUUAUUAUACUAACGGAUCUCGCGAGGGUUUUGUUAAGUUUUGUGUGAAUGAAGUGUUCAAAGAUCGAGGAUGUAUCGAUAAAAGAAGAAUAUAGAGAGACAAUAGUUCAAGCUUGGGGAUGCCCAAGGCACCCCAAGUAAAUAUUUCAAGGAUUUUCAAGAAUAUAAGCUUGCGGAUGCCCCGGAAGGCAUCCCAUCUUUAUUCUUCAACAAUUAUCGGUAUACCUUGGUUUUUGUUUUGUUCACAUAAUAUGCUUCUUUAGUGUUUUUGUUCUCUUUUUAUGGACACUUCUAGUAUGAGAUAGUCCUUCAUUGAUUUAUAAAAUUCUUCAUGCUCUUCACUUAAAUAUUUUGAGUAUUUCUUUGUGGAAUGCUCUUUGUGUUUCACUUAAAUCGUUUGAGUAUGGCUCUGUAGAAUGCUCUUCGUACUUCACUUAAAUCUUUUGAGUAUAGCCUUAUAGAAUGCUUCGUGUGGUUCACUUAUAUAUUUUGAGCUUGGAUAUUGGUUGAUAUAUAUUAAUUGUAUAAUUCCCUAUGAACUUCACUUAUAUCUUUUAGAGUAUGAAUAAAAUCAUCAUCGGAAUUAGGCUUGGAAGGGAAUCAUUGAAAUAACCAUGCCUAACUAAAAGGCAUUAAAGAAAAGCGCUUGUUGGAAGACAACCCAACACUUUUACCUUCUGUUUUAAUGAGUUCACAAGAUUAAGCUACUGUAUUAAUCAUGUUUUGUGUCUUUUGUUGCUAUAAACUGCCAAGUAAAGCCUUUGGGAUGACUCACAAGAUGACUAGAAUUGAUGUUGAACCAAAACAGAAACUUUUGACUCCGGUACAGGAAUUUUUAUUUUUUACCGGAGCAUGAUAAUGAUCUUAAAUUUUUACAAAUUCUUUAUAUAUAAAUUAUUCUGGUUGUCCUAAUUUUUUCAGAAUUUUUAGAGACAGGUACGUAUGGCUAUACUACAGAUCUUCACAGACUGUUCUGUUUUUGACAGAUUCUAUUUUGCAUGCAUAGUAUGGUUAUUUUAGUGUUCCCAUAGCUUAUAUUCAGUAAUAUAAAUUAUGGUAAUGAUAGAAUAAAGUAGGUAUCAUGUGGUAACAAUUAUGAAUCUUGUCUUGACAGUACCUAAGUGAAUGAUCUAUCUUUUUUACACUAACCCUUCUCACGAAGUUCCGUUAAGUUUUGUGUGAUUGAAGUUUUCAAGUUUUGGGUGAGACACCGAUAUGAGGAGAACAAGGAGUGACAAGAACCUAAGAUUAGGGAUUCCCAAGGAACCCCCAAGGUAAUAUCCAUGGAAUACUCAAGUGCCUAAGCUUGAGGAUGCCCCGAAAGCAUCCCCUCUUUCGUCUCCAACGCUAUCGGUAAUCUUACUUAGAGCUAUAUUUUUAUUCAUCACAUAAUAUGAGUUUUUAUUGGAGCAUCAUUUUAUUUUGUUGAUUUAUGUUAGGUGCUAUAUAUAAAAAAAAUCAAUAAAAAAGUUUCAAGAAUUGCAUUAGGAUGCUUGCAUUGCAUGGUUUGAUGUGUGUUAUGUAAAAACAAAAACUCUUUAUGUAGUUUUUGAAUUUGCAUAUUUUACUAGAACAUGGAAAGUUUAUGAAAUUUUUACACAGUGUUAUCAUACAAAGUUUAUAGCAUGUCCUAAAUGUUCAUAAUUUUUUGAGUUACACAAGUACAAUGUUUUCAUAUAUUGCUACACACUGUUCUGUUUGGACAAAUUGUUGUUAUAGUUUUGUUAUCUACUUAUCCUAUAGUUUCCAUAGCCUAUAUUGGUAGAUAUAAAUUGUGGAAAUGAUAGUAAACAGUAGAUGAUGUUUGAAAAUUAUUAUACAACUUGUCUUGGCAGUAAAUGAAGAGUUGAUUUAUUAUUGUGUGGACUAACCUAUCUCACGAGUUCUUUUCGAGUUUUGUGUGGAUGAAGUUUUUGAGAAUAGGUGAAACCAUGAUAUGAGAGGAUUGAACGAGAUACGAAAGCUCAAUCUUGCGGAUGCACAAGGCACCCCAAGUAAAUAUUUCAAGGACUCUCAAGCAUCUAAUCUUGGGUAUGCUACGCAUCCCACCUCUCUUCGUCAACUAUCGGUUAGCCUAUGUUGAGCCUAAAUUUUUAUUCGUUCACAUGACACAUCCUAUUCUUGGAGUGUUAUUUUUCUUUUGCUUGAUGUUUAAAUAAAAUACUCAGAUCUGAAAAUCUUUAUUGAGGGAGAGGGUGAAAGUCCUCACAUAGCUACUUAAUUGUUUGACUACUCAUUCAUCUUCACUUAUAUGUUUUGGAGUAGUUUUGUCAUUUACUCUCGUGCUUCACGUAUAUCCUCUAAGUAAAUAGUUGAGUGAAUUGAAUAUCGUAAAUCUGAAAUUAUAUAUAUUUUAAAUUAUAGGUGGUAAAAUUUAUUGAACGUUAGCAAACAAUGCAUUGGCCACUUGAUCAAUUCAUGAAAUAAUAUUGAAGGAAGAGAGAGUCCACAUAUAAAUAUACUAUCUUGGACAUCUUCUAUGAUUGCGAGCCCCAUUAAUUAUUUUCAAAAUUCAUCAAAUUAGUUGAUGUUCGGCAAGGAAGACAACUUAAUGAGUUAUGUUUGGGUAUAUUUGCAUAGAAAUUAUAUUGUUAUGGAUCCUCCAACAUGUGGUGCUUGUUUAGAACCUUUUGCUAGCCAACACUGCGUACUAAGUAUAGAUACUACUUGUGCAUCCAAAAAUCCUUAAACCUAGUUUCUUGCCAAGAGAGUCCACUAUAUCGACCUAUAUGCCGUAUUUACCUGCCGUUCCAAGUAAAUUUGCAUGUGCCAAACUCUAAACCUUCAAAUAAUAUUAUGUUCUGUAUGCCCGAAUCGCUCAUGUAGUGACUAGGGGUUGUGAGUAUCUUCCAUGCUAGGUGGGUUAUUCUCAAGAUAUGUGUUGAUUCACUAUCAUUCACGAGAAAGUGGCUGGUAUUCGGGAUGCUGAGUUCCAUGCUCAAAAAUCAAAUCAAAAUAUAAGGAAACAAAACUCCCCCAAGAUUGUUGUUUGUAUGGUUGGUACCCGUGGAUUCGGCUCACUAUGGAGUGUGAUUGAUUUGUGAAGGGGGAGUAAAAACUUUACCAUUCUGUUUGGGAACCUCCUAUAAUGUAUCUAGCAUGGCAGAUACCAAUAUCUCUUGGUUGUUAUGUUGACAAUGAAAGCAUACUUCUGAAAAUUAUUAUUCAUCUCUAUUUUAAAAACUCGAGCUCUGGCACAUAUGCAAAUCACUACUUCCCUCUGCGAAGGGUCAAUCUAUUUACUUUCAUGUUAUUUACUAUUCUUGUUGAGUUAACUUAGUUUUCCAACCUCAAAGUAUUAGUUGGCAAGCAUCAUGUGGUGGGGAAAGAUCCACACAUAUAUAUGCGAACAAAUAUAUUUGAUCAUGAAUUAUAAUUGUUGACAAUUAUAAAUAUGAUAAAUAAGUUGUGAGGCGAAACUUUAAGCCCCUAUCUUUCUCCUUGUUAGAUGGAUGUUAUUUGUUCUAAAAAUAUGCUUUGAAUGUCAAUAAUCAUGGAAUCCUUCCUAAAAAUAAGAUGAAUUGCAAUUAUUCGAUGACUGAAAGCAUAGUUUGUUAGUUUUCAAGAAACUUUAUGGUCUACACUUUAACACGUGAAUAGCUUGUUACUUCAUCAUGAUAAGUUUUAUGAUAUGAGCUACUGUUUAUGAUAUAUAAUGAUGCUAGAAAAAGUGUUUGGAACUAUCAUUGAUCAAAUUUAUACACUAUGCUAGCAUUCACACUUCCUAAAUUAUUUCUUUCAUCAUUUACCUACUCGAGGACGAGCAGGAAUUAAGCUGGGGGGUGCUGAUACGUUUCCCAUGUAUCUAUAAUUUAUGAAGUAUUCAUGCCAUGUUUACAAUAAUUCUGUAUGAUUUUCGGUUGAUUUUAUUAGAACUAACCCGGACUAAUGAUGUGUUCAGCACACUAUCACGGUAUUGUUUUUGUGGAGAAAUAAAAGUUCUCGGAAUGUGCUGAAAAUUUACGGAGAAUAUUUUUGGAAAAUAUGAAAAGUAAUGGAGCAAAAAUAUGCUGGAGAGGAGUCCUGAGGCAGCCACCAGGGCGGCCCCGUAGGGUGCGCCCCCUGGCUUGUGGGUCCCUCGAGCACUCCCCUGGCGUGAUUCCAAUGCCAAAUAUUCUUAUAAAUAUAGAGGCCCCCAAAAAGAAACCUAGAUCGGGAGGUCUACCGCUGCAAGCCUAUAGAACCACGAAAAAACAAUCAGGCCCUCUCCGGCACCCUGCUGGAGGGGGUCACCAUCACCGGAGAACAUGGAGGAGGAAGACGGAGGGGCCAUCAUCACCAUGGAGGCGACGAACGAGAGGGAGAACCUCUCCUCACCUUGGGGGCCAUGGAGGAGGAGGCACAAGGCGGAGACCCUCUCCCCCUCUCUCCCGGUAGUGCCGGAGUGCCACAGAGGGAACCAUCGCCGAGGUGAUCGUCUUCAUCAACAUCACCUUCUUCAUCACCAUCCUCAUCUUCUUUUAGCAGUCCACUCUCCUGCACCCCGCUGUAAUACCCUACUUGAACAUGGUGCUUUAUGCCACAUAUUAUGAUCCAAGGAGGUGUUGCCAUCCUAUGAUGUUUUGAGUAGAUUCCCUUUGUCUUAUGGGUUAAUUGAUGAUCUAGAUUGUCUUGAGUUGCAUGCUUUAUUAUUGGUGUUAUCGUAUGGUGCUCUACGUGUCGUGCAAGCGUGAGGGAUUCCUAUUGUAUGGUGUUGCAAUACGUUCAUGAUUCGCUUAUAGUGGGUUGCUUGAGUGACACAAGCAUAAACCAGAGUAGGUGGGUUGUUGCGUAUGGGAUAAAGGGGACUUGAUGCUUUAAUGCUAUGGUAGUUAGCUUAUGCUUCUCCCUUACAUAAAAUUGCAAUAAUGCUUAACAAUCUUGUUAACAAUUGCCUAGGACAAUUCCGUACACCGACCCAUCAUCAUUCCACACUCGCUAUUUGCAAUAUAUUGUAAUAGAUUCUAACUAUAUAAUAACAUCACUUAUUUUCAUAUUUUAGUUCUCUGAUGUCAUGCAAAGCUAUUCUCUUCAUACCCACAACGUAGUUUUAUUUCUCUUUCCUAGUUGGAAGCAAACGUUCGGCGUACGUAGAGUUGUAUCAGUGGCAGAUAGGACUUGGGAGAAUAUUGCUCUUACCUUUAGCUCCUUGUGGGUUCGACACUCCAUACUUAUCAAUUCCACCUUUGGAAAUUGCUAUGAUGAUUCCUUGCACUUGGGAAUUAUAAGAGCUUCUCGAGGCCUGCGCGCUCGGCGGCGAGCAAGUGCCGGAGCCUCGAGUCGGCGAGCGUAUCGUCUUCGGCACACACUUCCUCGUCGGCUUUGGGCUUCCGGGGAGCUGCUUCUUGUGGAAUUUUCUUGAGGUCUAUGGGAUCCAGAUGCAUCAUAUGGGGCCUAACUCCGUUCCGUACCUCGCGUGCUUCGCAUUGCUAUGCAAGGCAUAUAUGGACUUCUGGCCCUUUCCCUCCUUCUUCCGCCACUUCUUCCAUUUAUGUGCCCACGCGCACGAUAGUGUGUCGUACUCCUGUGGUGGCGCGGUGGUGUACAAGAAGCGCGGCAGGCCGUUUCCGCAGAUGAAGUGGAAGGAGUCCUUCAAGAAAUGGCAGCACACCUUCUUCUACGUCCGCAACAUCGGCCUGGGGCGGGACUGGUUAACCUCCCGCCCUUUGCUGACGAGCCAACGACUGGGGAGAACUAAAAUCUCGAGUUGUGCAAUGACUUGCUGGUGUCGAUUGGCGGCCAGCUGCAGGAGCUCAUGGGCUCCCUAGGGCUGGUGGCCCCGGACCUGGUGGCGGCCUUUGUCUCUCGCCGAGUGCUGCCUCUGCAGGCACGGCCGCACCGGAUGUGCGACAUGAGCAUCCGCAAGGAACCGUGCUGGCUGUUAGUGGUGGACCUGCCGUUGAGCAAGGUUGCCGCCAGGGUGAACAGAAUCACCGACUUCCAUCGUGGCAACCAUGGACCGCUGGUAAGAUUUCGUCCAACUGAGGUCAUCCCCUUUUUUCCUUUCCCGUAGUAUGUGACACAUGGUCAUGUAUUUCCUCAGCUUUUUGUUCGGCAGAACACAUCAAACGGACCGAAUCCGGAGCGCUUUUCCCCAUAUUAGGAUGAAUCCGACGCCGAGGACUACGAAUUGAACGGGGACGGUCCUGAAGGCCCUGAAGAUUUGUACGCGACGGAGGCGGCGGAGGAUGAUGAUGGUGUUGAGGAGGACGAGGAGGAGGCGGCCGGUGCCGUGGCUGGCAAGGUGGGGACGUCAAGUACUAAUGACCCACAAGUGUAGGGGAUCUAUCAUAGUCCUUUCAAAAAGUAAGAGUGUCGAACCCAACAAGGAGCGGAAGGAUCUGACGAGUGGUUUUCAGCAAGGUAAUAUCUGCAAGAACUGAAAUUAUCGGUAACAAGUAGUUGUGUGGUGAGAUGAUUCGUAGGAAGUAGCAAGUAAGAAAAGUAACAACGGUGCAGCAAAGUGGCCCAAUCCCUUUUGUAGCAAGGGACAAGCCUGGACAAACUCUUAUAGGAGGUAAAACGCUCCCGAGGACACAUGGGAAUUUCUGUCAAGCUAGUUUUCAUCAUGUUCAUAUGAUUCGCGUUCGCUACUUUGAUAGUUUGAUAUGUGGGUGGACCGGCGCUUGGGUACUUCCCUUACUUGGACAAGCACCCCACUUAUGAUUAACCCCUCUCGCAAGAAUCCGCAACUACGAAAGAAGAAUUAAGACAAAGUCUAACCAUUGCAUUAAACUAGUGGAUCCAAAUCAGCCCCUUACGAAGCAACGCAUAAACUAGGGUUUAAGCUUCUGUCACUCUAGCAACCCAUCAUCUACUUACUACUUCCCAAUGCCUUCCUCUAGGACCAAAUAAUGGUGAAGUGUUAGGUAGUCGACGUUCACAUAACACCACUAGAGGAAAAACAACAUACAACACAUCAAAUUAUCGAACGAAUACCAAAUUCACAUGACUACUUAUAGCAAGACUUAUCACAUGUCCUCAGGAACAAAAGUAACUACUCACGAAGCAUAAUCAUAUUCAUGCCCAGGGAGGUAAUGAGUAGCAUCAAAGAUCUGAACAUAUAAUCUUCCACAAAGUAAUCCAACUAGCAUCAACUACAAAGAGUAAUUAACACUACUAGCAACCUUACAAGUACCAAUCGGAGUCGCGAGACGGAGAUUGGUUACAAGAGAUGAACUAGGGUUUGGAGAUGAGAUGGUGCUGAUGAUGAUGUUGAUGGUGACGAGUCCCCUCCGAUGAGAGGAGUGUUGGUGAUGACGAUGGCGACGAUUUCCCCCUCCGGGAGGGAAGUUUCCUCGGCAGGAUCGGCCUGCCGGAGCUCUAGAUUGGUUCUGCUCACGUUCCUCCUCAUGGCGGCGUUGAACCCUCCGAAAAGCCUCUUGUUGAUUUUUUUUUCUGGAACAAAACCAUUCUUGUAGCAAAAUGGGUGAGCCAGAGGGCUAAGUGGGAGCCCACAAGCCCCCUAGGCGCGGCCAGGGGGAGGUCGCGCCUAGCGGGCUUGUGGCCUCCUGCUGGCGCCCCUCUGGUACUUCUUCGGCCUAGUAUUUUUAAUAAAUCCCAAAAAAAUCCACGUUGAUUUUCAUGACUUUUGGAGUUGUGCAGAAGAGGUAUCUCAAACUUGCUCCUUUUUCAGGCCAGAAUUCCAGCUGCCGGCAUUCUCCCUCUUCAUGUAAACCUUGCAAAAUAAGAGAUAAAAGGCAUAAGUAUUGUACCUUGAAGUGUAAUAACAGACCAAAAAGCGAUAAAUAUAAACAUGAAAGCAUGAUGCAAAAUGGACAUAUCAACUCUCCCAAGCUUAGACCUCGCUUGUCCUCAAGCGAAAGCCGAGAUCAAUAAAUAUGCCCACAUGUUUAGAGAGAGAGGUGUCGACAAAACAAGAUACGGACAUGCAGGCAUCAUGAUCAUAAUCAGAAUAGCAAUACCAACAUAUAAUCUCUCAUGCUAAAGUGAUAAUUCCUUCACAAAGUAAAGCAUGGAUCAAGAACCUUACCGAGAAUUAACAACCGAUAGCCUUUAGUCAUUGAAGCAAUUGCAAUUUAUCACAAUAUCAGAAAGAGUCAAAUAAGAGCUUGUAAAGCAAAUCCAAAUACUCAAUCAUCCUUUCGUUCUCUACAAUUUCUACAACUCACGUGGUACUCAUGAGAUCAAAGUUUCAGCUGGACACAAAGAAAGAUAGGGAUUUAUAGUUUCGCCUCCCAACCAUUUACCUCAAGGGUAAUGUCAACAAUAAUAAUUCAUGAAUACUUACUUCCAAGUUGACAUAUGAAUAUAGAUCUUUCCCAAGCAUAUGACAUUAGCCAAGAUAAAGGCGAAACAAGGAAUUGGUGAAGAUCACCAUGACUCUUUCACGGGAAAAAUUAAAGGUACAAGAUAGGCCCUUUGCAGGGGGAAGCAGAGGUUGUCAUGUGCUUUUGAGGUUUGGAUGUGUGUCCUCUUAGUGUGGAGGAACGUCACUUUAUAUUGCCUCCUGUGAUAAAGAACUUUAUUAUGCAUUCCGUCGCUUUUAUCUAUUCCUCAUCACAGGUUCGUACAAAGCUUAUUUUCCAUGCACUAAUAGAUCAUACAUAUUAGGGGGGCAAUUUUUAUUGCUUGCAUCGAUGACAACUUACUUGAAGGAUCUUAUUCAAUCCAUAGGUAGGUAUGGUGGACUCUCAUGGAAAAACUGGGUCGAAGGUUUAUGGAUGCACAAGUAGUAUCUCUACUUGGUGCGAGUGUUUUGGCUAAUACGAGGUGGAAGCAAUCUUCACAUGCCAAGGGAUCUCUAGUCAUAUAACAUUGUUCGGAACCAAGCAAACACAAUUCAUUAUGUUGUCUUCCUUGUCCAACAUCCACUUCUAAGCAUGUAAUAGUGUAGUGAGUGUUCACAAUCAUAGAUGGUGUCAAAGAUGAUAUAUUUAUAUGUGAACCUCUCCUUCUUUAUCACUUCCUAUUAAUUGCAACAAUGACCAAGGUCUACGUUUGUCUAUCCUCAACAAGUUUCAAUCAACAUUGUUUUCAUAUGUGAAGCCAUCACUUCCCAUAAGAUCAUUACAUGAUCUUUCAUGCUUUUGUUCUUUUCUCAUUCUCUUGAUCAUGGCAUGAGGCAACGCCCUUAACUAAGACACUCUUUAUUAUAUGGCUCACGAGCUCGAAUACAUCGGGGGUGGCACAAAUAAAAACUCAAGCCUAAAACACUAAGACCUUUAAUCUACUAGAGAAAGAGAAAACUGAAAAGGAACAAACUAAAACAAAGGUAAAGGAAAAAGAUGUGAUGGUGAUACGAUAGCGGGGCAACUCCCCCAAGCUUGGCACAAGCCAAGGGGAUUGCCCAUACCCAUGCUUAGUUGUCUUCCUUUGGAGGUGAUGGUGAUGGAGUUGUUGCAGAGGUCUUGAACUUGUUUAAUUUCCACUUGAGCGUAAAAUUCUGCUCCCUCAGAUCAUCAAUUUCCUCUUCAAGCCUCAACAACCUUUUGCAUAAUUCCUGCUUACUCUCCUGCAAGAAAUGAGAAGGGAUAAACAAUGUUUUAGGCUUCUUCCUUGAGUCAGGGAGGCUCGAUUUCUUGAACUCCACAUGCGUGUGUCCAAGUUGAGGUAGAGGAGCCUCCUCCUCAUCGGAACUUGUUCGUUCCUUCCCCUUGGGAUCAUAAUCUUCUUCCUCAUAAGUGGUCCACCGAUAAGGAUACAAGUCCCCAUAGACCUUGGGGUUGGCAAGGUAAUCGGCCACAUAGCUCUCCCCCUCUAAAUCUUGAGAAGACAUCUUGCCCUAAAUCUGCGCCAGAAAAUAGGCUCGAAACGAAAACAGAGGAAAAUUGCAUGAUACGAGGGUCAGACCUUUCGAGAGAAUAUAUAAUGAUUUUUUUCUGACCAGAAGGAGUACUCCGCAAGAAAACGGAGUCCGGGAGGCACACGAGGUGGCCACAAGCCUCCCAGGCCCGGCCAGGGGGGUGGCUCGCGCCUGGCAGGCUUGUCUCCUCCUCGUUCUUUUUCCGGGCUGCUUUAAAUUUUUCUAUUUUUUCAAAAAUUCCAAAACGGAGAAAAAAUCCUACUGGAAAAGUUUUGGAGUCUAUUUACUUACCGAAUCACAUACCUCUUCGUUUUCGGAGUCUGAAAGAGGCUGAUAAAUAUCCGUUAGGUACUCCUCCUUAGUUAUGGUAUUCAUAAUAUUGCUUUCAACAUUUAUGGGAGUACCUGAGAUAUAAUGCUUGAUUCUCUGCCCAUUUACAACUCUCGGACAAUUAUCUUCCGUGUUGUUGAUCUUGAUAGCACCGGAACGAUAUAGUUCCUCAAAAAUGUAAGAAUCUUCCCAUUUAGAGAGAAGCUUCCCUGCAAAAAAUCUUAAACGAGAAUUAUAUUGCAAGACAUAAUCACCUACAUUUAACUCACGCUUUUUUAUCCUUUUAUCAUGCCACCUCUUAACCUUUUCUUUGAACAACUAGGCAUUUUCAUAUGCCUGAGUUCUCCACUCAUCAAGCAAGCUAAUAUCAAAUAACCUCUUCUCACCAGCAAGUUUGAAAUCAAAGUUAAGCUCUUUGAUUUCCCAAUAAGCUUUAUGCUCUAGCUCAAGAGGUAAAUGACAUGCUUUACCGUAUACCAUUUUGUACGGAGACAUGCCCAUGGGAUUCUUAUAGGCAGUUCUAUAAGCCCACAGUGCAUCAUCGAGCUUCUUAGACCAAUUCUUUCUAGACCUGUUGACAGUCUUUUGCAGAAUUAGUUUAAUAUCUCUAUUUCUUAGCUCUACCUGACCAUUGGACUGAGGGUGAUAGGGAGACGCAAUUAUAUGGUUAACAUCGUACUUAGAAAGCAUUUUACGGAAAGCACCAUGAAUGAAAUGUGAACCACCGUCGGUCAAUAGAUAUCUAGGGACUCCAAAUCUAGGGAAAACAACUUCUUUAAGCAUCCUGAUAGAGGUGUUGUGAUCAGCACUACUAGUGGGGAUAGCUUCUACCCACUUAGUGACGUGAUCAACAGCAACUAGGAUAUGAGUAUACCCGUUGGAUUUUGGAAGAGGUCCCAUAUAAUCAAAGCCCCAAACAUCAAAUGGUUCAAUGAAAAGUGAAUAAUUCAUAGGCAUUUCCUGACGUUUACCAAUAUUACCUAUUCUUUGACAUUCGUCACAAGACAAGACAAACUUACGGGCAUCCUUGAAGUGAGUGGGCCAAUAGAAACCUUAUUGCAAUACCUUGUGCGCAGUUCUAUCUCCCGCAUGGUGUCCUCCGUAGGCCUCGGAGUGACACUUCUGUAGCAUCUGUCCCUGUUCAUGUUCAAGUACACAACGUCUAAUAAGACCAUCUACUCCUUCCUUAUAAAGGUGAGGAGCAUCCCAAAAGUAAUGUCUCAAGUCAAAGAAGAAUUUCUUCUUUUGCUGGUAUGUGAAACUAGGUGGUAUAUAUUUGGCAACGAUAUAGUUUGCAUAAUUAGCAUACCAAGGUUCACUAGGUGAAGUAUUGAUGACAUUCAAUUGCUCAUCAGGAAAGCUAUCAGGUUGUGGGUCAUCAAGAACAUUCUCCAACCUAGACAAGUUAUCUGCUACUGGGUUAUCAGCACCCUUCCUAUCGACAACAUGCAAAUCAAAUUCUUGUAGCAAGAGAACCCAUCUGAUAAGUCUAGGUUUAGCGUCUUUCUUCUCCAUUAGGUACUUAAUAGCAAGAUGAUCAGUAUGAAUGGUGACUUUGGAAUCAACUAUGUAAGACCUGAACUUUUCACAUGCAAACACGACUGCUAAAAAUUCAUUUUCUGUAGUAGCAUAGUUUCUUUGGGCAUUGUCUAGAGUUUUACUAGCAUAGUGAAUAACAUUCAACUUCUUAUCAACUCUUUGCCAUAGAAUAGCACCAAUAGCAUAAUCACUAGCAUCACACAUGAUUUCAAAAGGUAAGUUCCAAUCAGGUGGUUGAACAAUAGGCGCAGUUAUCAAGGCCUUCUUAAGUAUUUCGAAGGGUUCCUCACAAUCAUCGUCGAAAACAAAAGGAAUAUCCUUUUGCAAGAGAUUGGUAAGAGGCCUAGAAAUGUUAGAGAAGUCUUUAAUGAACCUUCUAUAGAAACCAGCAUGACCAAGGAACCUUCUAUAGAAACCAGCAUCACCAUCCUAUAGCCAGUAAUAAUCCUCUGUGGGAUCAAUUCAUCCUUAUCAUUAGGGACAACGGUAAUGCCUCCCUUCUUAGCGACGGAAUGCACCAUACUAACCCAAUCACUAUGAGCAACAUGAUAGAUAAUACCUUCUUCCAGGAGCUUUAGUAUUUCUUUUCUUACUACCUCUUUCAUCUUAGGAUUUAAUCUCAUUUGAUGAUUAGCAACUGGUUUGGAAUCAGGAUCGGUUUUAAUCUUGUGCUGGCAUAGAGUGGGACUAAUGCCCUUAAGAUCAUCAAGAGUAUAUCCAAUAGCAGCACGGUGCUUCCUUAGAGUUUUUAGUAACUUCUUUUCUUCAUGCUCUGAGAGGCUAGCACUAAUUAUAACAGGAUAUAUCUCUUUUUCAUCAAGAUAAGCAUACUUAAGAGUAUCAGACAACUGUUUAAGCUCGAACACAGGAUCACCCUUUGGUGGGGGUGGAUCUCCAAGCAGUUCAACAGGCAAGUUAUUCUUAAGGAUAGGAUAUUGUUCUAAGACAACUCUAUCUAUCUCAUCCCUUUCAUCCAUAUGCAUAUCAUUUUCAUGCUCAAGCAAGUAUUGCUCUAAGGGAUCCGUAGGAGGCACGACAAUCGAAGCUAGGGAAAUAAUUUCAUCCUUACUAGGCAACUCUUUUUCAUGAGGUUGUCUACUAAACUUGGAGAAAUUGAACUCAUGUGACACACCUUCAAAGCCAACAGUGACAGUUUGCUUCUCAUAGUCAAUAUGAGCAUUGACGGUAUUGAGGAAGGGUCUGCCAAAUAUGAUGGGACAAAGGCUAUCUUGUGUGGUAGCAAAAACGAGGAAAUGAGGAGGAUACUUCGUUUUACCACACAAGACUUCAACAUCCCUAAUAAUUUCCACAGGGCAGAUAGUAUCUCUAUUGGCAAGCUGAAUAGUGACAUCAAUGGGUUCUAUCUCGACAGGUGCAAUCUCGUCUUUAAUUUCAUCAUAUAGGGAUUGAGGUAUUGCACUAACACUAGCACCCACAUCACAUAAACCAUGAUAACAAUGAUCUCCUAUCUUAACAGAAACAACAGGCGUGCCAACAACAGGCCUAUGUUUGUCUCUAGCAUGGGGUUUAGCAAUUCUUGCAGCAUCUUGAUACGUCUCCAACGUAUCUAUUUUUUUUUAUGGUUUCAUGCUAUUAUCUUGUCAAACUUUGGAUGUUUUGCAUGCCUUUUAUAUAUUUUUUGGGACUAACUUAUUAACUCGGUGCCAAGUGCCAGUUCUUGUUUUUUCCAUGUAUUUGACCGCUUUCAGAGGAGAUUUUGAAACGGAGUCCAAACGGAAGAAAAUCCCCGAAAAGAUUUUUUCUGAAACCGAAGAAGAUCAGGAAGCUUGAGAGCCAAGGCAGGGGGGCCCAGGGGCCCCACAAGCCCUCACCCCGCGACCAGGGGAAAGGUCGUGGCCCACAGGCUUGUGGGCCCCCUGGACGCCCUCUGCCCUAGGGUUUGCACCUAUAUAUCCCCAAAAGUUCCACAAAAAAUCAAGAGAUCAUCGAAAGUACUUUUCCGCCGCCGCAAGCUUCUGUCUCCGCAAGAUCCCAUCUGGGGCACGUUCCGGUGCCCUGUCGGAGGGGGGAUUCAGAUAUGGAGGGCUUCUUCAUCAACACCAUGACCUCUCCGAUGAUGCGUGAGUAGCUCACCAUAGACCUCCGAGUCCAUAGCUAGUAACUAGAUGGCUUCUUCUCUCUCUUGGAUCUUCUAUACAAAGUUCUCCAUGAUCUUCAUGGAGAUCUAUCCGAUGCAAUCUUAUUUUGCGGUGUGUUUGUCGAGAUCCGAUGAAUUGUGGAUUUAUGAUCAGAUUAUCUAUGAAUCUUAUUUGAGUUUCUUCUGAUCUCUCUUAUGCAUGAUUUCAUAUCCUUGUAAUUCUCUUCGAGUUGUGGGUUUUGUUUGGCCAACUAGAUCUAUGAUUCUUGUAAUGGGAGAAUUGCUUGGUUUUGGGUUCAUACCGUGUGGUGACCUCACCCAAUGACAGAAGGGGUAGCGAGGCACGCAUCGUGUUGUUGCCAUCAAGGGUAAAAAGAUGGGGUUUUCAUCAUUGGUUUGAGAUUAUCCCUCUACAUCAUGUCAUCUUUCUUAAGGCGUUACUCUAUUCGUCAUGAACUCAAUACACUAGAUGCAUGCUGGAUAGCGGUCGAUGUGUGGAGUAAUAGUAGUAGAUGCAGAAAGUAUCGGUCUACUUGUCUCGGACGUAAUGCCUAUAUGUAUGGUCAUUGCCUUAGAUAUCGUCAUGAGUUUGUGCGGUUCUAUCAAUUGCUCGACAGUAAUUUGUUCACCCACCGUGAUAUUUGCUAUUUUGAGAGAAGCCUCUAGUGAACACUAUGGCCCCCGGGUCUACUCCACACCAUACUUUCAGCCUUACACUUUUUACUUCGUUGCACUUUCCGCCUUUAGAUCUCACUUUGCAAACAAUCUUGAAGGGAUUGACAACCCCUUUGAAGCGUUGGGUGCAAGAUCGUUUGUGUUUGCGCAGGUACUCUGGACUUGACGAGACCCUCCUUCUGGAUCGAUACCUUGCUUCUCAAAACUGAGGGAAAUACUUACUACUCAUGUGCUGCAUCAUCCUUUCCUCUUCAAGGGAAAAACCGACGCAAACAAGAGAAGUAGCAAGAAGAAGUCCUGUCGUUGCUUGGGAAGGGCUUUUGUUGCUGUAGCAGAAGGAUUUCUGGUGCUGUUGCCGGGGAGGAAGAUCAAGUCAAGAACUCAUCCAAGUAAGUGUCGCAAACUCAUCUCUUGCAUUUACUUUUGUUUGUCAGUUGCCUCUCGUUUUCCUCUCCCCCACUUCACCAAUUUGCCUUUUUCAUUUGCCUUUUUCGUUUGCCUUUUUCGUUCGCCCUUUCUUCCGCUUUCUUUCUGUUUGCUUGUGUUUUAUGUGCCUUCAAUAUGCUUGCAUCUUCGCUUGCUGAAAAUAUAUUGAUAUGGAUCCUCAUCCACUUGCUAAUCUCUUUAAGAGAUCCAAUUAUGUUGAUAAAAUUGCUAUUGAGUUGAGUGCACUUGACUUUCUCUAUGGAGUUUUGCUUGAGAUGCGUGAAUCUGAAAAUUGUGAUGAAGAAAUUCAUGAAGUGAUUCACGAGGGCUCCUUGAAUGAAAAGCAUGAUUGCAAUGAUUUCAUUAUAAAUUCUAUUAAUGACAAUCAUGCUAAAAAUAUGCAAAACCCUAAGCUUGGGGAUGUUAGUUUUGCUAUGUCCACUACUUGUUGCAAUGAUCAUGAGUGGGGCAAUGAUUUUUCUUAUGAUCAUGAAAAUUUGUUUAAGCCUCAUGAUGAAUAUGAUAUUUGCAAUAUUAUUGAAAGUAGGUUUGGAGACGUCAUGACUUUAAUUGAUGAUAAUCCCAGUAUUUUUGAAGAGCAUCAACUUUGCAUGCAUGUGGAUCAUGAAAAGAAUAUCCUAUGUGAUAGUUACAUUGUUGAAUUCAGAUAUGAUCCCACAUGUAAUUAUUAUGAGAGAGGAAAAUAUGGUGGUAGAAACUUUCAUACCACUAAAUCACCUCUCGUUAUGUUGAGAUUGCUCUUGUCUCUUUCUUCUUCCUUGCAUUUGAUAACUAUUGGUUGUCUUGCCAAUUUUUUCCUAUAAAAUGCCUAUGCAUAGGAAGUAUGUUAGACUUAGACGUGAUUUUCACAUGCUUUAUGAUGCUCACGUUGUGCAUCAAUUUCUAUCUUCUAUGUGAGCAUCAUUGAAUUAUCAAUGCCUAGCUAAGGGUGUUAAACAAUAGCGCUUUUUGGGAGGCAACCCAAUGAAUUUAUCUUUUUCUUUCUGUUUUGUUGUGUCCACGCCAUCAUAAUUCUGUUGUGAUUGUGUUUUUUGGGUUUCUUUUUGUGUUUGAGCCAAGCAAAACCUUUAUGACUAGUCUUGGUAAUGGUUAUUUGAUCCUUCUGGAAAAAGACAGAAACUUUUCGCUCACGAGAUGAUUUUUCAUUUUUAUUCAGAAAGAGCUUUUGAGUUGAUUCUUUUUGCUGAUGGUUGAUAUGUAUUUUUCCCAGGCAGUCGUAAUUGUUCAUAUUUUUGUAGGUAACAGAAGUAUACGAAGUAUAUAGAUUGCUACAGACUGGUCUAUUUUUGACAGAUUCUGGUUUUGUUGAGUUGGUUGCUUGUUUUGAUGAAACUAUGGUUAGUAUCGGGGGGUACUAGCCAUGGAAAAGUGAGAAUACAAUAUCCCAACACCAACAUAGAUGGAAUUCAAGUUUCCUACAGUACCAAAAGAGGUGUUAGUUUAUUUUCUUGUGCUAAUGUUAUCACGAGUUUCUGUUUAAAUUUUGUGUUGUGAAGUUUUCAAGUUUUGGGUGAUGUUCUCAAGGACAAAGAGAUAAGGAGUGGAAAGAGCUCAAGCUUGGGUAUGCCCAAGGCAUCCCAAGCCAAAUUCAAGGACACCAAAAAUCCUAAGCUUGGGGAUGCCCUGGGAAGGCAUCCCCUCUUUCGUCUUCAGUUCAUCGGUAACAUUACUUGGAGCUAUAUUUUUAUUCACCACAUGAUAUGUGUUUUGCUUGGAGCGUCUUGUAUCGUAGGAGUCUUUUCUUUUUUUUGUUUCACAAUCAUUCUUGCUGCACACCUUUUUGAGAGAGAGAGAGAUGCACUCAUCGUGAUUUUGCUAGAAUGCUCAUAGUGCUUCACUUAUAUCUUUUGAGCUAGAUACUUUUUCUCUAUGUGCUUCACUUAUAUCUUUUAGAGCACGGUGCUGCGUGACUUGGUAGUUGGCUUAUGCUAUGAAAGUAGUCCCAAAGGUGAUAGGUACCCAAAGAGGAUGCAAAAACCUCCAUCUUGAUGUGCAUUGAGUAGAAAGAGAAGCCUUGAUUCCUCUCAAUUAGUUUUGAGACGUGGAUUUGGUAAUAUUAAGAGCUAUGUUAGUACGGUGUUGUGAAUCUAGAAGUACUUGUGUUGAAGUUAGUGAUUCCCGUAGCAUGCACGUAUGGUGAACCGCUAUGUUAGGAAGUCGGAGCAUAAUUGAUCUAUUGAUUGUCAUCCUUUGUGUUGAGGUCUUGAUCGCGUGAUGGUUAACACCUACCAACCCUUCCCCUAGGAGUAUGUGUUUAGCACUUUGUUUCGGUUACUAAUAAAAACUUUCGCAACAAGUAUGUGAGUUCAUCAUGACUAAUGUGAGUCCAUGGUAUAGAUGCACUUUCACCUUCCACCAUUGCUAGCCUCUUUAGCGCCGCGCAAUUCUCGCCGAUGCAAAAACCCACCAUAUGCCUUCCUCAAAACAGCCACCAUACCUACCUACUAUGGCAUUUUCAUAGCCAUUCCGAGAUAUAUUGCCAUGCAACUCCCACCGUUCCAUCUCAUGACUUGUGCCGUCACUCUCAUAUUGCCAUUGCAUCAUCGUAAGAUAGCUAGCGAGAUGUUUCCAACGUCAUACGCCAUGCUAGAUCGUUGCACAUCCCAGUACACUGCCGGAGGCAUUUCCUAUAGAGUCAUCAUCGUUCUAAGCUUUGAGCUGUGAGUAAAUAAAAGUGUGAUGAUCACCAUUAUUAGAGCAUUGUCCCAUGUGAGGAAAAAAAGAGAAGAAGAGGCCAAAGAGAGGGAAAAAAAGAGAAAAAAAGAGGCCUAAGAGCCCAAAUGAAAAAAAGAGAGAGAAAAAGAGAGAAGGGACAAUGCUACUAUCUUUUUCCACACUUGUGCUUCAUAAUAGCACCAUGUUCUUCAUGAUUGAGAGCUUUUUGCUUUGUGACUACCAUAUACUAGUGGGAAUCUUCAUUACAUAACUUGGUUUGUAUAUUCCAAUGAUGGGCUUCCUCAAAAUUGCCCUAGGUCUUUGUGAGCAAGCAAGUUGGAUGCACACCCACUAGGUUUCCUUUUGAGCUUUCACAUACUUAUAGCUCUAGUGCAUCUCUUGUAUGGCAAUCCCUACUCAUUCACAUUGAUAUCUAUUAAUGGGCAUCUCCAUAGCCCUUUGAUACGCCAAGUCAAUGUGACCAUCUCCUCCUUUUUGUCUCACAACCACCACCACACUCUAUUCCACCUAUAGUGCUAUAUCCAUGUCUCAUGCUCAUGUAUUGCGUGAUAGUUAUAAAAAGUUUGAGAAAGUAAGAGUGUGAAAACAAUUACUUGGCCAAUACCGGGGUUGUGCAUGAUUUACAUUGGUUGUGUGAGGAUGAUGGAGCAUAGCCAGACUAUAUGAUUUUGUAGGGAUAACUUUCUUUGGCCUUGUUAUUUUGAAAGUUCAUGAUUACCUUGCUAGUUUGCUUGAAGUAUUAUUCUUUUCAUGUCAAUAGCAAACUAUUGUUUUGAAUCUUACGGAUCUGAACAUUCAUGUCACGUGAAAUAAGUUGCAAAGGACAACUAUGCUAGGUAGCAUUCCACAUCAAAAAUUCAUUCUUUAUCACUUCCCUACUCGAAGACGAGCAGGAGUUAAGCUUGGGGAUGCUUGAUACGUCUCCACAUAUCUAUAAUUUUUAAUGGUUUCAUGCUAUUAUCUUGUCAAACUUUGGAUGUUUUGCAUGCCUUUUAUAUAUUUUUUGGGACUAACUUAUUAACUCGGUGCCAAGUGCCAGAUCCUGUUUUUUCCAUGUUUUUGACCCCUUUUAGAGGAGAUUUUGAAACGGACUCCAAACGGAAGAAAAUCCCCGAAAAGAUUUUUUCUGUAACGGAAGAAGAUCAGGAAGCUUGAGAGCCAAGGCAGGGGGGCCCAGGCGCCCCACAAGCCCUCACCUUGCGGCCAGGGGGGAGGCCGCAGCCCACAGGAUUUUGGGCCCCCGGGACGCCCUCUGCCCUAGGGUUUGCGCCUAUAUAUCCCCAAAAAUUCCACAAAAAAUCAAGAGAUCAUCGAAAUUACUUUUCCGCCACCGCAAGCUUCUGUCUCCGCAAGAUCCCAUCUGGGGCACGUUCCGGUGCCCUAUCGGAGGGGGGAUUCGGAUACGGAGGGCUUCUUCAUCAACACCAUGACCUCUCCGAUGAUGCGUGAGUAGUUCACCAUAGACCUACGGGUCCAUAGCUAGUAACUAGAUGGCUUCUUCUCUCUCUUGGAUCUUCAAUACAAAGUUCUCCAUGAUCUUCAUGGAGAUCUAUCCAAUGUAAUCUUCUUUUGCGGUGUGUUUGUCGAGAUCCGAUAAAUUGUGGAUUUAUUAUCAGAUUAUCUAUGAAUCUUAUUUGAGUUUCUUCUGAUCAUGUCAUCUUGCUUAAGGCAUUACUAUGUUCGUCAUGAACUCAAUACACUAGAUGCAUGUUAGAUAGCGGUCGAUGUGUGGAGUAAUAAUAGUAGAUGCAUAAAGUGUCGGUCUACUUGUCUCGUAUGUGAUGCCUAUAUGUAUGAUCAUUGCCUUAGAUAUCGUCAUGAAUUUGCGCGGUUCUAUCAAUUGCUCGACGGUAAUUUGUUCACCCACCGUGAUAUUUGCUAUUAUGAGAGAAGCCUCUAGUGAACACUAUGGCCCCCGGGUCUACUCCACACCAUCUUUUCAGCCUUACACUUUUUACUUAGUUGCACUUUCCGCCUUCAUAUCUCACUUUGCAAACAAUCUCGAAGGGAUUGACAACCCCUUUGAAGCGUUGGGUGCAAGCUCGUUUUUGUUUGCGCAGGUACUCUGGACUUGACGAGACCCUCCUUCUGGAUCGAUACCUUGGUUCUCAAAACUGAGGGAAAUACUUACUGCUCUUGUGCUGCAUCACCCUUUCCUCUUCAAGGGAAAAACCGACGCAAACAAGAGAAGUAGCAAGAAGAAUUCCUGGCGUUGCUUGGGAAGGACUUUUGUUGCCGUAGCACAUCUUCACAGAAGUGAAUAUCAUGGCCAUCAACAUUGUCGGACAAGAGAUAUUUGAUAAUAGCAAUGCUAGGUUCAACUCUAAUUUGCUCAGGGGGUGUAGGUGUUCUAAUGUAACCUCUACGUCUCACAUUUGAAGCUUUAGAAUGAUCUUUUAUCCUAACAGGGAAAGGUGGUUGCUCAAUGUAAGCACUAGGAACAAUAGGAUAAUUAUAGGCAAUGACUUUCUCUUCAACUGGAUUGGGUUUAACUACAUUGACUUCUAAGGGAGGAUGAUAUUUAAACCACUUCUCUUUGGGGAGAUCAAUAUGAGCAGAAAAUGAUUCACACAAUGAGGCUACUAUCUCUGAGUCAAGUCCAUAUUUAACGCUAAACUCACAAAAGGUAUUUGUUUCAACAAAGGAUUUAACGCAAUCAACCUUGAAAUUCAUACCUAACUCCUUACCUUCAUCAAGCUCCCAAUCUUCAGAGUUGCGUUUAAUUCUUUCCAAUAAAUUCCAUCUGAAGUCAAUAUCUCUCUUCAUAAAAGAACGGGUACAAGAAGUGUCAAGCAUGUUGCGAUCAUCAUGAGAAAGCCGAGCAUAGAAGUUCUGAAUGAUAAUUUCUCUCGAGAGCUCAUGGUUGGGUCAUGAAUAUAACAUUGAUUUAAGCCUCCCCCAAGCUUGAGUGAUGCUUUCUAUGUCAUGAGGCCAACAAUUAUAAUUAUAAUUCCGAUCACGAUGUACUAGAUGCAUAGGAUAAAUUUUUUGAUGAAAUUCCAAUUUCAACCGAUUGUAGUUCCAUGAUCCAGUAUCAUCACAUAGCCUAUACCAUGUCAACGCCUUAUCCCUCAAAGAUAAGGGAAAUACCUUCUUCUUGACCUCAUCCUCGGGCAAACCUGCAAGCUUAAAUAAACCACAAACUUCAUCUACAUAGAUUAGAUGCAAGUCUGGAUGUGAUGUUCCAUCUCCUACAAAAGCAUUAGCCAGCAGUUUCUCAAGCAUACCCGAAGGAAAUUCAUAGCAAAUAUUUUUAGUAGGUGCGGCAGGUUGAGGAGAAACUCUUUGUGCUUCCGUUCGAGGUGAAGAUACCCCGAACAAGCUCCUCAAAGGAUUAGUUUCCAUAGUAACAAGUGACAGUAAAUUUCAGCACACUAUAUAAAUGUUUCCUUUCCAAAUUCCACUUACGAAAGGCCCUUCACUCCCCGGCAACGGCGCCAGAAAAGAGUCUUUAUGACCCACAAGUAUAGGGGAUCUAUCAUAGUCCUUUCGAUAAGUAAGAGUGUCGAACCCAACGAGGAGCAGAAGGAUCUGACAAGUGGUUUUCAGCAAGGUAAUAUCUGCAAGCACUCAAAUUAUCGAUAACAAGUAGUUGUGUGGUGAGAUGAUUCAUAGCAAGUAGCAAGUAAAAAAGUAACAACAGUGCAACAAAGUGGACCAAUCCCUUUUGUAGCAAGGGACAAGCCUGGACAAACUCUUAUAGGAGGUAAAACGCUCCCGAGGACACAUGGGAAUUUCUAUCAAGCUAGUUUUCAUCAUGUUCAUCUGAUUCGCGUUCACUACUUUGAUAGGUUGAUAUGUGGGUGGACCGGCGCUUGGGUACUGCCCUUACUUGGACAAGCAUCCCACUUAUGAUUAACCCCUCUCGCAAGCAUCCGCAACUACGAAAGAAGAAUUAAGACAAAGUCUAACCAUAGCAUUAAACUAGUGGAUCCAAAUCAGCCCCUUACGAAGCAACGCAUAAACUAGGGUUUAAGCUUGUGUCACUCUAGCAACCCAUCAUCUACUUAAUACUUCCCAAUGCCUUCCUCUAGGCCCAAAUAAUGGUGAAGUGUUAUGUAGUUGAUGUUUACAUAACACCACUAGAGGAAAAACAACAUACAACACAUCAAAUUAUCGAACGAAUACCAAAUUCACAUGACUACUUAUAGCAAGACUUAUCCCAUGUCCUCAGGAACAAAAGUAACUACUCACAAAGCAUAAUCAUAUUCAUGACCAGAUACGUAAUGAGUAGCAUCAAAGAUCUGAACAUAUAAUCUUCCACCAAGUAAUCCAACUAGCGUCAACUACAAAGAGUAAUUAACACUACUAGCAACCUUACAAGUACCAAUCGGAGUCGCGAGACGGAGAUUGGUUACAAGAGAUGAACUAGGGUUUGGAGAUGAGAUGGUGCUGAUGAAGAUGUUGAUGGUGAUGAGUCCCCUCCAGUGAGAGGAGUGUUGGUGAUAACGAUGGCGACGAUUUCCCCCUCCGGAGGGAAGUUUCCCCCGCAGGAUCGUCCUGCCGGAGCUCUAGAUUGGUUCUGCUCAAGUUCCGCCUCAUGGCGGCGGCGAAUCCUCCGAAAAGCCUCUUGUUGAUUUUUUUUCUAGAAUGAAACCCUUCUUGUAGAAAAAGGGGGGAGCCAGAGGGCCAAGUGGGAGCCCACAAGCCCACUAGGCGCGACCAGGGGGGAGGCCGCGCCUAGCAGGCUUGUGGACUCCUACUGGCGCCCCUCUCGUACUUCUUCGACCCAUUAUUUUUUAUAAAUACCAAAAAAAAAUCCACAUUGAUUUUCACGGCUUUUGAAGUUGCGCAGAAUAGGUAUCGCAAACUUGCUCCUUUUUCAGGCCAGAAUUCCAGCUGCCGGCAUUCUCCCUCUUCAUGUAAACCUUGCAAAAUAAGAGAGAAAAGGCAUAAGUAUUGUACCUUGAAGUGUAAUAAUAGCCCAAAAAGCGAUAAUUAUCAACAUGAAAGCAUGAUGCAAAAUGGACGUAUCACGUACCCCUCCCGACGGGUCCGUGACAGACUGGAUAGAUGAUGAUGGUGACGACAACGUGUAGGUGCUUGAGGCGAUGCCACGUGUGACGGGGCCGCCUCGGGGCCAUCGUCGUGGAAAGAGCGAGGAGCUGUCGGCCGGGGGCCAGCUGGCCGUCAGCCAACUAGCCAGUUGCCACACGGAAGAGGAACGCCGUAGGGACACGCGGUCGGCCGAGGACUCGAUCGACACCCCAGCCACCAAGAAGGUUCAGUCGGCGGCGCUGCCGGCGGGCGCCCCUUGGUGCUGGGUAAGGUUUCUUUAAGGCUCAUGCCCCUUCUUUUCUUGCUUUCUUUGUCGUGUGGCAUUUGAGCUCGUGCUCUCUUGUCUUGUUUUGCUUUCUCAGUGAGGCUAUUCAGCUACCGGCGCCGGAUGCAUCGGCCCUUGGGGCCGAACAAGUAACGCCGCUUGCCAUGGAGCAUGCGACGAGGGCGCGGCUUGAACGGGAGUGUGUCGUUCAGCUUCGUGCGGCCAAGCCGAAGGCCUCGUAGGCUAUGACGACCGGAAUAAGCGUCCCCGUGGCUGGGGCAACAAGUGAUGCCACUGCUCCACAACACCGCCGGUCAGUUUUAUCGGUACUUUUGCUUGUCUUAGUCAUUUUUCCUGUGCACCCUGCUCCUUUGUCAUUUCUCCUGCCGGCCAGCCAGCUUGCGGAUUGUGACUGGGCGAAGAGUGGGCUGGUGGAGCCGAGGUGUUUGGUACUUUGGCUUUUGCAAGGCGGGUGUUGAAAAAACCGAGUAGCGUAGCCGGACCUGGCCCGCCCCUUGUCGAUAUUUCCUAUUCGCUCUGACCCUUUGCUUGUGCUCCUGCCAAACGGGCAACUAGGUUGUGGUCUGUAGCCAGCGAGGGUUGGGCUGCCGGUGCGGAGGUAUAGUACUUUGCCGAGCUGGGGUGGGAGUUGGGCGUCUCGUAGUCCCCGGGCCGGCUGGACCGAUCCGGGGAUGACCAAGAAAGUAAAAACAAUUGAAACAUGAGUAGGAUGGAAAAGGCAGUCUCUGAGUCCUGCUCUAGGGUGCCGGCUAUUCAUUGAUUUUCUUGAAAAGGGAACAUACAUAUGUUCACUUGCCUAACUGUAAAACGGGCGGAGGAGUUCCACGUUUCGUGGUCGCUCCGUCUCGGAGCCGGAUGCGUCCUUCUUGUUCUUUCUUGCCUUUUGAGCAUCGAUUAUAAAGUAGGCGUUAUUGCUCACUGACGGAUGUCCGUUGGAUCAGCAAGAGAACAAGGUCACCCUCUCGGAAUGAGAGAGGGCUUGACCCGCUGGCUACGGUAGCGGCGUAGGCCUUGCUGAUAGAUGGUUGUUCUGGACAGUGCCAGCUCGCAUGCCUCUUCGAGGAGGUCGACGUCGUCUUCUCUGGCCUCUUUGGCGUCAGCCUCGGUGUGCAGGGUGACCCGAGGCGAAUCGAACUCGACGUCGUUGAGGAUGAUCGCCUCGGCCCCGUACACCAAGAAGAAUGGGGUGAAGCCGGUCGACCGGUUGAGCGUGGUUUGCAGGCUCCACAACACCGCCGGCAGUUCCUCGACCCAGGCACCGGCCGAGCGCUUGAGUGGCUCGACAAGCCUGGGUUUCAGGACGACCAGGAUGAGGCCGAUUGCCCGCUCUAGCUGGCCGUUUGACUGCGGCUGGGCCACGGACGAGAGGUCCAGCCGGAUUCCGUGCUCGCUGCAGUAGCGGGCGAGCGCAGGCUUGGCGAAGUUGGUCCCAUUGUCGAUGAUGAUGAUGCUGGGGAGGCCAUAGUGAACGGCUAUGUCCUUGAUGAACGUGACGACCGUUGGGCCAUCGAGCUUCUCUAUUGGCUUGGCCUUGAUCCACUUUGUGAACUUGUCGACUGCCACCAGGAGAUGUGUCACACCGCCUCGGGCGGUUUUGAACAGGCCCAUCAUGUCCAACCCCCAGAAGGCAAAGGGCCGCGUGAGGGGGAUGGUUUGCAGGGCCGCGGCCGUCUGGUGGAUGCGCGCUUUGAAAUGCUAGCAGCCAUUGCACUUGUCAAUUAAUGCCUUGGCGUCCUUCAGGGCGGACGACCAAUAGAAACUGUGGCGGAAUGCCUUGGCCGCCAGGGAGCGUGAGGAGGCAUGGUGGCCACACUCGCCCUGGUGGAUGCCGAGGAGGAUAUCGUGGCCUUUGUCUGCCUCGAUGCAGUGCUGGAACACGCCAGUCACGCUGCGCUUGACGAGCUCGUUGUUGAUGAUGGUGUAGGUGGCAGAGCGUCUUUGGAUUAUCCGGGCCACGACUUCAUCGGCAGGCAGGGUGCCAUUCUCGAUGUAGUCGAGGAAGGGUUGCGCUCAGGAUAGGGCUGUGACCACCGUGAGCAUGGCCACCAUGAUUGGGUUUGCUGCGGCGGGGACGGCACGCGGUUGGCCGCCUGCCGCAGUCCCCGAGUCGGGCUGGAGGGAUCCCAGGGGAGGGUCGGCAGCCCUCGGGCCGGCUAGAGUAGUCGAUGCGGUGGCGGUAGUCGGCUGACCAGCUGCCGUAGUCCCCGAGUGGGACGGGGCAGUUCCCGCGUCAGCGCCGGCAGCCCCCAGGGCCGGCGGGGCAGCCCCCGGGUCUGCCGGGAUGAAUAUGUACUCGGAUUCCGGAGAGAGCGUGAUGGAGGGCUUCCGCAGGUUCUCAAGAGAUACGUCGACUGGGAUUGGUUGCCGGGUGGAGACGAUUUGUUGAGUGUGUCGGCGGCCUCGUUGCCGGAUCGGAGGAUGUGGUGGAACUCGCGGCCUUUGAAACCGCCGGUCAGUUGUUGCACCAGAAAGCGGUAGCUGCCCAUGUUUGCGUCUCUCGCGUCCCACUCACGAGUGACUUGCUGCACCACCAGGUCGAAGUCACCUAAGAAAAGGAUUCGUCGGACGCCGAUUUCCCUAGCCAACCGGAGGCCAUGGGUGAGCGCUUCAUACUCCGCCACGUUGUUGGACGCAACAAAGUGGAUCUUCAUGACGUACUGGAGCUGGUUACCCUUAGGGGACGAGAGGAUGAUGCCAGCCCCAAGGCCGGUGCGCAUCUUCGAGCCAUCGAAGUGCAUGCGCCAAUGGGUUGAGUCUGGAGGCGGCCGUAGGUACUCCGUUUCGGCCUAGUCGACGAGGAAAUCCACCAAGGCCUAUGACUUUACGACGGUGCGGGACUCGUAGGCGAUGUGGUGGUCGGCCAGCUGGAGAGCCCACUUGGCGAUUCGGCCGGCUACGUUCCUGUUGCCCACGAUCUCUCCGAGGGUAGCGGUGCUCACCAAAGUGAUCGAGUGCUCCUCGAAGUAAGGCUUGAGCUUCUUGGCAGCCAGGAACACGACGUAGCACAUCUUCUGAUAGUGCAGCUAGUUCUACUUGGAGGCGGAGAGCACCUCGCUCAGGUAGUAGACAGGUCGUUCGACCAGCUGCGCCCGGCCCGGCUCGGAGCGCUCGACGGUCAUGACUAUACUGACCACUCGGAUGGUCGCGGCGAUGUAGAGCAAUAUCGGCUCCUUAUCCACUGGCGAGGCCAGCAUGGGCACGAUGGUGAGUGCACGCUUGAGGUCGCGCACGGCCUCAUCCGCCCGGUCGCUCCAGACAAACUCGUCCGCCUUCUUGAGCAGACGAUAGAGAGGGAGGGCCUCCUCCCCUGGUCGGCUGAUGAAGCAGCUGAGCGAGGCGAGGCAGCCAGUGAUCUUUUGGAUGUCAGCCAAGUUGGCCCGGAUCUUCUCGGGGAUGGCCUCUAUCCCUUGUUCCAAAAUGACGAAACCGAGGAGCUGGCCGGAUGGUAAGCCGAACACGCACUUUGCCGGCUUCAGCCGGAUUUUGAACUCGCGUAGAUUCACAAAUGUCUCCUUGAGAUCAUCCAGGGGGUGCGAUUUUCCUUGGUUUUGACCACAACGUCGUCCAUGUAGACGUGUACAUUGCGGCCGAGAUGCCUAUAGAGGCAUUGCUGCAUGCAACGCUGAAACGUGGCGCCAACAUUUUUCAGCUCGAAUGCCAUCGUAACAUAGCAGAAUGCCCCGAAUGGGGUUAUGAAAGUUGUCUUGAUCCGGUCGGUCGGAUUCAGCUUGAUCUGGUGAUAGCCUGAAUAGGCGUCUAAGUAGGACAGUAGCUCGAAGCCAGCCAUCGAGUCGAUCACUUGAUCCAUACGGGGCAGAGCAAAAGGAUCCUUGGGGCAUGCCUUGUUUAGGCUCGUGUAGUCGAUACUCAUGCGCCAAGUCUUGUUCUUCUUCAGCACCAGGAAUGGGUUCGCCACCCAAUCCGGGUGGAAGACUUCCAUGAUGAAUUCAAAUGCCAGUAGCCGGGUGAUUUAUUCACCGAUGGUUUUUUGCUUCUCCUCUGAGAAGCGGCGCAACGGUUGAUUAACCAGUUUUGCGUCUGACCGGACGUGCAAGAAGUGCUCGGCGUACUUCCUCGGGACUCGUGGCAUGUCCUUUGGGGCCAUGCGAACAUAUCCCGAUUCUCACGGAGGAAGUCGACGAGCUCAAUUUCCUAUUUGCUGCUGAGACCAGCCCCACCACGACGUACUUGCCGGUGGGGUCGGCCGGGUCCUCGGGCCCCUCUUGGUGUCCUUGCCGGAGGCCGGCUGGAACUGGGCCUGUGUGGCGGGCUGCUUAAGCUUCGGCUCUGAGAGGGGCGCCGUCUCACAGGCUAGUGCCACGAAACGAUCGAUCUGUCACUGCUCCUCGAUGAUAACGAAGGAUUCGGCCAACUUGGAGACGGCCAUGGUGCACUCGGUCGAGUUCUUCUAGUCACCGGAGACGGUGACAAUGUCGUGUGGACCCGGCAGCUUCAUCUUGAGAUAAGCAUAGUGGGAGACAACCAUGAACUUGGCCAGGGGGACGGAACGAGAGCGCAUGGUAGCGGCUAGUGAGGUCGACCACCUCGAACCAUAUGGUCUCGCGACGGAAGUUCUUCGGAUAGGCCGAACAACACGUACAGUCGGACCUUGCUGGUCCGGGAGUGAUAAUCCCCAAGUGCAAGGAAUCAUUGUAGCAAUUUCAAAAGGUGGAAGUGAUAAGUAUGGAGUGUUGCACCCACAAGGAGCUAAAGGUAAGAGCAAUAUUCUCUCAAGAGCUAUCUUCCACUCAUACAACACUAUGUACGCUGAACGUUUGCUUCCAACUAGGAACGAGAAAUGAAACUACGUUGUGGGUAUGAAAAGAAUAGCUUUGCAUGACAUCGGACAACUAAAAUAUAAAAAUAGGUGUUGUUAUCAUAAAGUUAGAAUAUAUUACAAUAUAUUAGAAAUAGUGAGUGUGGAAUAAUGAUGGGUCGGUGUGCGGAAUUGUCCUAGGCAAUUGUUAACAAGAUCGGUAAUCAUUCUUGCAAUUUUAUAUGAGGGAGAGGCAUAAGCUAACAUAAUUUCUCUACUUUGAUCAUAUGCACUUAUGGUUGGAACUCUAGCAAACAUCUGCAACUAUUAAAGAUCAUUAAGGUGAAACCCAACCUUAUCAUUAAAGCAUCUCAACAACCCAGCUACUCGGGUUUAUGCUUGUGUCACUCAAGCAACCCACUAUAAGUGAAUCAUGAACGUAUUGGAACACCAUACAACAAGAGUCCCUCAUGCUUGCGCGACACGGAGAGCACCAUAGGACAACACCAAUAAUAAAGCAUACAACUUAAACCAAUCUAGAUCAUCAAUCGACCCAUAAUACCAAGGGAAUCUACUCAAAACAUCAUAGGAUGGCAACACAUCAUUGGAUCAUAAUAUGUGGCAUGGACCACCUGUUGGAGAACGUCGCAUGGGAAACAAAAAAUUUCCUACGCGCACGAAGACCUAUCAUGGUGAUGUCCAUCUACGAGAGGGGAUGAGUGAUCUACGUACCCUUGUAGACCGUACAGCAGAAGCGUUAGAGAACGCGGUUGAUGUAGUGGAACGUCCUCACGUCCCUCGAUCCGCCCCGCGAACAAUCUCGCGAUCAGUCCCACCAUCUAGUACCGAACGGACGGCACCUCCGCGUUCAGCACACGUACAGCUCGACGAUGAUCUCGGCCUUCUUGAUCCAGCAAGAGAGACGGAGAGGUAGAAGAGUUCUCCGGCAGCGUGACGGCGCUCCGGAGGUUGGUGAUGACCUUGUUUCAGCAGGGCUCCGCCCGAGCUCCGCAGAAACGCGAUCUAGAGGAAAAACCGUGGAGGUAUGUGGUCGGGCUGCCGUGGAAAAGUCGUCUCAAAUCAGCCCUAAAACCUCCGUAUAUAUAGGUGGGAGGGAGGGGGCCUUGCCUUGGGGCUCAAGGAGCCCCAAGGGGGUCGGCCGAGUCCAAGGGGGAGGACUCUCCACCCCCAAACCGAGUUGGACUAGGUUUGGUGGGAGGGAGUCCCCCUCCCUUCCCACCUCCUCCUUUUUUUUUUUUUUUNCCGAGAUUCGAUCGUCAGUAUCCGCAUACCUAUUUCAAUCUCGUUUACCGGCAAGUCUCUUUACUCGUUCCGUAAUACAAGAUCCCGAACUUACACUAAGUUACAUUGCUUGCAAGGCUUGUGUGUGAUGUUGUAUUACCGAGUGGGCCCCGAGAUACCUCUCCGUCACACGGAGUGACAAAUCCCAGUCUUGAUCCAUACUAACUCAACUAACACCUUCGGAGAUACCUGUAGAGCAUCUUUAUAGUCACCCAGUUACGUUGCGACGUUUGAUACACACAAAGCAUUCCUCCGGUGUCAGUGAGUUAUAUGAUCUCAUGGUCAUAGGAAUAAAUACUUGACACGCAGAAAACAGUAGCAACAAAAUGACACGAUCAACAUGCUACGUCUAUUAGUUUGGGUCUAGUCCAUCACAUGAUUCUCCCAAUGACUUGAUCCAGUUAUCAAGCAACAACACCUUGUUCAUAAUCAGAAGACACUGACUAUCAUUGACUAACUGGCUAGCCAACUAGAGGCAUGCUAGGGACGGUGUUUUGUCUAUGUAUCCACACAUGUAAAUGAGUCUUCAUUCAAUACAAUUAUAGCAUGGAUAAUAAACUAUUAUCUUGAUACAUGAAUUAUAAUAAUAACCAUAUUUAUUAUUGCCUCUAGGGCAUAAUUCCAACACCACCAUGUUCAAUUAGGGGAUCACAACGGGUGCGGGAGAGUGGACCGCUCAAAAAAGACGAGGAUGGUGAUGAAGAAGGUGAUGUUGAUGAAGACGGUCACCGCAGCGAUGGUUCCCCCGGUGGCACUCUGGCACCACCGGGAGAGCGGGAGAGAGGGUCUCCACCUUUUGCCUCCUCCUCCAUGGCCUCCCCCAAGGUGGGGAGAGGUUCUCCCUCUGGUUCUUUGCCUCCAUGGUGAUGGUGGCCCCUCCGUCUUCCUCCUCCAUGGUGUCCGGUGAUGGUGACCCCCUCCGGCAGGGUGCCAAAGAGGGCCAAGAUUGGUUUUUCGUGGCUCUGGAGGCUUGCGGUGGCGGAACUCCCGAUCUAGGUUUCUUUCUGGGGGUUUUGGGAUUUAUAUGAUUUUUUGGCAUCGGUCUCACAUCAAGGGGACUCUCGAGGGAUCCACAAGCCACGGGUGUGCCCUAGGGGGUGCCCUAGGCUUGUGACUGCCUCGGGACUCCUCUCUGGUAUCUUUUUGCUCCACUAUUUUUUAUAUUUUCCAAAAAUAUUUUCCGUAAAUUUUCAGCCCAUUCGGAGAACUUUUAUUUCUGCACAAAAACAUCAUCACGGUAGUUCUGCUGAAAACAGCGUGAGUUAGGGUUAGUUCUAAUAAAAUCAUAUAAAAUUAUUGUGAACAUGGCAUGUAUACUUCAUAAAUUAUAGAUACGUUGGAGAUGUAUCAGCAUCCCCAAGCUUAAUUCUUGCUCGUCCUCGAAUAGGGAAAUGAUAAAAGAAACAAUUUAUGAAGUGUGAAUGCUAGCAUAGUGCAUAAAUUUGAUCAAUGAUAGUUCCAAAGACUUGUGCUAGCAUCACUAUAUAUCAUAAACAGUAGCUCAUCUCAUAAAACUUCUCAUGAUGAAGUAACAAGCUAUUCACAUGUUAAAGUAUAGACCAUAAAGUUUCUUGAAAACUAACAAACUAUGCUUUCGGUGACCAAACAUUUGCAAUUCAUCUUAUUUUCGGGAAGGGUCUAUGUAAGAGCUUUUGAUUUAGCAAAUUCCACAUACUCAACUAUCAUAUAGUCUUCCAUGAUUCCUAACACUCAAAUCAUAUUUUUAGAGCAAAUGGCAUUCGUCGAACAGAGAGAAAGAUAGGGGCUUAAAGUGUCGCCUUCCAACUUAUUUAUCAUAUAGAUAGUUGUGAACAAUACUAAUUCAUGAACAAAUAUAUUUGAAUGGACAUAUAUGCUUGGAUCUUUCCCCAGCACAUGAUGUUUGCCAAGAGGAAAAGGCGAAAUAUAGGAAGUGCUGAAGAUCACCAUGAAUCUUGUAUAAAGGUAAGUACUGUAAAGUAAAAGAUAGGCCCUUCGCAGAGGGAAGCAUUGAUUUGCAGAGGUGCCAGAGCUCGAGCUUUUAGAACAGAGAUGAGUAAUAAUUUUGAGUGGUAUGAUCUCAUUGUCAACAUAACAACCGAGAGAUCUCGGUAUCUUCCAUGAUAGAUACAUUAUAGGCAGUUCCCAAACAGAAUGUUAAAUUUUUUACUCCCCCUCCACCAAUCAAUCACACUCCACGGCGAUCCAAAUCCACAAGUACCGUCCAUACAAACAACAAUCUUGGGGUGUUUUGUUUCAUUAUAUUUUGAUUUGAUUUUUGAGCAUGGAACUAGGCAUCCAGAAUACCAGCCACUCUCUCGUGAAUGAUAGUGAAUCAACACAUAUCGUGAGAAUAACCCACCUAGCAUGGAAGAUAUCGAUAGCCUCUACUCACUACAUGAGCGAUUCAGGCAUACAAAACAAAAUAUUAUUUGAAGGUUUAGAGUUUGGCACAUGCAAAUUUACUUGGAAUGGCACAUAAAUACCGCAUAUAGGUAGAUAUAGUGGACUAUCAUGGCAAGAAACUGAGUUUAAGGGUUUUUGGAUGCACAAGUAGUAUCCCUACUUAGUACGAAGUGUUGGCUAGCAAAAGGUUCUAAACAAGCACCACAUGUUGGAGGAUCCAUAACAAUAUAACUUCUAUGAAAAUAUACCCAAACAUAACUCAUUAAGUUGUCUUCCUUGUCCAACUUCAACUAAUUUUGUGAAGUUUGAAAAUAAUUAAUGGGGCUCACAAUCAUAGGAGAUGUCCAAGAUAGAAUAUUUAUAUGUGGAAUCUCUCUUCCUUCAAUAUUCUUUCAUGAAUUGUUCAAGGGACCAAUGCGGUGUUUGCUAACUUUUAAUAAAUUUUAGCACCUAUACUUCUUAUAUGUGAAGUCAUUACUACCCAUGGGAUAAGAAUUCAAAACAUAUAUAAUUUUAAAUUUAUGAUAUCAAAUUUAAUCAACUAUUUACUCAUAGGAUAUAAGUGAAGCACGAGAUUAAAUGACAAAGCUACUCCCAAACAUAUAAGUGGAGAUCAAUGAGUAGUCAAACAAUUAAGUAGCUAUGUGAGGAUUUUCUCCGUCUCUCGCAAUAAAGAUUUUCAGAUCUGAGUAUUUUGUUUAAACAGUAAGCAAAAGAAAAAUAGCACUCCAAGAAUAGGACGUGUCAUGUGAACGAAUAAAAAUUUAGGCUCAACAUAAUCUAACUGAUAGUUCACGAAGAGAGGUGGAUUGCGUAGCCUCCCCAACCUGAGUGUUCUUGAAAUAUUUACUUGGGGUGCCUUGGUCAUCCCCAAGCUUGAGCUUUCGUAUCUUGUUCAAUCCUCUCAUAUCAUGGUUUCACCUAUUCUCAAAAGUUUCAUCCACACAGAUCUCGAAAAUAACUCGUGAGAUAGGUUAGUACACACUAUAAUAAAUCAACUCUUCAUGUACUGCCAAGACAAGUUGUAUAAUAAUUUUCAAACAUCAUCUACUGUUUACUAUCAUUUCCACAAUUUAUAUCUACCAAUAUAUGCUGUGGAAACUAUAGGAUAAGUAGAUAACAAAACUAUGACAGCAAUCUGUCCAAACAGAACAGUCUAUAGCAAUUUAUGAAAACAAUGUACUUCUGUAACUCAAAAUAGUUUGAAAAUUUUGGACAUUCUAUAAAAUUUAUAUGAAAACACUAUGUAAAUAUUUCAGAAACUUUCCACGUUCUAGUAAAAUAUGAAAAUUCCAAUACUAUAAAAAGAGUUUCUGUUUUUACACAGCACACAUCAAACCAUGCAAUGCAAGCAUCCUAAUGCAAUUCUUGGAACUUUUUUAUUGAAAACAAAAUUAUAAAUAACACCUAACAUAAAUAAACAAAACAAAAUGACGCUCCAAGAAAAACUCAUAUUAUGUGACGAAUAAAAAUAUAGCUCUAAGUAAGAUUAUCGAUAGCGUUGGAGACAAAAGAGGAGAUGCUUCCGGAGCAUCCUCAAGCUUAGGCACUCCAGUCUUCCAUGGAUAGGACCUGGGGGGUGCCUUGGGCAUCCCCAAGCUUAGGUUCUUUUCACUCCUUCUUCUCCUCAUAUCGGUGUCUCACCCAAAACUUGAAAACUUCAAUCACACUUAACUUAAUGGAACUUCGUGAGAAGGGUUAGUGUAAUAAAGAUAGAUCAUUCACUUUGGUACUGUGAAGACAAGAUUCAUAAUUGUUACCACAUGAUACCUACUGUAUUCUAUCAUUUCCAUAAUUUAUAUUACUGAAUAUAAGCUGUGGGAACACCAAAAUAAGCAAACUAUGCAUGCAAAACAGAAUCUGUCAAAAAUAGAACAGUCUGUAAAGAUCUGUAGUAUAGCCAUACUUUCCUGCAUCUAAAAAUUCUGACAAAUUAGGACAACCAGAAGUUUUUGGAUAUAAAGACUGUGUCAAAAUUUCAAAUCAUUAUUAUGCUCCAGUAAAAAAUUAAAAUUCAUGUACUAGAGUCAAAAGUUACUGUUUUGGUUCAACAUCAAUUCUACUCAUCUUGUGAGUCAUCCCAAAGGCUUUACUUGGUACUUUAUUGAAAUAAAAGACACAAAACAUGAUUACUACAGUAUCUUAAUCAUGUGAACUCAAAAAAACAGAAGGUAAACGUGUUGGGUUGUCUCCCAACAAGGGCUUUUCUUUAAUGUCUUUUAGCUGGGCAUGGUUAUUUCAAUGAUGCUCUUCCAAGCCUAAAUACGAUGAUGAUUUUAUUCACACUCUAAAAGAUAUAAGUGAAGUUCAUAUAGAAUUCUACAAUUAAUAUAGAUCAACCAAUAUCCAUGCUGAAAAUAUAUAAGUGAAGCACACGAAGCAUUCUAUAAGGCCAUACUCAAAAGAUUUAAGUGAAGCACGAAGAGCAUUCUAUAGAGCCAUACUCAAAAGAUUUAAGUGAAGCACAAAGAGCAUUCUACAAUGCCAUACUCAAAAGAUUUAACUGAAGCACAUGAAGCAUUAUAUAAAUCAAUAAAGGACUAUCUCAUGCUAGACGGGUGCAUAAAAGGAGAAGAAAAACACUAAGGACACAUAUCAUGUGAACAAAACAAAAACCGAGGUAUACCGAUAAUUGUGGAAGAAUAAAGAUGGGAUGCCUUCCAGGGCAUCCCCAAGAUUAGAUGCUUGAGCCUCCUUGGAAUAUUUACUUGGGGUGCCUUGGGCAUCCCCAAGAUUGAACUCUUGUCUCCGUGUAUUCAUCUUUUAUUGAUACCUCCUCGAUCUUCGAAAACUUCAUUCAUACAGAACUUAACAAAACCCUCGUGAGAUCCGUUAGUAAAAUAAAGCAAAAUACUACUUUAAGUACUGUUGUGAACUCAUUCCAAAUUCAUAUUAGAAUUAUAUCUACUGUAGUCCAACUUCACAAUGGUUCAUACCCCCAGUACUACCCAUAUAUUCAUCAAAACAAGAGAACAAUGCAUAGAAAACAAAAUUUGUCAAAAAGAGGAGAGUCUAUAGUAAUCUGGAAACUUUGUAUACUACUGUAAAUCAAACAAUUCCGAAUAAGUUGGAAGAAAUAAAAAAUAUUCAUAGAAGUAGUGUGUAAAAAGUUCAGAAACUUUUUACAUUCCAGUAAAAAACGUAAAUUCACGCACUACAACGAAAGUUUCUGUUUUUGCACUUCACACACCAAACAAGCAAUCUAAUCAUCCUAAUGGCAAAUCUUGGCAUGUUACUUUUAUAAUACAAUGGAUAUAUACAAGGGGAUAAUUAUUUUUGAGAAACUUCCAUCAAAAAUUCUACAUUGCUUACAUGAUCAUGAACACAAGUGUUCAAGGUCGACCCUCACUUCCCCAAUGCACAACCUUCCAAUCACUUCUCUUUUUGAAAACUUCUUAGGCAUAAGAGGCAAGUAAAUAUUUUUGUAUUUUUAAUUAUUUUUUUAGUUUCACCCACAAAUAAAUAAAUCAAAAUGGGAAAAAAUCUACUUAGUGAAGAAAUCAAACAAGCACAUUCGAGAAUAUCAACCCCACGCUAUUGCUCCCCGAAAACGGCGCCAGAAAAGAGCUUGAUAAUCCCCAAGUGCAAGGAAUCAUCGUGGCAAUUUCCAAAGGUGGAAGUGAUAAGUAUGGACUGUCGAACCCACAAGGAGCUAAAGGUAAGAGAAAUAUUAUCCCAAGUCCUAUAUGCCACUGACACUACUCUACGUACGCCGAACAUUUGCUUCCAACUAGGAAGGAGAAAUAAAACUACGUUGUGGGUAUGAAGAGAAUAGCUUUGCAUGACAUCGAAGAACUAAAAUAUAAAAAUAGGUGCUUUUAUCAUAAAGCUAGAAUAUGUUACAAUAUAUUAUAAAUAGCGAGUGUGGAAUAAUGAUGGGUCGGUGUGCGGAAUUGUCCUAGGCAAUUGUUAAGUAGAUUGGUAAUCAUUAUUGCAAUUUUACAUGAGGGAGAGGCAUAAGCUAACAUACUUUCUCUACUUGGAUAAUAUGCAGUUAUGAAUGGAACUCUAGCAAGCAUCCGCAACUACUAAAGAUCAUUGAGGUAAAACCCAACAAUAGCAUCAAGUCCCCUUUCUCCCAUACGCAACAACCCACCUACUCGGGUUUAUGCUUCUGUCACUCUAGCAACCCACUAUAAGAGAUCAUGAACGUAUUGCAACUCCCUACAGCGAGAAUCCCUCACGCUUGCACGACACGGAGAGCGUCAUAAGACAGAACCAAUAAUAAAUCACGCGACUCAAACCAAUCUAGAUCAUCAACCAACCCAUAAGACAAAGGGAAACUACUCAAAACAUCAUACCAUGGCAACACAUCAUUGGAUCAUAAUAUGUGGCAUGAAGCACCAUUUUCAUGUAGGGGAUUAUAGCGGGAUGCGGGAGAGUGGACCGCUAAAAAGAAGAUGAGGAUGGUGAUGAAGAAGGUGAUGUUGAUGAAGACGAUCACCGCGGUGAUGGUUCCCUCGAUGGCACUCGGCACCACCGGGAGAGAGGGGGAGAGGAUCUCCCCCUUGUGGCUCCUCCCCCAUGGUUUUCCCCCCAAGGUGGGGAGAGGUUCCCCCUCUAAUCCUUGGCAUCCAUGGUGACGAUGGCCCCUCCGUCUUCCUCCUCCAUGGUCUCCGGCGAUGGUGACCCCUCCGGCAGCGUGCCGGAGUGGGUCAAGAUUGAUUUUUCGUGGCUCUAGCUUGCGGUGGCGGAACUCCCGAUCUAGGUUUCUUUCUGGGGGUUUUGGGUUUUAUAGGAAUUUUUGGCGUCAGUCUCACGUCAAGGGGACUCCUGAGGGACUCCUCGGGAGUCCUCUCUGGUAUCUUUUUCCUCCAGUAUUUUUUAUAUUCUCCAAAAAUAUUCUUUGUAAAUUUUCAGCCCAUUCCGAGGAUUUUUAUUUAUGCACAAAAACACCACAUUAGUUCUGCCGAAAACAGCGUCACUCCGGGUUAGUUCUAAUAAAAUCAUACCAAAAUCAUAUAAAAUUAAUGUAAACAUGGCAUGAAUACUUUAUAAAUUAUAGAUACGUUGGAGACGUAUCAAGGAGCAAGAGUGGCUGGGGACGAUGUCGUGGAAAACUGUCCGGGUCGGCUGGAGCUCGGACUCCAGGAUGCCGAGCUUGUCCAUGGUGUCGCGGUAGAGGAUGUUGAUGCUGCUACCUCCCUUGAUGAGCAUCGGUGCGAAACCGGGAGGUGCUCCGUGUGGAGACGAAGGUGGGGUCGAGAACCAGCGCGUAUCCGCCUCGCGUGGGCAUCACAGGAGAAUGGUCUUGGCACCGAAGGUGACGGGCUUGUUCAACCAUUGCAUGUACUCUGGGACAGGAGGAACGAUGAUGUUGACCUACAGCGCGUGACGGCGCUCGCUGUGCUUGUCGUCGUCUUCAGUGGUGAAGACACGUACGUCGCGUCUUGCUGGGGGUAGUCGUCCCGAGCGCCGCCGGCUCCCAGAGCGGGUGGUGGUGGUGGCGGCUGCGACACGGGAGGCAAAGCCUCGUCCCGCACGAUCUUGGUGAACCAGCUGCACUGGCGUCCCGUGUGCGCUGCGGGCUUGGCCCCGUUGUCGAACUUGCAGGGUCCGUCGAGCAUGGACUCGAAUUUGUACUUGCUGUGCCAUGGAUGCUUGCCCUCAUUGGUGCACUGACGCCGGCUGGCGCCUUGGCCGUCAUCCAUACAGCCGUCGGCUGGUGCCUUGGCGGGCGUACGGCUGGUCUGCCUUACGCUUGCCCUGGUCUGGCUGGUAUCGGACGGCAGCCGGGGUGGCAGCCGGCUUGGCGGCGGUCGGCUUGGCGGUCAUGUCGACAUGCACUCGGAGCUUCAUGGAAGACUCGGUCAUGGCGUAUUGGUCGACGAUGGACAUUAGUUGCACCAGGGUCGCCGGCUCCCGGCGCACGAGUUUGCUUGAGGAGGGUGUCGUCCCGGCAGCCGUAGAUGAAGUACUGCAUCGCUUGCAACUCGUGGAUGCCAUCGCAGGAAUUUCGGAGCUCGUCCCAUCGCGUUACGUAGUCGUGGAGAAGCUCGUCCGGCCCGUGCACGCACAACGUGAGCUGGUGAGGCCGGCCCGGACGCUUGUAGGUGCCGAUGAAGUUGCACACAAACGUCUCCUAGAAGUCCAGCCAGCCGUUGACGCUGUCGGCCGGAAGGCUGUUAAGCCAGGUCCGAACCGAGCUCAGUAGCAUGUGGGGCGCGUAGCACACUGCCACACGCUUGUUGCCGCUGGCGAUGCCGACAGCGGUGGUGUAGUCGAUCAACCAUUCUUCCUGCUUGGUCAAACCGUUGUACUUGGGAGUGUCGCGCGCCAAGGUUAAGCCCUUAGAAAACGACUCCUUUAGGAAGCGCGGCCCGAAGCAGGACCGGCCAGCUGUGCCUUCCUCCUCGGCGGCUUGGGACCCGGCGAUGCACGCCAUAUGGAAGCGGGCAUCCUGGUCGUCCAGCUGACGCACGUCGACACGCUUGGAUACGGGGUGACGGGAAGGCGGAUGCUCGGCCUCCCGGUCGCGGUCCUCGCAUUGAUUCCUCCGUGUGGGCUGGUGGUCGCCCUGGCCAGUCGGCUCCCUCACACGGCUGUCGACAACUGAUGGGUUGUGGUCUCGCCGACCGUGUCUGCCCGCGCCAACUGUCAUGGUGCUGGUCGGUGUUGGCAGGUAAAGAUGCGUGAUUCGGGUCCCGCCGACUGGCCGCAAGCUAGUAGGGGCCAAUGAGGUCGUUGUUGGUCCUCGAGCGGGAGCCAGUCGUGCCGCGGAGCGACUGGCUUGCCUGCUCGUGGUGCGCGUUGGCAGCCUCCAUGAGAGCGCGGAUGUGCUCCUGCUAUGCCUCAAGGGUCGGGCCGUCGAGCCCCCUAGCUAGCCGAGGGCGGCCUCUGCGGCCCUCAUGUUCUUGACGGGGGUAUCGUAGACGGGGCAGCCGCCUACCAGCUACUGGCCAACGGCACCGCCGCAGCGCCGCACUUCCGCCACCCGGCUGGGUGCGAUGUCAGCCAGCGUGAGGCCAUGGGCCACAUUGAAAUCGUGCUGAGCAGCCUCGAACUUGCUUUGGGUCGCCUCCAACGCUUCCGCCUCCGCGAGAAGGCGCUCGCGGUGGUUGUCCAGUUCCGCGGUUGCGGCCGCAGGGUCAGCCACAACCAGGAUGGGCACGCGUAGUGUGUCUAGUGAAGCGCAAAGAGGGGUGCGGUACGCGGACGUACCACCCAGGGAGAUGGCAAUCAUUACCUCCACACGGAUGCAUAGGACGUCGAUGUCGCUAGAGAGGUCGUCGUCGGACGACGACAUGACAUCACCACAUGACGGCAGACGACGGGUUACUCGUCGGAGAUGACGGCGACAUAGAAGCGGUGGGACCCGAAGGCGACGAAGGAGCCGUUGUCGGGGAAGUCUGCAUCCUCGAGGCGAUGGGCGUUGUCCUUGACACAGUUGAGUGCGUCGUAGCACAGGAGCAAGCCAUGCGCCACGCGCUCGCCAGAAAGGGUUACGGGUCCCGCCCAGAACGUCACUCCGGCCUGCAUCGCUGCCGGCCCUACGGUGGGCACCAACUAUCAUAGUAUUUCCGCGGCAGAUGCCAGGGGGUGGCUUAGAACAUGGUUUGGGGCCGAUGGGUGUGAUACAUCUCCACCGUAUCUAUAAUUUAUGAACUAUUCAUGCCAUGUUUACAAUAAUUCUAUAUGAUAUUGGUAUGAUAUUAUUAGAACUAACCCGGAGUGACGCUGUUUUCAACAAAGCUACCGUGUUGUUAUUUUUGUGCAGAAAUAAAAGUUCUCAGAAUGGGCUGAAAAUUUACGGAGAAUAUUUUUGGAAAAUAUGAAAAAUAAUGGAGCAAAAAGAUACCGGAGAGGAGUCCCGAGGCAGUCACCAGGGCGCGACCCCCCCUAGGUCGUGCCCCUGGCUUGUGGGCCCGUCGAGCACUCCCGUGACAUGGUUCCAACGCCAAAUAUUCUUAUAAAUAUAGAAACCCUCGAAAAGAAACUUUGAUCAGGAGUUCCCCCGCAGCAAGCCUCCAGAGCCAUGAAAAACCAAUCUUGGCCCGCUCUCGCACCCUGCCGGAGAGGGCCACCAUCACCGGAGACCAUGGAGGAGGAAUACGGAGGGGCCAUCAUCACCAUGGAGGCGAAGGACCAUAGGGAGAACCUCUCCCCACCUUUGGGGGAGGCCACGAAGGAGGAGGCACAAGGGGGAGAACCUCUCCACCUCUCUCCUGGUGGUGCCAGACGGCCACAUGGGGAACCAUCGCCGCGGUGAUCGUCUUCAUCAACAUCACCUUCUUCAUCACCAUCCUCAUCUUCUUUUAGCAGUCCACUCUCCCGCACCCCAAUGCCAUCCCCUACUUGAACAUGGUGCUCUAUGCCACAUAUUACGAUCCAAUGAUGUGUUGCCAACCUAUGAUGUUUUGAGUAGAUUCCCUUUGUCUUAUGGGUUGAUUGAUGAUCUAGAUUGGUUUGAGUUGCAUGCUUUAUUAUUGGUGUUGUCCUAUGGUGCUCUCCGUGUCGCGCAAGCAUGAGGGAUUCCCUUUGUAGGGUGUUGUAAUACGUUCAUGAUUCNNNNNNNNNNNNNNNNNNNNNNNNNNNNNNNNNNNNNNNNNNNNNNNNNNNNNNNNNNNNNNNNNNNNNNNNNNNNNNNNNNNNNNNNNNNNNNNNNNNNNNNNNNNNNNNNNNNNNNNNNNNNNNNNNNNNNNNNNNNNNNNNNNNNNNNNNNNNNNNNNNNNNNNNNNNNNNNGGUUGCUUGAGUGACAGAAGCAUAAACCCGAGUAGGUGGGUUGUUGCGUAUGGGAUAAAGCGGACUUGAUGCUUUAAUGCUAUGGUUGGGUUUUACCUUAAUGAUCUUUAGUAGUUGUGAUGCCUACUAGAGUUCCAACCAUAAGUGCAUAUGAUCAAAGUAGAUAAAGUAUGUUAGCUUAUGCCUCUCCCUCAUAUAAAAUUGCAAUAAUGAUUACCCAUCUUGUUAACAAUUGCCUAGGACAAUUGCGCACGCCGACCCAUCAUUAUUCCACACUCUCUAUUUGUAACACAUUAUAAUAUAUUCUAACUUUAUGAUAAUAGCACCAAUUUUCAUAUUUUAGUUCUCCAAUUUCAUGCAAAACUAUUCUCUUCAUACCCACAACGUAAUUUUAUUACUCGUUCCUAGUUGGAAGCAAACGUUCGGCGUAUGUAGAGUUGUAUCAGUGGCAGAUAGGAGAGAAUAUUGCUCUUACCUUUAGCUCCUUGUGGGUUCGACACUCCAUACUUAUCAUUUCCACCUUUGGAAAUUGCUACGAUUAUUCCUUGCACUUGGGGAUUAUCAAGCUCUUUUCUCGCGCCGUUGCCGGGGAGCAAUAGUGUGGGGUUGAUAUUCUCAUGUGUGCUUGUUUGCUUUCUUCACUAAGUAUAUUUUGUUUUCCCUUUUUGAUCUAUUUAGUUGUGGUUGAAACAAACAAAAAAAUUGAAUAAUGAAAAAUACAAAAAGAAUUACUUGCCUCUUAUGCCUAAGAAGUUUUCAAAAAGGGAAGUGAUUGGAAGGUUGUGCAAUGGAGAAGUGAGGAUCGACCUUGAACACUUGUGUUCAUGAUCAUGGAAGCAAUGUAGAUUUUUUUUCAUGGAAGUUUCUCAAAAAUAAUUAUCCCCUUAUAUAUAUAUCCAUUGUAUUAUAAAAAUAAUGUGCCAAGAUUUGCCUCUAGGAUGAUUAGAUUGCUUGUUUGGUGUGUGGUGUGCAAAAUAGAAACUUUGGCUCCACUCCGCGAGUUUACGUUUUUUACUGGAAUGUCAAAAGUGUCUGAAAUUUUUACAAAAAAAUUAUUUCGUGCUAAUUAGUCAGAAUAUUUUGAGUUACAGAAGUAUACGAAGUUUUCAGAUUGCUACAAAUUGUACUGUUUUGACAGAUUCUGUUUUCUUACGAUUGUUCUCUUGUUUUCAUGAAUCUAUGGGUAGUACCGGGGGGUAUGAACCAUGGUGAACUUGGACUACAUUAGAUAUAAUUCUAAUAUGAAUUUGGAAUGAGUUCACAACAGUACUUAAAGUAGUAUUUUUCUUUAUUAUACUAACGGAUCUCACGAGAGUUUUAUUAAGUUUUGUAUGAAUGAAGUGUCCGAAGAUCGAGGAGGUAUCGUUAAAAGAUGAAUACAGGGAGACAAGAGUUCACGAUUGGGGAUACCCAAGGCACGCCAAGUAAAUAUUUCAACGAGGCUCAAGCAUCUAAUCUUGGGGAUGCCCUCGAAGGCAUCCCAUCUUUAUUCUUCAACAAUUAUCGGUAUACCUUGGUUUUUGUUUUGUUCACAUGAUAUGCGUCCUUAGUGUUUUUCUUAUCCUUUUAUGCACCUUUCUAGUAUGAUAUAGUCCUUCAUUGAUUUAUAGAAUGCUUCAUGCGCUUCACUUAAAUCUUUUGAGUAUGGCUUUGUAGAAAGCUCUUGGUGCUUCACUUAAAUCUUUUGAGUACGGCUCUAUAGAGUGCUCUUCGUGCUUCACUUAAAUCUUUUGAGUAUGGCCUUAUAGAACGCUUCGUGUGCUUCACUUAUAUAUUUUCAGCUUAGAUAUUGGUUGAUCUAUAUUAAUUGUAGAAUGCUCUAUGAACUUCACUUAUAUCUUUUAGAGUAUGAAUAAAAUUAUCAUCGCAAUUAGGCUUGGACGAGCAUCAUUGAAAUGAUCAUGCCUAGCUAAAAGGCAUUAAAGAAAAUCGUUUAUUGGGAGAUGAUGUCCCACAAGCGUAUGGGAUCACAGCAGUUUUCGAGGGUAGAGUAUUAGACCCAAAUUUAUUGAUUCGCUCACAAGGUGAAGCUAAAGGAUAUUCUCAAGUAUUGGCAGCUGAGUUGUCAAUUCAACCACACCUGAAAAAUUAGUGUCUGCGAGCAAAGUAUCAGUAGCAAGGUAGUAUGAUAGCAACGGCACCAGAAAAAGCUUUGGCAAUGAUACGUCUCCAUCGUAUCUACUUUUCCAAACUCUUUUGCCCUUGGUUUGGACUCUAAUUUGCAUGAUUUGAAUGGAACUAACCUGGACUGACGUUGUUUUCAGCAGAAUUGCCUUGGUGUUAUUUUUGGGCAGAAAUCAAAGUUCUGAGAACGUCCUGAAAAUUUACGGGGAACAUUUUUGGAAAAUAUGAAAAAUACCUGCGCAAAGAUCCACCUCAGGGGGUGGGCGAGUGGGCCACAAGCCCUGCCUCCACCACCCCCCUGGUGGCGGUGGAUAAGCUUGUGGGGCCCACACGACUCUGCCGCCCCCAAUCUCAGGUCUAUAAGUUCACUUUCGUCCCAGAAAAAAAUAAAAAGAGAAGAUUUCGUCGCAUUUGCGAUAUGGAGGCGCCGCCACAACCUGUUCUUCAUCUGGAGGGCAGAUGUGGAGUCCGUCUUGGGCUCCGGAGAGGGGAAAUCGUCACCAUCAUCAUCAUCAACCUUCUUCCCUCUCCAAUUCCAUGAAGCUCUUCGUCGUUCGUGAGUAAUCUAUUCGUAGGCUCGCUGGGCGGUGAUGGGUAGGAUGAGAUCUAUCAUGUAAUCGAGUUAGUUUUGAUGGGGAUUGAUCCCUAGUAUCCACUAUGUUCUGAGAUUGAUGUUGCUACUACUUUGCCAUGCUUAAUGCUUGUCACUAGGGCCCGAGUGCCAUGAUUUCAGAUCUGAAAUUAUUAUGUUGCCACCAAUAGAUGUGUGUUUUAGAUCCGAUCUUGCAAGUUGUAGUUACCUACUAUGUGUUAUGAUCCGGCAACCCCGGAGUGACAAUAACCGGAACCACUCCCGGUGAUGACCAUAGUAUGAGGAGUUCAUGUGUUCACCAAGUGCUAAUGCGUUGGUCCGGUUCUUUAUUAAAAGGAGAACCUUAAUAUCCCAUAGUUUCCUUUUGGACCCCGCUGCCACGGGAGGGAUGGACAAUAGAUGUCAUGCAAGUUCUUUUCCCUAAGCAUGUAUGACGACACACGGAAUGCAUGCCUACAUCACAUUGACGAACGGGAGCUAGCCACAUAUCUCUCCGUGUUAUAAUUGUUGCAUGAUGAAUAUCACCCAAACAAAUCACCGACCCAUUGCCUACGAGUUUGUCCUACUGUUGAUGUUACUUGUCUUGCUCUGCUGCUGUUACUUGUCUUGCUCUGCUGCUACUGUUGCUACUACUGUCGCUUACCACUGGGUUACUUGCUACUUUGCUGUUACUACUUUGCUUGCAGAUACUAAUCUUUCAGGUGUGGUUGAAUCUGACGCAUUCAGCUGCUAAUACACGAGAGUAUUCUCUCACCUCCUGUCUGGCGAAUCAACAAAUUUGGGUCGAAUACUCUACCCUAGAAAACUGCUGCGAACCCACGCGCUGGUGGGCCGUCAACAACAUUCUUCUAGUUUCAUUGCCAGGGAGUGCUGGUAGCAUUCUUCUGGUUCCGUUGCAGGAGAAGGUUUGUUGUCACAGAAUCCGCAUUCGUCUAGCUAUUGCCAGAGAGUGCCAGUCAGCAUUUUUCUGGCGCCGUUGCCGGGGAGGUAUUGCUAUAUUCUCUGAGUCACUUGGGAUUUAUAUCUAAAGAUCACUAUGAAGAAUCUGAAGGAUCCAAAAACCAAAGUCUUGCCCUCAACUACGAGGGGAGGUAAGGAACUGCCAUCUAGCUCUGCACUUGAUUCACCUUCUGUUAUGAGUAAGUUUGCGACAUCACCUCCUUCUAGAAAUCUUGAUAUGUCGCCUGUGCUUGAUGAUGCUACUACUAGAGAUGCUAUGCUUGAUACUAUGCCUGAUACUGCUUUGUCUGAUGAUGUUAGAGAUACUAUGCAUGAUACUGCUUUGCCUGAUAUUGCUAGAGAUACUAUGCUUGAUAUUGCUAGAGAUGCUAUGCUUGAUACUGCUUUGCCUGAUGAUGCUAUGCUUGAUACUGCUAGAGAUACUACUUUGCCUGAUGUUCCACUAGGGGUAUUCCUUGAUGCUCAUAUUGCUAGAGUUACUUCCAAUGAUCGUGAUGCUUCUGAAACUGCCGAUACUAUUGAGAUAGAACCUGCUUUUGCUCCUGCUAGAUCUAGCUUUCCUAGAUAUGAAUUGCCUGAUAUACCUGAGGGUUACGUUAUGGAGGGAGAGAUAGCUGAGGAUUUUCUUGCAUGUAAGGAUGCCUAUGACACUGAGAAAUUACUUCUCAAGUGGAAGGAAAAAUCUCUGAAAGCUAGGAUGAAAUACGACCCGAAGUUUGCCACUUCACCUAUCUUUAUCACCCAUAAGGAUUAUGAAUUCUCUGUCGACCCCGAGAUAAUCUCUCCAGUCGAAUCUGAUCCUUUCCACGGUUAUGAGUCUGAGACGGUCGUAGCCCAUCUUGCCAAACUACACGAUAUAGCCACCCUUUUCACUAAUGAGGAGAAGAUCCGCCACUACUAUAUCCUUAAGUUGUUUCCUUUUUCCCUGAAGGAUGAUGCUAAAGCCUGGUUCACCUCUCUUGCUCCUGGAUGUGUGAGUAGUCCCCAGGAUAUGGUCUAUUACUUCUGUGAGAAAUAUUUUCCUGCCCAUAAGAGGCAAGCUGCCUUGCAGGAAAUAUACAACUUUGCUCAACUCCAAGAAGAGAGUCUUCCACAAGCUUGGGGGAGGCUCGUCCAGCUACAGAAUGCUUUGCCUGAUCACCCUCUUAAGAAGAACGAGAUACUUGAUAUCCUCUAUAACGGACUUAUCGAUGCCUCUAGAGACCAUCUAGAUAGUUGUGCCGGUUGUGUUUUUAGGGAACAAACUGCAGAACAAGCUGAGACCCUACUGAAUAACAUCUUGAUCAACGAUAAUGUUUCGACUAUUCCCGAACCACGUCCUAAGCCAACUCCUAAGAAAUAAGGUAUUCUAUUCCUCAGUCCCGAAGAUAUGCAAGAAGCCAAGAAAUCUAUGCAAGAGAAAGGCAUUAGAUCUGAAGAUGUCAAAAAUCUACCACCUAUCGAAGAGAUCCAUGGUCUCAAUAACCCGAUACAGGUAGUAGAAGUAAAUUCUCUGCGUAGGUUUGAUGAGAGUGAUAUUCGUUUUGACGAACCUGCUAGCCUAUGCUUUGAUGAAUUUGACAACUUUGUUGCCAAACAACAGAGUUUCAGUGAUUAUGUUAGCAGACAUUUGGAACAAAGUACUCGUAUGCUUAGCCAUUUAAGUGCUUGUGUAGACAGAAAUGUCAAUGAUCUGAAGCUUCUGACUAAAAAUGCCUCUAUGAUUACUACUCAGGUAGAAAAAGUACUUAAAGCUUAGAAUGACUUGCUCAAUGAAUUAAAUGACAACUCUGUCAGAGUCAUUACUAGAGGAGGCAAAAUGACUCAGGAACCUUUGUAUCCUGAAGGUCAUCCUAAGAGAAUUGAUCAAGAUUCUCAAGGAAUCAAUGCUGAUACACCCAGUCAUCCUAAGGAGAAGAAGAAGGAUGAUAGACACCUACAUGCCAGUUCACCAAAUACUGGCACACCUGAAGAACCUAAUGAUAUUUCUGCGUCUGAUGCAGAAACACAAUGUGGUGAUGAACAUGAACCUGGUGACAAUAUGGAUAGCGAUGUUCAUAAUAAUGCUCAACCUAGCAAUGAUGAGGAUGUGGAGAUUGAACCUACGGUUAAUCAUGAUAAACCACAACCUAAGAGAUACGAUAAGAAUGACUUCACUGCUAGGAAGCAUGGUAAAGAAUGGGAGCCAUGGGUUCAGAGAUCUAUGCCCUUUCCUCCUAAGCCAUCCAAGAAAAAGGAUGAUGAGGAUUUUGAGCGCUUCGUUGAGAUGAUAAGACCCAUCUUUCUGCAGAUGCGGUUAACUAAUAUGCUCAAGAUGUCUCCGCAUGCCAAGUACAUGAAAGAUAUCGUGACUAAUAAACGGAAGAUACCAGAUCUUGAGAUCUCCACCAUGCUUGCCAAUUACACUUUCAAAGGUGGAACUCCUAAGAAACUUGGUGAUCCCGGAGUGCCCACUAUACCUUGUUCCAUUAAAGGAAACUACGUAAGAACUGCCUUAUGUGACCUUGGAGCCGGUGUUAGUGUUAUGCCGCUCUCUCUUUAUCGUAGACUUGAGUUGGAUAAGUUGACACCCACUAAAAUUUCUCUGCAAAUGGCCGACAAAUCAACUGCUUUUCCUAUCGGCAUUUGCGAGGAUGUGCCUGUUGUGGUUGCUAAUACCACUAUCUUAACAGACUUUGUUAUCUUGGAUAUUCCCGAGGAUGAUGCCAUGGCUGUCAUCCUCGGAAGACCCUUUUUAAACACUGCAGGGGCUGUUAUAGAUUGCAACAAAGGCAAUGUCACUUUCCAUGUCAACGGUAAUGAGCACACAGUGCACUUUCCGAAGAAACGAUAUCAACUACAUUGCAUCAAUGCUAUUGAAAAGACUUCAUCGAUUCUUAUUGGGAGCUUUGAAUGCCCUAUUCCUCGUGUCAAGAUGAAGUAUGAUUUGCUUGUUGGGGAGAUACAUAUCCCCAUUGAGGUGACUUAGUGGCUAUUCGAAAAUUCUCCGUUCUCUCUUGCGAUUCGAGAAGGUUUUUUCAUGAGGACUUGAUCAACCCAUUGACGGAUUUCUUUCGAUGACCAUGAAAUGGAUGAAUCAAAGAGUCACAUACCUCUGUUUUGAGCUUUCAUUUUCUGUUGCUUAGAAGAAAAAUGAUGGAAUUAGUUUAGCUUUUCCUGUUUUCUCUUUUAGCGUCCCGGAGAAAAAUACCUCGAAAAUAAAAGUUCUCCGAUGGUCUUGAAAAUUUAGUUUGAUUUUUUCUGGAAUUUUUGAAAAUUACUGGGCCUGAGAGAUGGCCUGGGGGCGAGACCAGUGGGCCACAAGCCCUGCCACCGCCACCCCCCUGGUGGCGGAGAGAAAGCUUGUGGGGCCCACACGGACCCCCUCCACUCAUUCCAGCUCCCAGCCUCUUCUUCCACCUCCAGAAAAAAAUUGUUUCGCAGCUCAAACCCGUGUUCUUGCUCAUUUGGCUGUGAUUUUGGAUCUCCUUGCUCAAAGCACCAUUCUCCGAACCGUUCUGGGGAAAUUACUCCUUGGUAAGUGACUCCUCCAUUGGUCCAAUUAGUUUUUGCUCUAGUGCUUUAUCCUUCGCGUAUUCUUGCUACCUUGGUGACCCUGUUCUUGAGCUAGAAAAGUUUAUUUUAGCUAGACCCAAGUAGUUUUAGCGCGUGAUACGGUCUCUAGGCACUAGUAGGAGUAGUUGCUACAAGUUGGGUUAAUCUUUUUUCACUUUUCUUUCGAAGUCUCUAAACAUUUCAGAAUUUUUCAGAGCUAGAAAAAGGAAAAGAUGAAGAGGUUCUUGAGAGGCUCUUCAAGCCGUAACCCCAAGGAGGAUGAGAAGAACCACCCCAAGUAUGUAGUCCCUCGAGUCACAGAAGUUCGAGCGUGCGAGUGGCCAAGUGAUGAAUUUUUGCGCGCCACCGGACUUUAUGAAGACUUUUACUACUUGGUGGAGAACGCGGGUCUUACCGCGUUCGUUGAAGAUAAGUGCUCACAAUACCUCUUCCUCACCAAUAUUUUUGUUCAAAGCUUCAACUUUUAUCCGAGGAAGAAUCCUCGCAUGGUUGAGUUCAUGAUAUACGACAUCCCCCAGUGCAUGACACUACAGGAUUUUUGGAAUGUAUGCAAAUUACCUUGUGUUGGCGAUAUCCGUGACCCUCGUCCACAGGACUUGGAGGAUUUCAUUGGUUCUACUGCUGUUGGAGAGGAGAGAGGAGUGUCUCGCGCUAGAAUUGUUAGCAUACAUUUUCCUAUGCUCCGGUAGUUCUCACUAUUUGUGGGAAAAUGUUUGAUUGGCCGUGGGGAGGCUGGAUCACUUAGUUCUCCAGACCUUGCAGUUUUACGCGAAGACCUUUAUAACGAUAAGGCUUAUAGCCUAGGUGUUAUAGUGGCCCAGCGGUUGAACACCAACCGUUCCAAGGGUGUCGUCUAUGGAGGUAUCUAUGCUACCCGUCUUGCCAGACACUUUGAGAUACCCAUUAGACUGGGAGAGGAAGGAGAGAUGCUUCUCCCCGAGAAAUAUCUGGAUUAUGACAGCAUGGUUCGCCAUGAUUAUCUGGAUAGAGAUGCUAGUAUAUGGAUGAUUUAUAACCUGGUAUUUAGUCAGGGUACUCGAGAGACUAUUACUUUGCCUGCCCCUUCUUUGUUUGAUCUUCAUGCAGACAGGUACACUAUUAUGCCCUCGGACAUCUACGCAUAUUGGGGCCUGGCCCAACCACACGCGCCCGUGCCCGAGCCGUCAGUCGAGUAUCAGACGCCAGUUUAUCAGUGGGAGCCAGAGGAGCUCACACAGCAGUGGCAUCCACAGUCUGCUCCGGAGUAUCCUGGAGCUGGUGAAUUCCCACCAUGGGAGUAGUCCAAGCUAGGCCAAAAGCCUAAGCUUGGGGGAGUACGUGUUCUCACCGACUUUACAUUCAUGCUUAUGCUUUCACUUUGUUAGCCGGUGUUUACACUUUGCCACUGUAUUAUCCAUGCUAGUUUAUUUUUUUUUCUUGUUUUCUUGUUUUGUGUCCUUUUGAGAAAAUCCAAAAAGAUUUUUCUUUCUUCUUUUGCUUGUUGGGAGCUUUCCCGUGUAAAUAGUGUUCUUUUUCUUUGGGUCAAGGUAGAAGAUAUUGGUUACAAUGUUUAGUGGUUCUUGCAUGCAUACCUGUUUAGCUUUCAAAGAGCCAUAUUACCUUGUCUUCUCCUUUGUGUUUGCCUGCAGAUUCACCUUAGUCCAAUGCGCGAGCACUCUUAUUAUUGUUCACAUCGUUCGGUCAUGCAAAUGAAAGGCAAUAAUGAUGAUAUAUGAUGAAGUGACUAAGACUGAAAAGCUGGUAUGAGCUCUAUCUAUUUUGUUUUUGUAAAUAUGACUAGCUUGUCAUCCCAGAUUCAACUUUGUUGUGAGAGAACCAUGUUUGCAAUGACAACUUUGAGAUCAUAGUUUCUGAUUCCAUGCUUAUUUAGCUAGGAGCUUAUAAUGGUUUGUCUUGAAUGCCAACAUAGAUUUUGAGAUGACUAUGAUGUAGUAUGAUAGGAUGGUAUUCUCCUUUGAAUGUUUCAAGUGGCUUGACUUGGCGCAUGUUCAUGCAUGUAGUUGAAACAAAAUCAACAUAGCCUCUAUGAUGUUCGUUUUCAUGGUGAUUUAUAUCCUAUUCAUGCUUGCAUUCAAUGUUAGUCAAACGCAUUGCAUCUUGAUGACUGUUGUCGCUCUCUAGUUGGUCGCUUCCCAGUCUUUUGCUAGCCUUCACUUGUACUAAGCGGAAUACUGCUUGUGCAUCCACUUCCAUAAACCCAAGAGUUUUUCCAUGAGAGUCCACCAUACCUCCCUAUUUGCGGUAUCUACCUGCCGUUCCAAGUGAAUUUGCAUGUGACAUUCUCUAAACCAUCAAGAAAUAAUCUGUUUUGCAUGUCGGAACCGCUCAUGUGGUGACAGGGGGCUAUUGGUAUCUUCCAUGCUAGGAGUGUUAUCCUCGACAUGUGUUUAUUCACUGUCAUUCACGAGAAAGGGGCCGGUAAUAGGAAUGCCCAGUUCCACGCUUAAAUCAAAAACAUAACUGUAAAACAAGACCCCCCCCCCCCGGGUUGAUGUUAGUAUGGAUGGUACCCGAGGAUUCGGCUAGCCGUGGAUUGUGAUUGAUUGGUGGUGGGGGAGUUAAAACUUUACUUUUUUGUUUGGGAACUGCCUAUAGCAUGAGUAGCAUGGAAGAUAUUGAGAACUCUUGGUCAUUGCGUUGACAAUGAAAGCAUGCCACCCAAAAUUAUUAUCUCUGUUUUCAAAGCUUGAGCUCUGGCACCUCUGCAAAUCAAUGCUUCCCUCUGCGAAGGGCCUCUCUAUUUAUUUUCCUAUUGAGUCAUCCUCCUCUUAUAUAAGCACCAAUUAGAGAGCACUUCUGUCAUUUUUAUGCUUUGCUUUUGAUUGGUAUUGAGUAUGACUAUGACUGGAUCUUCGUUUUUAUGAAUUACAAUGUUUAGUCACCCCUUGAUCUUUGAAAGUGCUCUGCAUUUAUGUUUUGUGGUCUCAGAAAGAGCUAGCGAGAUACCACCUAUUCAUAUUGCUCCAUGCUUGUUUUGAUUGAAGUGUUGGUAUUUGAAACUCAUUAUUAUUUGCUCGUUAGCUGAUUAUGACAUUGAUAUUAGUUUACCGUGAGACCUUUGUGUCACUUGCUUAUGUGGUUAACUUGUGAUAUUGCUGAAAUUGUGGUUAUGAGUUAGACAUAGUUGCAACAACAAGAUCAAACAGAGUUUGUCAAAGUUUUUCUUUCUCUCUCAGUUUGUCAACUGAGUUGCUUGAGGACAAGCAAGGUUUUAAGCUUGGGGGAGUUGAUACGUCUCCAUCGUAUCUACUUUCCAAACUCUUUUGCCCUUGUUUUGGACUCUAAUUUGCAUGAUUGAAUGGAACUAACCUGGACUGACGCUAUUUUCAGCAGAAUUGCCUUGGUUUUAUUUUUGUGCAGAAAUCAAAGUUCUCAGAACGUCCUCAAAAUUUACGGGAACAUUUUUGGAAAAUAUGAAAAAUACCUAUGGAAAGAUCCACCUGAGGGGGUGGGCCAGUGGGCCACAAGCCCUGCCUCCGCCACCCCCUGGUCGCGGUGGGCAAGCUUGUGGGGCCCACACGGCUCUACCGCCCCCAAUCUCAGGUCUAUAAGUUCACUUUCGUCCCAGAAAAAAUAAAAAGAGAAGAUUUCGUCGCGUUUGCGAUACGGGGGCGCUGCCACAACCUAUUCUUCAUCUGGAAGGCAGAUCUGGAGUCCGUCUUGGGCUCCGGAGAGGGGAAAUCGUCGCCAUCGUCAUCAUCAACCUUCUUCCCUCUCCAAUUCCAUGAAGCUCUUCGUCGUUCAUGAGUAAUCUAUUCGUAGGCUCGCUGGGCGGUGAUGAGUAGGAUGAAAUCUAUCAUGUAAUCGAGUUAGUUUUGAUGGGGAUUGAUCCCUAGUAUCCACUAUGUUCUGAGAUUGAUGUUGCUACUACUUUGCCAUGCUUAAUGCCUGUCACUAUGGCCCGAGUGCCAUGAUUUCAGAUCUGAAAUUAUUAUGUUGCGACCAAUAUAUGUGUGUUUUAGAUCCGAUCUUGCAAGUUGUAGUUACCUACUAUGUGUUAUGAUCCGGCAACCCCAGAGUGACAAUAACCGGAACCACUCCCAGUGAUGACCAUAGUUUGAGGAGUUCAUGUGUUCACCAAGUGCUAAUGCAUUGGUCCGGUUCUUUAUUAAAAGGAGAACCUUAAUAUCCCAUAGUUUCCUUUUGGACCCCGCUGCCAAAGGAGCGAUGGACAAUAGAUGUCAUGCAAGUUCUUUUCCCUAAGCACGUAUGACGACACACGGAAUGCAUGUCUACAUUACAUUGACGAACGGGAGCUAGCCACAUAUCUCUCCGUGUUAUAACUAUUGCAUGAUGAAUAUCAUCCAAACAAAUCACCGACCCAUUGCCUACGAGUUUGUCCUACUGCUGUUGUUACUUGUCUUGCUCUGUUGCUGUUACUUGUCUUGCUCUGCUGCUACUGUUGCUACUACAGUCGCUUGCCACUGCCGUUACUCGCUACAUUGCUGUUACUACUUUUCUUGCAGAUAUUAAUCUUUCAGGUGUGGUUGAAUCUGACGCAUUCAGCUGCUAAUACUCGAGAGUAUUCUCUCACCUCCUGUCUGGCGAAUCAACAAAUUUGGGUCGAAUACUCUACCCUCGAAAACUGCUGUGAACCCACGCGUUGGUGGGCCGUCAAUAACAUUCUUCUAGUUUCAUAGUCGGGGAGUGCUAGUAGCAUUCUUCGGGUGCCAUUGCAGGGUAAGUUUUGUUCUCAUAGAAUCAGCAUUCGUCUAGCUAUUGCCAGACAGUGCCGGUCAGGCAAUUCCCAGCAAUGGCGCCAUAAAAAGGCACGUUGACGGGAUGUUAGCGCCAACAAAGUCUUGCAACAAGUAACAGCGGAGUAGGAAGGAACAGUAGUAGCAGCAGCAGCAAAGUAACAAGUAACAGCAGUAGCGACAGCAGCAGCAAAGUGGCCCAAUCCCUCUUGUAGCAAGGGACAAGCCUAGGCAAAGUAACAUAGCGAGGACCAGUAGUAAAAGACUCGUAGGCAGUGGAUCGGUGAUGGAUGAGUAUGACGGAUGUGAUUCAUCAUGUAAUAGCUAUAACACGGAGAGAUAUGUGACUAGCUCCCGUUCAUCAAUCUGAUGUAGGCAUGUAUUCCGUAUGUAGUCAUACGUGCUUAUGGAAAAGAACUUGCAUGCCAUCUAUUGUCCAUCCCUCCCAUGGCAGCGGGAUCCUAAUGGAAGCUACGGGAUAUUAAGGUUCUCCUUUUAAUAAAGAACCGGACCAACGCAUUAACACGCGGUGAACACAUGAACUCCUCAUACCAUGGUCAUCUCCGGGAGUGGUUCCGGCUAUUGUCACUCCGGGGUUGCCGGGUCAUAACACAUAGUAGGUGACUACAACUUGCAAGAUAGGAUCUAAAACACACAUAUAUUGGCGACAACAUAAUAGGUUCAGAUCUGAAAUCAUGGUACUCGGGCCCUAGUGACAAGCAUUAAGCAUAGCCAAGUAGUAGCAACAUCAAUCAAGAACAUAGUGGAUACUAGGGAUCAAUCCCCGUCAAGAACUAACUCGAUUACAUGAUAGAUCUCAUCCAACUCAUCACCGUCCAGCAAGCCUACGAUGAGAUUACUCACGAACGAUGAAGAGCAUCAUGGAAUUGUCGAUGGAGAACGGUUGAUGAUGACGAUGGCGACGAUUGCCCCUCUCCGGAGCUCGAAACGGACUCCAGAUCUGCCCUCCAAAUGAAGAACAAGAUGUGGUGGCGCCUUCGUAUCGCAAAACGCGAUGAAACCUUCUCUCUGAUUUUUUCCGUCGAAACGGAAGAUAUAGAGCUGAGUUUGGGGGCGGUGGAGCCACGUGGGCCCCACAAGACAGCAUGGCGCGGCCUAGGGGGGUGGCCGCAUCGUGUGGGCUUGUGGCCCACUGGCACACCCCCCCCCCCUCACGUGGAUCUUUGCGCAGGUAUUUUUCUUUUAUUCCAGAAAAAAUCUCCGUAAAUUUUCAGGAUGUUCCGAGAACUUUUAUUUCUGCACAAAAACAACACCAUGGCAAUUCUGCUGAAAACACCGUCAGUCCGGGUUAGUUCCAUUCAAAUCAUGCAAGUUAGAGUCCAAAACAANNNNNNNNNNNNNNNNNNNNNNNNNNNNNNNNNNNNNNNNNNNNNNNNNNNNNNNNNNNNNNNNNNNNNNNNNNNNNNNNNNNNNNNNNNNNNNNNNNNNNNNNNNNNNNNNNNNNNNNNNNNNNNNNNNNNNNNNNNNNNNNNNNNNNNNNNNNNNNNNNNNNNNNNNNNNNNAGUCCGGGUUAGUUCCAUUCAAAUCAUGCAAAUUAGAGUCCAAAACAAGGGCAAAAGAGUUCGGAAAAGUAGAUACGAGGGAGACAUAUCAGGAGACAACCCAACACUUUUACCUUCUAUUUUUGUGAGUUCACAUGAUUAAGCUACUGUAGUAAUCAUGUUUUGUGUCUUUUAUUUCAAUAAAGUGUCAAGUAAAGCCUUUGGAAUGACUCACAAGAUGAGUAGAAUUGAUGCCGAACCAAAACAGAAACUUUUCACUCAAGUACAUGAAUUUUCAUUUUUUUACCAAAGCGUGAUAAUGAUUUAAAAUUUUACACAGUAUUUAUAUAUAAAUUCUCCUGGUUUUGCUAAUUUUUUAGAAUUUUGAUAGACAGGGAAGUAUGGCUAUACUACAGAGUUCUAUAAAUUAUGGGAAACAUGGCUACUGUUCUGUUUUCGACAGAUUAUGUUUUGUAUGCAUAGUCUGCUUAUUUUAGUGUUCCCAUAGCUUAUAUUCAGUAAUAUAAAUUAUGGGAAUGAUAGAAUACAGUAGGUAUAAUGUGGUAACUAUUAUGAAUCUUGUCUUGACAGUACCUAAGUGAAUGAUCUAUCUUUAUUACACUAAGCUUUCUCACAAAGUUCCGUUAAGUUUUGUGUGAUUGAAGUUUUCAAGUUUUGGGUGAGACAUCGAUAUGAGGAGAACAAGGACUGACAAGUACCUAAGCUUGGGUAUGCCCAAGUUACCCCAAGGUAAUAUCCGUUGAAGACUCAAGUGUCUAAGCUUGAGGAUGCCCCGGAAGCAUCCCCUCUUUCAUCUCCAACGCUAUACGUAAUCUUACUUAGAGCUAUAUUUUUAUUCGUCUCGUAAUAUGUGUUUUUCUUGGAGCAUCAUUUUAUUCUAUUGAUUUCUGUUAGAUGUUAUUUAUAAUUUUGUUUUCUAUAAAAAUCCAAGAAUUGUAUUAGGAUGCUUGCAUUGCAUGGUUUGAUGUGUGCUGUAUAAAAACAGAAACUCUUGUUGUAGUGUUUGAAUUUUCAUAUUUUACUAGAAUGUGGAAAGUUUGUGAAAUAUUUACACAAAUUUUUCUUAUAAAUUUUAUAGAAUGAACUAAAUUUGCAUAAUUUUUUGAGUUACACAAGUAGACUGUUUUCAUAAAUUGCUACAAACUGUUCUGUUUGGAUAGAUUGUUGUCAUAGUUUUGUUAUCUACUUAUCAUAUAGUUUCCAUAGCCUAUAUUGGUAGAUAUAAAUUGUGGAAACGAUAGUAAACAGUACAUGAUGUUUGAAAGUUAUUAUACAACUUUUCUUGUCAGUACAUGAAGAGUUGAUUUAUUAUUGUGUGUACUAACCUAUCUCAUGAGUUCUUUUCGAGUUCUGUGUGGAUGAAGUUUUUUAGAAAAGGUGAAACCAUGAUAUGAGAGGAUUGAAUGAGAAACAAAAGCUCAAUCUUGGGGAUGCCCAAGGCAUCGCAAGUAAAUAUUUCAAGAACUCUCAAGUAUCUAAGCUUGGGGAUGCUACGCAUCCCACCUCUCUUUGUCAACUAUCGGUUAGCCUAUCUUGAGCCUAAAUUUUUAUUCGUUCACAUGACGCGUCCUAUUCUUGGACUACUAUUUUUCUUUUGCUUGCUAUUUAAAUAAAAUACUCAGAUCUGAGAAUCUUUAUUGAGAGAGAGGAAGAAAGUCCUCACAUAGAUACUUAAUUGUUUGACUACUCAUUGAUCUUCACUUAUAUGUUUUGGAGUAGUUUUGGCAUUUACUCUCGUGCUUCACUUAUAUCCUAUGAGUAAAUAGUUGAAUGAAUUGGAUAUUAUAAAUAUGAAAUUAUAUAUGUUCUAAGUGCUUAUCCCAUGGGGAGUAAUGACUUCACAUAUAAGAAGUAUAGGUGGUAUAAUUUAUUGAAAGUUAGCAAACACCGCAUUGGUCACUUGAACAAUACAUGAAAGAAUAUUGAAGGAAGAGAGAUUCCACAUAUAAAUAUACUAUCUUGGACAUCUUUCAUGAUUAUGAGCCCCAUUAAUUAUUUUCAAACUUGAGCAAAUUAGUUGAAGUUGGACAAGGAAGAGAACUUAAUGAGUUAUGUGUGGAUAUAUUUGCAUAGAAGUUAUAUUGUUAUGGAUCCUCCAACAUGUGGUGCUUGUUUAGAACCUUUUACUAGCCAAUACUUCGUGCUAAGUAGAGAUACUACUUGUGCAUCCAAAAACCCUUAAACCCAGUUUCUUGCCAUGAGAGUCCACUAUAUCUACCUAUAUGCGGUAUUUACCUCCUAUUCCAAGUAAAUUUGCAUGUGCCAAACUCUAAACCUUCAAAUAAUAUUUUGUUUUGUAUGCCCGAAUCACUCAUGUAGUGACUAGGGACUGUAUUGAUUAACGAUGUGUGUUGAUUCACUAUCAUUCACGAGAAAGUGGCCGGUAUUCGGGAUGCCCAGUUCCAUGCUAAAAAAUCAAAUCAAAAUAUAAUGAUACAAACCUCCCCCAAGAUUGUUGUUUGUAUGAACGGUACCCGUGGAUUCGGCUCGUCGUGGAGUGUGGUUGAUUGGUGGAGGGGGAGUUAAAACUUUACAAUUGUGUUUGGGAACCAUCUAUAAUCUAUCUAGCAUGGAAGAUACCGAGAUCUCUCGGUUGUUAGGUUGACAAUGAAAGCAUACCGCUCAAAAUUAUUAUUCAUUUGUGUUUUAAAACCUCGAGCUUUCGCACAUAUGCAAAUCACAGCUUCCCUGUGCGAAAUUUGCAUGACUUGAAUGGAACUAACCGAGACUAACGCUGUUUUCAGCAGAAUUGCCAUGGUGUUGUUUUUGUGCAGAAAUAAAAGUUAUCGGAAUGUCCUGAAAAUUUAAGGAUAUUUUAUCUGGAAUAAAUGAAAAAUACCUGCGCANNNNNNNNNNNNNNNNNNNNNNNNNNNNNNNNNNNNNNNNNNNNNNNNNNNNNNNNNNNNNNNNNNNNNNNNNNNNNNNNNNNNNNNNNNNNNNNNNNNNNNNNNNNNNNNNNNNNNNNNNNNNNNNNNNNNNNNNNNNNNNNNNNNNNNNNNNNNNNNNNNNNNNNNNNNNNNNNNNNCAAAGAUCCACCGGAGGGGGUAUGCCAGUGGGCCACAAGCCCCUCGGCCGCGGCCACCCCCUUAGGCCGCGCCGUGAGGGCUUGUGGGGCCCACGUGGCACCACCGCCCCCAAACUCAGCUCUAUUUAUUCCAUCUCGCCCGGAAAAAAAUCAGAGAGAAGGAUUCAUCGCGUUUUACGAUACGGAGGCGCCACGAGCUCGUGUUCUUUAUCUGGAGGACAGAUCUGGAGUCUGUUCGGGGCUCCGGAGAGGGGAAAUCGUCGCCAUCGUCAUCAUCAACCUUCCUCCAUCGACAAUUCCAUGAUGCUCUUCAUCGUUCGUGAGUAAUCUCAUCGUAGGCUUGCUGGACGGUGAUGAGUUGGAUGAGAUCUAUCAUGUAAUCGAGUUAGUUCUUGACGGGGAUUGAUCCCUAGUAUCCACUAUGUUCUUGAUUGAUGUUGCUACUACUUGGCUAUGCUUAAUGCUUGUCACUAGGGCCCGAGUACCAUGAUUUCAGAUCUGAACCUAUUAUGUUGUCGCCAAUAUAUGUGUGUUUUAGAUCCUAUCUUGCAAGUUGUAGUCACCUACUAUGUGUUAUGACCCGGCAACCCCGGAGUGACAAUAGCCGGAACCACUCCCGGAGAUGACCAUAGUAUGAGGAGUUCAUGUAUUCACCGAGUGUUAAUGCGUUGGUCCGGUUCUUUAUUAAAAGGAGAACCUUAAUAUCCCGUAGUUUCCAUUAGGACCCCGCUGCCAUGGGAGGGAUGGACAAUAGAUGUCAUGCAAGUUCUUGUCCCUAAGCACGUAUGACUACAUACGGAAUACAUGCCUACAUUAGAUUGACGAACGGGAGCUAGUUACUUAUCUCUCUGUGUUAUAGCUGUUACAUGAUGAAUCACAUCCGGUAUACUCAUCCAUCACCGAUCCACUACCUACGAGUCUUUUACUACUGGUCCUCGCUACGUUACUUUGCUGCUACUGUUGUCGCUACUGCUGUUACUUCGUGCUGCUGCUACUGCUGUUCCUUGCUGCUGCUGUCACUACUGCUGUUACUUUGCUGCUACUUGUUGCAAGACUUUUCUGGAGCCGUUGCCGAGGAAGAAUAGUCCCCCGUCCACGUGCCAUUUAUUGGCGCCAUUGAUACAACAAGCUAGGAAAAGUCUGCCGUCAACACAUCUUUUUCUGACACCGUUGCUAUCAUACCACUUUGCUACUGAUACUUUGCUUGCAGACACUAAUCUUUCAAGUGUGGUUGAAAUUGACAAACUCAGCUGCUAAUACUUGAGAAUAUUCUUUCGCUUCCCCUUGUGUCGAAUCAAUAAAUUUGGGUUGAAUACUCUACCCUCGAAAACUGUUGCGAUCCCCUACACUUGUGGGUUAUCAAGACCAUUUUCUGGUGCCGUUGCCGGGGAGGCACAUCUAUAUUCUCUGAGUCACUUGGGAUCGACGUCUGCUGGUCACUAUGAGGAAUCUGAAAGAUCCAAGAACUAAAAUCUUGCCUUCCACUACGAGGAGAGGUAAGCAACUUCCAUCUAGCUCUGCACUUGAUUCACCUUCAGUUUUGAGUAAGUUUGCGACUUCGCCUCCUGCUAGAAAUCUUGAUAUGUCGCCUGUGCAUGAUGAUGCUACUUCUGCUGCCCAUGAUGCUUAUGAUGAUGCUAUGCUNNNNNNNNNNNNNNNNNNNNNNNNNNNNNNNNNNNNNNNNNNNNNNNNNNNNNNNNNNNNNNNNNNNNNNNNNNNNNNNNNNNNNNNNNNNNNNNNNNNNNNNNNNNNNNNNNNNNNNNNNNNNNNNNNNNNNNNNNNNNNNNNNNNNNNNNNNNNNNNNNNNNNNNNNNNNNNNNNNNNNNNNNNNNNNNNNNNNNNNNNNNNNNNNNNNNNNNNNNNNNNNNNNNNNNNNNNNNNNNNNNNNNNNNNNNNNCCUGAUGAUGCUAUGCCUGAUACUCCUUUGCCACUAGGUGCAUUCCUUGAUGCACAAAUUGCUAGAGUUGCUGCUAGAUGUGAUGAUACUUCUGAAACUGCUGAUACUAUUGAAGUAGAACUUGCUAGUAUGCCUGAAUUGCCUGUUAUGCAUGAACGCUAUGUUAUGGAAGGAGAGAUAGCUGAGGACUUUCUUGCGUGUAAGGAUAGCUAUGAUGUUGAGAAAUUACUGCGCAAGUGGAAAGAAAAAUCUCUGAACGCUGGGAUGAAAUACGACCCGAAGUUUGCUACUUCGCCUAUCUUUGUGACCGAUAAGGAUUAUGAAUUCUCUGUCAACCCUGAGUUAAUCACUCUGGUUGAAUCUGAUCCUUUUCACGGUUAUGAGUCUGAAACGGUUGUAGCCCAUCUUACCAAACUGCACGAUAUAGCCACCCUAUUCACUAGUGAGGAAAAGAUCCGCCACUACUAUAUCCUCAAGUUGUUUCCUUUCUCGCUAAAGGAUGAUGCUAAGACCUGGUUCACUUCUCUUGCUCCUGGUUGUGUGCGUAGCCCCCAGGAUAUGGUCUACUACUUCUCUGAAAAAUAUUUCCCUACCCAUAAGAAGCAAGCUGCCUUGCAGGAAAUAUACAACUUUGCUCAAGCUGAGGAAGAGAGUCUCCCACAAGCUUGGGGGAGGCUCGUCCAGCUACUGAAUGCUUUGCCUCAUCACCCUCUUGAGAAGAAUGAAAUACUUGAUAUCUUCUAUAAUGGACUUACCGAUGCUUCCAAAGACCACCUAGAUAGUUGUGUCGGUUGUGUUUUUAGGGAACAAACUGUAGAACAAGCUGAGAUUCUACUGAAUAACAUCUUGUGCAAUGAGAAUGCUUGGACUAUUCCCGAAUCACCUCCUAAGCCAACUCCAAAGAAAAGAGGUAUUCUAUUCCUCAGUCCUGAAGAUAUGCAAGAAGCCAAGAAAUCUAUGCGAGAGAAAGGCAUUAAAUCUGAAGAUGUCAACAAUCUACCACCUAUCGAAGAGAUCCAUGGUCUCGAUAACCCGAUACAGGUAGUAGAAGUAAAUUCUCUCUGUAGGUUUGAUGAGAGUGAUAUUCCUUUUGAUAAACCUGCUAGCUUAUGCCUGGAUGAAUUUGAUAACUUUGUUGACAAACAACAGAGUUUCNNNNNNNNNNNNNNNNNNNNNNNNNNNNNNNNNNNNNNNNNNNNNNNNNNNNNNNNNNNNNNNNNNNNNNNNNNNNNNNNNNNNNNNNNNNNNNNNNNNNNNNNNNNNNNNNNNNNNNNNNNNNNNNNNNNNNNNNNNNNNNNNNNNNNNNNNNNNNNNNNNNNNCAAACAACAGAGUUUCAAUGAUUAUGUUAGCAGACAAUUGGAACAGAAUGCUCAUAUGCUUAGUCAUUUAAGUGCUUGUGUGGACAGAAAUGUCAAUGAUCUUAAGCUUUUGAGUAAACAUGCCUGUAUGGUUACUACUCAAGUAGAACAAGUACUUAAAGCUCAAAAUGACUUGCUCGAUGAGUUGAAUGAAAAUUCCGUUAGAGUUGUUACUAGAGGCGGUAGAAUGACCCAGUAACCUUUGUAUCCCGAGGGUCAUCCGAAGAGAAUUGAACAAGAUUCUCAAGGAGUUAGCACUGAUGCACCUAGUCAUCCUAGAAAGAAGAAGAAAGAUGAUAGGAACCUGCACGCUAGCAACCCUGUUGCUGCUACACCUGAGAGUCCAAACGAUGCCUCUGUCUGUGACACUGAAACACAAUCUGGUGAUGAACAUGAGCCUAAUGAUAAUAUCAAUAGUGAUGUUCAUGAAGAUGCUCAACCUAGCAAUGAUAAGGAUGUGGAGAUUGAACCUAUUGAUCUUGAUAACCCUCGGCCUAAGAAUAGAAGAUAUGAUAAGAAUGACUUUGCUGCUAGGAAGCAUGGUAAAGAAAGGGAGCCAUGGGUUCAGAAACCCAUGCCCUUUCCUCCAAAACCAUCCAAGAAAAAGGAUGAUGAGGAUUUUGAGUGAUUCGUUGAAAUGAUCAGACCUGACUUUCUGCAAAUGCGUUUGACAGAUAUGCUCAAAAUGUCUCCGUAUUCUAAGUACAUGAAAGAUAUUGUAACUAAUAAGAGGAGGAUACCUGAGGUUGAGAUUUCCACCAUGCUUGUUAAUUAUACCUUCAAGGGUGGAACUCCUAAGAAACUAGGUGAUCCCGGUGUGCCCACUAUACCUUGCUCCAUUAAAGGCAGGUACGUUAGACCAGUGUUAUGCGACCUUGGAGCCGGUAUUAGUGUUAUGCCUCUCUCUCUUUAUCGUAGACUUGAACUGGACAAGUUGACACCCACUGAAAUCUCUGCAAAAUGGCCGACAAAUCAACUGCUUUCCCUAUCGGCAUUUGCGAGGAUCUGCCUGUUGUGGUUGCUAACGUCACUAUCUUAACAGACUUUGUUAUCUUGGAUAUUCCUGAGGACGAUGCCAUGGCGGUCAUCCUCGGAAGACCGUUUUUAAACAAUGCAGGGGCUGUUAUAGAUUGCAACAAAGGCAAUGUCACUUCCCAUGUCAACGGUAAUGACCAUACAGUGCACUUUCCGAAGAAACAAUAUCGAGUACAUUGCAUCAAUGCUAUCGAAAAAACUUCAUCAAUUUUUAUUGGGAUCUUUGAAUGCCCUAUACCUCGUGUCAAGAUGAAGUAUGAUUUGCUUGUUGGGGAGAUACACAUCCCCAUUGAGGUGACCUAGUGAUUAUUCGGAAAUUCUCCAUUAUCUUUUGUGAUUCGAAAAAGUUUGUCAAAGAGGCUUGAUCAACCUCACUGACAGAUUUCUUUUGAUGACAAUGAGAUGGAUGAAUCGAGGAGUCACAAACCUCUGUUCCAAGCUUUCACCUUCUAUUGCUUAGAAGAAAAAUGAUAGAUUUAGUUUAGUUUUCCCUGUUUUCUGUUUUAGCGCUCGGUGGAAAAGUACCCUGAAAAUAAAAGUACUCCGAACGUCCUGAAAAUCAAGUAUGAUUUUUUUUGGAAUUUUUGAAAAAUUCUGAGACAAAGAGCUUGUCGGGGGGCUGCACGAGUGGGCCACAAGCGCUUGGGGCGCGGGCACCCCCCCUGAGCGCACCACCCAGGCUUGUGGGGCCCACAGGCACCCCCUCCACUCAUUCUUGCUCUUAUCUGGUUCUCCUACCUCCAGAAAAAAUUGUUCCGCAGCUCAAACCCGUGUUCUCGCUCCUCUUGUUGGGAUUUUCGAUCUCUUUGCUCAAAUCACCGUUCUCCGAACUGUUUUGGGGAAAUUACUCCUUGGUAAGUGACUCCUCCAUUGGUCCAAUUAUUUUUUGCUCUAGUGCCUUAUACUCCGCGUAUUUUUUCUGCCUUGGUGACCAUGUUCUUGAGCUUUGCAUGCUAAUUCUAGCUGGUCCCAAGUAGUUUUGAUGCGUAAUAUGGCCUCUAGGCAUUUGUUGGAGUAGUUGCUAUGAGUUUCAUUGAGCCUUGUUCACUUUUCCUUAGAAUCACUAAAAUUUUCAGAAAAUUUCAAAGAUAGAAAAGGGAAAAGAUGAGGAGGUUCUUAAGAGGCUCUUCAAGCCGUGACCCCAAGGAUGAUGGGAGUGAGAAGAAGCCCAAGUAUCUGGUCCCUCGAGUCGCAGAAGUUCGAGCGUGCAAGUGGCCAAGCGAUGUGUUCUUACGCACCGCUGGAAUUUAUGAGGACUUUUAUCACUUGGUGGAUAACGCAGGCCUUACCGCCUUCGUUGAAGAUAAGUGUCCGCAAUACCUCCUCCUCACUAAUAUCUUCAUACAAAGUUUUAACUUCUAUCCGAGGAAGAAUCCUCCUAUGGUUGAGUUCAAAAUUUAUGAUAUCCCCCAGCGCAUGUCACACCAAGAUUUUUGCAAUGUUUGCAAAUUACCUUAUGUUGGGGAUAUUCAUGAACCUCGUCCACGGGACUUGGAAGCUUUCAUCGAUACUAUUGUUGUAGGAGAGGAGAGAGGAGUGUCUUGCGCUAGAGCUACUAGCAUUAAUUUUCCCGUGCUUCGGUACUUCUCAUUAUUUGUGGGAAAAUGUUUGAUUGGCCGUGGGAAAGCUGGGUCACUUAGUUCCCCAGAUCUUGCGGUCUUGCGCGAAGCCCUUUAUAACGAUAAAACUUAUAGCUUGGGCGCUAUAGUAGCUCAACGGUUGAACACGAACCGUUCUAAAGGCGUUAUCUAUGGAGGUAUCUAUGCUACUCGUCUUGCUAUACAUUUUGAGAUACCUAUUAGACUGGACGAGGAAGAAGAGAUUCUUCUUCCUGAGAGAUAUCUAUAUUACAAUAGCAUGGUUCGCCAUGACUUUUUUGAUAGAGAUAUAAAUAGAAGGAUGAUUUAUAACCUGGUAUUUAGUCAGGGUACUCGUGAGACUAUUACUUUGCUUGCUCCUUCUUUGUUCAAUCUUCAUGCAGGUAGGUACAUUAUUAUGCCCUUGGACAUCUACACAUAUUGGGGCAUAGCCCAACCACAGGUGCCCGUGCCCGAGCUAGCAGUCGAGUACCAGACGCCAGUUUAUCAGUGGGAGCCAGAGGAGCUCACACAGCAGUGGCAUCCUCAGUCCACUCCGGAGUACCCCGGAGCUGGUUAUUUCCCUCCUUGGGAGUAGACCAACUUAGGCCAAAAGCCUAAGCUUGGGGGAGUAGGUGUUUCUCAUUUGUGUUUUCCUGCAGAUUCCAUCUUUAGUCCACUACACGAGCACGCUUAUUAUUGUUCACAACAUUCGGUCGUGCAAGUGAAAGUCAAAAAUGACGAUAUAUGAAGUGACUGAGCCUGGAAAAGAUGGUAUGAACUCGAUCUAUUUUGUUUUUGUAAAUAUGACUAGCCCAUCAUGCCUGAUUCAGCUUUGUUGUGAGAGAAACAUGUUUGCAAUGACAACUUAGAGAUCAUAGUUGCUUAUGCCAUGCUUACUUAGCUAGGAGCUUAUAAUGGUUUGUCUUGGAUGCCCACAUGAAUGUUGAGAUGACUGUGCUGUAGUAUGAUAGGAUGGUAUCCUCCUUUGAAUGUUUCAAGUGGCUUGACUUGGCGCAUGUUCACGCAUGUAGUUGAAACAAAAUCAACAUAGCCUCUAUGAUGUUCAUGUUCAUGGUGAUUUAUGUCCUACUCAUGCUUGCAUUCAAUGUUAGUUAAUCUCAAUGCAUUUUGAUGACUGUUGUCGCUCUCUAGUUGGUCGCUUCCCAGUCUUUUGCUAGCCUUCACUUGUACUGAGCGGGAAUACUGCUUGUGCAUCCACCCCCAUAAACCCAACGUUGUUCCAUAUGAGUCCACCAUACCUACCUAUGUGCGGUAUCUACCUGCUGUUCCAAGUAAAUUUGCAUGUGCCACUCUCUAAACCUUCAAGAAAUAAUCUGUUUUGCAUGCCCGAACCGCUCAUGUGGUGAUAGGGGGCUAUUGGUAUCUUCCAUGCUAGGCGUGUUAUCCUCGAUAUGUGUUUAUUCACUAUCAUUCACGAGAAAGGGGGCGGUAAUUGGAACUCCCAGGUCCAUGCUCAAAUCGAAAAGAUAAUUGCAAACAAACCUCCCCCAGGAUUGAUGUUGGUAUGGACAGUACUCGAGGAUUCGGCUAGCCGUGGAGUGUGAUUGAUUGGUGGUGGGGGAGUCAAAACUUUACUUUUCUGUUUGGGGACCGCCUAUAGCAUGUGUAGCGUGGAAGAUGUUGAGAACUCUUAGUCAUUGCGUUGACAAUGAAAGCAUGCCACCCAAAAUUAUUAUCUCUGUUUUAAAAGCUUGAGCUCUGGCACCUGUGCAAAUUAAUGCUUCCCUCUGCGAAGGGCAUGUCUAUUUAUGUUCCUGUUGAGUCAUCCUCCUCUUACAACAAGACCCAAUUAGAGAGCACCUUUGUCAUUUUUAUGCUUUGCUUUUAACUGUGUUGAGUAUGACUGUGACUCGAUCUUCAUUGGCUAGAAUUACAAUGUUUAGUCAGCCCUUGGUCUUUGAAGGUGCUCUGCAUUUAUGUUUUGCGGUCUCCGAAAGAGCUAGCGAGAUACCAUCUAUUCGUACUGCUUCAUGUUGUUUUGAUUGAAGUGUUGACAUUUGAGGCUUAUUAUUAUUUGCUCCCUAGCUGAUUAUGCCAUUGAUAUGAGUUUAUCGUGAGACCUAGAUGUCAUUUGCUUAUGUGGUUUGCUUGUGAUCUUGCUGAAAUUCUGGUUAUGAGUUAGACAUAGUUGCAACAACAAGAUCAAACAGAGUUCGUCAAAGUUUUUCUUUUGUCUCUUUCAGUUUGUCAACUGAAUUGCUUGAGGACAAGCAAGGCUUUAAGCUUGGGGGAGUUGAUACGUCUCCGUUGUAUAUACUUUUCUGAACUCUUUUGCCCUUGUUUUGGACUCUAAUUUGCAUGAUUUGAAUGGAACUAACCCGGACUAACGUUGUUUUCAACAAAAUUGCCAUGGUGUUGUUUUUGUGCAGAAAUAAAAGUUCUCGGAAUGUCCUGAAAAUUUACGGAGAAUUUUUCUAAAAUAAAUGAAAAAUACCUGCGCAAAGAUCCAACGGAGGGGGUGUGCCAGUGGGCCACAAGCCCGUGGGCUGCGACCACCCCCCCCCCUAGGCCGCGCCGUGAGGCCUUGUGGAACCCACGUGGCACCACCGCCCCCAAACUCAGCUCUAUUUAUUCCGUCUCGCUCGGAAAAAAUCAGAGAGAAGGAUUCAUCGCGUUCUACGAUACGGAGGCGCCGCCACCUCCUGUUCUUCAUCCAGAUGACAGAUCUGGAGUACGUUCGGGGCUCCAAAGAGGGGAAAUCAUCGCCAUCGUCAUCAUCAACCUUCCUCCAUCGACAAUUCCAUGAUGUUCUUCACCAUUCGUGAGUAAUCUCAUCGUAGGCUUGCUGGACGGUGAUGAGUUGGAUGAGAUAUAUCAUGUAAUCGAGUUAGUUUUGACGGGGAUUGAUCCCUAGUAUCCACUAUGUUCUGAGAUUGAUGUUGCUACUACUUUGCCAUGCUUAAUGCUUGUCACUAGGGCCCGAGUGCCAUGAUUUCAGAUCUGAAAUUAUUAUGUUGCCACCAAUAGAUGUGUGUUUUAGAUCCGAUCUUGCAAGUUGUAGUUACCUACUAUGUGUUAUGAUCCGGCAACCCCGGAGUGACAAUAACCGGAACCACUCCCGGUGAUGACCAUAGUAUGAGGAGUUCAUGUGUUCACCAAGUGCUAAUGCGUUGGUCCGGUUCUUUAUUAAAAGGAGAACCUUAAUAUCCCAUAGUUUCCUUUUGGACCCCGCUGCCACGGGAGGGAUGGACAAUAGAUGUCAUGCAAGUUCUUUUCCCUAAGCACGUAUGACUUCAUACGGAAUACAUUCCUACAUUAGAUUGACGAACGGGAGCUAGUUACUUAUCUCUCCGUGUUAUAGCUAUUACAUGAUGAAUCACAUCCGGUAUAAUCAUCCAUCACCGAUCCAUUGCCUACGAUUCUUUUACUACUUGUCCUUGCUACGUUACUUUGCUGCUACUGUUGUCGCUACUGCUGUUACUCUGUUGUUACUUGCUACUGAUGUUGUUGAUGUUGCUUGCUACUGCUGUCACUACUGCUGUUACUUUGCUGCUACUUGUUGCAAGACUUUUCUGGAGCCGUUGCCGGGGAAGAAUAGUCCCCCUUCCACGUGGUAUUUACUGGCGCCAUUGAUACAACAAGUUAGGAAUAGUCUGCCGUCAACACAUCUUUUUCUGACACCGUUGCUAUCAUACCACUUUGCUACUUAUACUUUGCUUGCAAACACUAAUCUUUCAGGUGUGGUUGAAAUUGGCAAACUCAGCUGCUAAUACUUGAGAAUAUUCUUUUGCUUCCCCUUGUGUCGAAUCAAUAAAUUUGGAUUGAAUACUCUACCCUCGAAAACUGUUGCGAUCCCCUACACUUGUGGGUUAUCAAGGGCCAAUCUAUUUACUUUCAUGUUAUUUACUAUUCUUGUUGAGUUAACUUCUUAUUCCAACCUCAAAGUAUUAGUUGGCAAGCAUCAUGUGGUGGGGAAAGAUGCAAACAUAUAUAUCCAUACAAAUAUAUUUGAUCAUGAAUUAUUAUUGUUGACAAUUAUCUAUAUGGUAAAUAAAUUAGGAGGCAAAACUUUAAGCCCCUGUCUUUCUUUGUGUUCGAUGGAUGCUAUUUGUUCUAAAAAUAUGCUUUGAGUGUCAACAAUCAUGGAAGACUAUAUGAUAGUUGAGUAUGUGGAAUUUUCUAAAUAAAAUCUCUUACAUAGACCCUUCCCAAAAAUAAGAUGAAUUGCAAUUGUUUGGUGACUGAAAGCAUAAUUUGUUAGUUUUCAAGAAACUUUAUGGUCUACAUUUUAACACGUGAAUAGCUUGUUACUUCAUCAUGAGAAGUUUUAUGAGAUGAGCUACUGUGUAUGAUAUGUAAUGAUGCUAGAAAAAGUGUUUGGAUAUAUCAUUGAUCAAAUUUAUGCACUAUGCUAGCAUUCACACUUCAUAAAUGAUUUCUUUUAUUAUUUACCUACUCGAGGACGAGCAGGAAUAAAGGUCGGGGAUGCUGAUACGUAUCCAACGUAUCUAUAAUUUAUGAAGUAUUCAUGCCAUGUUUACAAUAAUUCUAUAUGGUUUUUGUAUGAUUUUAUUAUAACUAACCCGGACUGAUGCUUUUUUCAGCACAACUACCGUGUUGUUGUUUUUGUGCCCAAAUAAAAGUUCUCGGAAUGGGCUGAAAAAUUACGGAGAAUAUUGUUGGUAAAUAUGAAAAAUACUGGAGCAAAAGGAUACCAGAGAGGAGUCCCGAGGCAACCACAAGCCACCAGGGCACCCCCCUAGGGUGCGCUCCUUGGCUUGUGGGCCCCUCAAGCACUCCCCUGACGUGGUUCGAACGCCAAAUAUUCUUAUAAAAACAGAAACCCCCGAAAAGAAACUUAGAUCGGGAGUUCCUCUGCCGCAAGCCUCCAGAGCCAUGAAAACCCAGUCUUGGCCCUCUUCGGCACCCUGUCGGAGAGGGUCACCAUCACCGGAGACCAUUGAGGAGGAAGAUGGAGGGGCCAUCAUCACCAUGGAGGCCAAGGACUAGAGGAAGAACCUCUCCCCACCUUGGGGGAGGCCAUGGAGGAGGAGGAACAAGGCGGAGACCCUCUCCCCCUCUCUCCCGGUGGUGCCGGAGUGCCACCGGGGGAACCAUCGCCGCGGUGAUCGUCUUCAUCAACAUCACCUUCUUCAUCACCAACCCCAUCUUCUUUUAGCGUUCCACUCCCCCGCGCCCCGCUGUAAUCACCUACUUGAACACGGUUCUCUAUGCCACAUAUUAUGAUCCAAUGAUGUGUUGCCAUCCUAUGAUGUUUUGAGUAGAUUCCCUUUGUCUUAUGGGUUGAUUGAUGAUCUAGAUUGGUUUGACUUGCAUGCUUUAUUAUUGGUGUUGUCCUAUGGUUCUCUCCGUGUCUAGCAAGCAUGAGGGAUUCCCUUUGUAGGGUGUUGUAAUACGUUCAUGAUUCGCUUAUAGUGGGUUGUUUGAGUGACAGAAGCAUAAACCCGAGUAGGUGGGUUGUUGCGAAUGCGAUAAAGGGGACUUGAUGCUUUAAUGCUAUGGUUCGGUUUUACCUUAAUGAUCUUUAGUAGUUGCGGAUGCUUGCUAGAGUUCCAAUCAUAAGUGCAUAUGAUCGAAGUAGAGAAGGUAUGUUAGCUUAUAACUCUCCCUCAUAUAAAAUUGCAAUAAUGAUUACUGAUCUUGUUAACAAUUGCCUAGGACAAUUCCGCACACCGACCCAUCACUAUUCCACACUCGCUAUUUGUAAUAUAUUCUAACUUUAUGAUAACAACACCUAUUUUUAUAUUUUAUUUCUCCGAUGUCAUGCAAAGCUAUUCUCUUCAUACCCACAAUGUAGUUUUAUUUCUCGUUCCAAGUUGGAAGCAAACGUUCGGCGUACGUAGAGUUAUAUCAGUGGCAGAUAGAACUUGAGAGAAUAUUGCUCUUACCUUUAGCUCCUUGUGGGUUCGACGCUCCAUACUUAUCAUUUCCACCUUUUGAAAUUGCUACGAUGAUUCCUUGCACUUGGGGAUUAUCAGGGCGUCGGCAGCGUCUGGGAACAGGUGAUGGCUGAUACGUCUCCAACGUAUCUACAAUUUUUGAUGGUUCCAUGCUAUUAUCUUGUCAACUUUGGAUGUUUUAUAUGCAUGAAUAUGCUAUUUUAUAUCUUUUUUGGGACUAACCUAUUAACUCAAUGCAGAGUGCCAGUUUCUGUUGUUUCCGUGUUUUUGGCCCAUUUUCAGACGAACUCCAAAUGGAAUGAAACUUUACGAUGCUUUUUUUUGGACCGAAAGAGACCCCCGAAGCUUUGGAAGAAGGCCAGAAGAGCCACGAGGGAGUCACAAGCCCUGACGCCGCCACCACCCCCCUAGGUGGUGCCGACCAGGCUUGUAACCUCCUCGUGGGCCCAACCGACGUAAUUCCACCGCCAUAAAUUCCUAUAAAUUCAGAAACCCCCCAAAAGAAACCUAGAUCAGGAGUUGCGCCGCCGCAAGCCUCUGUAGCCACCAAAAACCAAUCUGGAGCCUGUUCUGGCACCCUGUCGGAGGGGCAAUCCAUCUUCGGUGGCCAUCUUCAUCAUCUCGGCGAUCUCCAUGACGAGGAGGGAGUAGUUCUCCCUCGGGGCUGAGGGUAUGUACCAGUAGCUAUGUGUUUGAUCUCUCUCUCUCGUGUUCUUGAGAUGUCUUGGUCUCAAUGUACCAUGGGCUUUGCUACUAUAGUUGGAUCUUAUGAUGUUCUUCCCCCUCUCCUUCUUGUAAUGAAUUGAGUUUAUCCUUUGGAGUUAUCUUNUACAAGGAGAAGGUUGCGUAGUAGACAUCAAGCUCUUUUCUGCCGCCGUUGCCGGGGAGGUUAGCGCUUGAAGGUAUAUCUUUAGAUCUUGCAAUCGAAUCUUUUUGUUUCUUGUUCUUUUGCUAGAAAACUACAAAAAAAAUGGAAUUGAGGAUGUCUCAUAUGCUCCAUCUUUUCAAUGUCUUUCGUGAGCAUGAUGGGAAGGAAAAUUGUGCUCAAGUGCUGAAAGAAGAAUUACAUAGAAUGCUUGGCAUAGAUUAUGUGAAUGAUGAGCAUGAUUGCAAUGUUCUUAGCAUGAAUUCUUUGAAUACCCAUGAUGCUAAUGAUAUGCAAAGCCACAAGCUUGGAGAUGCUAUAUUUGAUGAAGAUGAUCUUUUUAGUUCUUCCACUUUGAAUGAUCAUUGUGAGGAUACUUAUGCUCUGAAGAAGAGGGAUGAUAAAACAUCUCAUACUCUCGAGAACCCCUUUGUUAAAUCUUGCUUUUUCAUUGUGGACACAAUUUGUAGUGCUCAAGUCUUUUACGAUACUCCCACUACUAUUCUUGAGAAUAGAUUUCCUUAUGUGGAGAGUAGUAAAAUUUCUAUGCUUGUAGAUCAUGAAAAGAAUGCUUUAGGUGCUGGUUAUAUUGUUGAAUUCAUUCAUGAUGCUACUGAAAAUUACUAUGAGAGAGGAUGAUAUGCUUCUACUUAUUGCAAUAGUAUCAAGCUUCCUCUCCAUAUGUUGAAAUUUUUGAAGCUAUGCUUGUUCUGCCUUCCUAUGCUAGUUGAUUCUUGCUCCAAUAAAUUGUUUAAUCACAAAAUCCCUAUGCAUAGGAAGUGGGUUAGACUUAAAUGUGCUAGCCAUUUUCUCCAUGAUGCUCUCUUGUGUUUCAAUCCUUACCUUUUAUGUGAGCAUCAUUGAAAUCAAUGCCUAGCUAAGGGCGUUAAACGAUAGCGCUUGUUGGGAGGCAACCCAAUGAAUAAAUUUUUCUUUGCUUUUUGCUUCAUGUUUUGUUUUCUCCACACCAUCAUAAUUAUGUUAUGAUUGUGUCUUUUGUGUUUAUUUUUGUGUUUGUGCCAAGCAAAACCGUUACGAUUAGUCUUGGUGAUGAUUGUUUGAUCAUGCUGGAAAAAGACAGAAACUUUCUGCUCACGAAAAGAAUUUCCAUUUUUAUUCUGUAAGAGAUUUUGAGUUGAUUCUUUUUGCUGCAUAUUCAUAUGCAAUUUAUUCGGAAUUUAGUAAUUGUUCAGAUUUGUUGAAGUACCAGAAGUAUACAAAGUAUACAUAUUGCUACAGACUGGUCUGCUGUUAACAGAUUCUGUUUUUGUUGAGUUGGUUGCUUAUUUUGAUGAAACUAUGGAUAGUAUCGGAGGGUACUAGCCAUGUAAAAGUGAAAAUACAGCAACCCAACACCAAAAUAAGUAGAAUUUAAGUUUGCUACAGUACCUAAGGAAGUGGUGAUUUGCUUUCUUAUACUAAUGAUAUCACGAGUUUCUGUUUAAGUUUCGUGUUGUGAAGUUUUCAAGUUUUGGAUGAAGUUCUUAUGGACAAAAAGAUAAAGAGUGGCAAGAUCUCAAGCUUGGGGAUGCCCAAGGCACCCCAAGAUAUUCAAGGAUGCCGUAAAAGCCUAAGAUUGGGGAUGCCCCGGGAAGGCAUCCCCUCUUUCGUCUUCAAUCCAUCGGUAAUGUUACUUGGAGCUAUAUUUUUAUUCACCACAUGAUAUGUGUUUUGCUUGGAGCGUCUUGUAUCUUAGGAGUCUUUUAUUUUUGUUGUGUCACAAUCUUCCUUCCUUCAAACCUAGAGAGAGAGACAUGCACUCACCGUGAUUUUGUCGAGCUUCACUUAUAUCCUUUGGUAGACAAUUCAGCUCACAUGUGCUUCACUUAUAUAUUUUGAGCUAGAUACUUUUGCUCUGUGUGCUUCACUUAUAUCUUUUAGAGCGCAGCGGUGCGUGUCUUGGUAGUUGAUCUAUGCUUUGAAAGUAGUCUCAAAAUGGGUAGUUAUCCAAAGGGAUACGAAAACUUCCACCUUCAUGUGCAUUGAAUAGUUAGAGAAGUUUGAUUCAUCUCAAUUAGUUUUGAGUUGUGGUUUUGGUAAUAUUGAAGUCAUGCUAGUAAGGUGUUGUGGAUCUAGAAAUACUUGUGUUGAAGUUAGUGAUUCUCGUAGCAUGCACGUAUGGUGAACCGCUAUGUGAUGAAGUCUGAGCAUGAUUAGUCUUUUGAUUGUCAUCCUUUGCGUGGCGGUCGGGAUCGCGCGAUGGUUUAUACCUACCAACCCUUCCCCUAGGAGUAUGCGUUGAAUGCUUUGUUUCGAUUACUAAUAAAACUUUUGCAACAAGUAUAUGAGUUCUUCAUGACUAAUGUUGAGUCCAUGGUUUAGAUGCACUUUCACCUUCCACCAUCACUAUCUUCUUAGUGUCGUGCAACUAUCGCCGGUGCACAAAACUCACCAUUAGCCUCCCUCAAAACAGCCACCAUACCUACCUACUAUGGCUUUUUCAAAGUCAUUCCGAGAUAUAUUGCCAUGCAACUACCACCAUGACAUGUGCCACCACGUCUACAUUGCCAUUGCAUGAUGUUUCCAUUAAUGUCUAUGCCAUGCUAGAUCAUUGCCACGGUACACUACCGAAGGCAUUCCAUAUAGAGUCAUCGUUGCUCUAAGUUUUGAGUUGAAAGUGUGAUGAUCAUCAUUGAUGGAGCAUUGUCCCAUGUGAGGAAAUAAAAGAGGCCAAAGAAGCCCACCAAAAAAAACAAGAGGCCAAAGAGCCCACCAAAUAUAUAUAUAUAUAUAUGAGAGAGAAAAAGAGAGAAGGGACAAUGCUACCACUUUUCCACACUUGUGCAUAUUAAGCACCAUGAUCUUCAUGAUUGAGAGUCUCUCGUUUUGUCACCAUCAUAUAGCUAGUGGGAAAUUCUCAUUAUAUAACUUGGCUUGUAUAUUCCAAUAAUAGGUUUCCUCAAAAUUGCCUUAGUUCUUCGUGAGCAAGCAAGUUGGAUGCACACCCACUAGUUUUCUUUAAGAGCUUUCACAUACUCUUAGCUCUAGUGCAUCAUUUGUAUGGCAAUCCCUACUCAUUCACAUUGAUAUCUAUUGAUGAGCAUCUCCACAGCUCAUUGAUAUGCCUAGUUAAUGUGAUUAUCUUCUCCUUUUUUUGUCUUGCAACCUCCACCACACUCCACACCACUUAUAGUGCUAAAACCAUGGCUCACGCUCAUGUAUUGCGUGAGAGUUGAAAGGGUUUGAGAAAGUGAAGGUGUGAAACAAUUACUUGGCCAAUACCGGGGUUGUGCAUGAUUUAAAUUCGUUGUGCAAUGAUGAUAGAGCAUAGCCAGACUAUACGCUUUUGUAGGGAUAACUUUCUUUUGGCCUUGUUAUUUUGAAAGUUCAUGAUUACCUUGCUAGUUUGCUUGAAUUAUUAUUGUUUCCACGUCGAUAGCAAACUAUUGUUUUGAAUCUAAUGGAUCUGAACAUUCAUGUCACGUGAGAGAAGUUACAAAGUACAACUAUGCUAGGUAGCAUGCAACAUCAAAAAUUCAUUCUUUAUCACUUCCCUACUCGAGGAUGAGCAUGAGUUAAGCUUGGGGAUGCUUGAUACGUCUCCAACGUAUCUAUAAUUUUUGUUGGUUCCAUGCUAUUAUCUUGUCAACUUUGGAUGUUUUAUAUGCAUGAAUAUGCUAUUUUAUAUCUUUUUGGGACUAACCUAUUAACUUAGUGCCAAGUGCCAGUUUCUGUUUUUUCCGUGUUUUUGGCCCAUUUCCACACGGAGUCCAAAUGGAAUGAAACUUUACGAUGAUUUUUUUGGACCAAAAGAGACCCCCGAAGCUUUGGAAGAAGGCCAGAAGAGCCACGAGGGAGUCACAAGCCCCAAAGCCGCCACCACCCCCCUAGGUGGUGGCGACCAGGCUUGUGACCUCCUCGUGGGCCCAACCGACGUAAUUCCACCGCCAUAAAUUCCUAUAAAUUCAGAAACCCCCAAAAAGAAACCUAGAUCGGGAGUUCCGCCGCCGCAAGCCUCUGUAGCCACCAAAAACCAAUCUGGAGCCCGUCCUCGCACCCUGUCGGAGGGGGAAUCCAUCUCCGGUGGCCAUCUUCAUCAUCCCGGCGAUCUCCAUGACAAGGAGGGAGUAGUUCUCCCUCGGGGCUGAGGGUAUGUACCUGUAGCUAUGUGUUUGAUCUCUCUCUCUCGUGUUCUUGAGAUGUCUUGAUCUCGAUGUACCAUGGGCUUUGCUACUAUAGUUGGAUCUUAUGAUGUUCUUCCCCGUAUCCUUCUUGUAAUGAAUUGAGUUUCCCCUUUGGAGUUAUCUUNUACAAGGAGAAGGUUGUGUAGUAGACAUCAAUGGCGCGAGACACAUGACGUCGAUCUAUCCAGGUUUAGGGCCCUCCGGUGAGGUAAAACUCCUAGUCCUGCCGGUGUGACUAUAUGAGAUCACAAUUCAAUGGUUCUCCUUGAGCUGUUCGUGAGGAGGGAGACGAAGUUCUCACUGCCUCGGUGGUAUGUGUCUAAGGAUUCACUAGUUUUCUCCUCCCCUUCUCUCAGGGGACUGGGGUUGGGUUUUAUAGUGCAACCAAAUGUAUACAAUAAUGGGUAGAAACGGAGUGUGGGGUCCGGCCUUCAGCCUCUCCGGCUGGCCGUGGGGCCCGUCGGUUGUCGGGUCUUGUCCUGCGCGGGUCCCGCCGGACGUGUGACGCAGAGGAUAACGCGCCGGCCGUCAGGGAGUUGGUAGGGGUAGGCCCCAGCUACACGGCCGCCUCGCCCGGUCAGCCUAGGGCGUGACCGGUGGCGCUGUAGCCACGUCGAGCCUUGCAUCAUGACGCCUGUAGCCGCGCUAGGUCUAUCAACGCGCACUAUAGCCAUGCACGCCCCUCUGCUGAGGGUAUGCUCUUGUUCGCCGUAUGUUAGUCGGCCGGAUGGGAUGGGCGUUGACCCGUCGACUGCUGCCAGUCGGCCCGCCGUGCGCUGGCCAGGCGGGCCGCCUGUGGCUAGUCAACCAAGGGCGCCUAGCCGGACGGGUCAAACGCCGCUAGCCGAACUGUCACACAGUGGCUAGGCGAACCGCUUGUAGCCAGCCGGCCUAGGGGGGCCAGCCAGCCCGAAUGUCAAGUAGAUGGAUUCCCUCCGCUUUGGUAUACCCAGGGGCCAUAUCCCCGUCAUUAAAACUUAGCCAUUGCAACUUUGUGUACUUCGUUUAUCUCCAAUGACCAGACCAAGACCGCUUUCGGAUCCUCACCCUUAACAAUACUUCAUAUGUAUUCACAAUAUUCAGAUUGCUUUUAUCAUAUUCUUGCUUGUUCUUCGAUUGCUUGGAGGAAGAGACCUUCAUGAUGAGGUUGAUCGUGCUCCCGCGUGAUCAAUAAUCUCUUGAAGUUGGUUUAGUGAUUGCUAAGGCGCAACGUCGUGCACAUUUGUAGUCGGAUCGUCAAAGUCGUCUCCACCAAAUCGGUAGCCACCAUCUCUUUGAAAGAUCGGGACACCCUUGCCUCUAUCAUCUUCAAAUUAGAACACAUAAUGCAUUAAAAGUUGAAUGGGAGAGCUCCUUAAAAAAUUAUUGAUCCAAUCAAAAUCAAUUAACACGACUCUAAAUCAAUGAUCUCAAUUAAUUAUGAGGUCUUACAAAAUAUAAAUCAUAGUGUAUAAUAUACUAAAAAAUUUAAUUAGAGAGUUUUGAAAAAAUUGUUGACCCGUUCAAAAUCAGCUCACACAACUCCAAUUAAAAACCUCAAUAGAAUACGGCCUUCAUAAAACCUCAAUUGAAUAUUUCCGUAACAUAACACAUCACAAGGCAAAAUGAACAUAUAUCUAAAUAACAAAAAUACUUGCAUAAUAUCAUACAUAUAAUAUUAUUUAAUAUGAAGUUAUUAAUAUGGACUAAUAACAUAUGGAUGCUACUAAUGCAAGUUAUUUUCUACUAUGACGAGCCUCAUCUUGAGUGGUUUCUUUGCUUCCAGUCAAUCCCAACAAUGUCUUCACCAGUCCGGAUCCGUCGACUGGGGGGUCGUCCCGUGCAGAGUGGAGGAGGCAAUAGCGGUUCGCGUUGCACUCCGCCGCUCGCGCGAGGACAGCGCCUGACCGACAGAAGGAUUUGUCCGCCGCGACUCUGUAGCAUCUGCACAAAGGGUGCUCGGCUCCUUUGGGGAAUGGCCGGACUACCACCAAAGGUGGAGAAAGAGGUGAGCGGCGAUGAGGACAGUUGUGGCGACGAGAAGAUCCGGCUCGAUCCGUACUGCGUCUUCAACCGGUACUUCCACGACAAGACGGCAAGGGUGUCGGGAAGAACAGAGGCAGCCGUAGAUGAUCUUCACCAUAGCCAAACAUGUAAAAUUUUGAUAGUCCGAUGACAUGUUUAACAAUGAUGGAGUAACUGGACAAUGUGUGUGCGUCGACGUAGUAGUUCGUCUGCGGACGUUUGAAAGAUCGGAUUUGAGGAGUCCGGAGAUGCUCUAAGGCAGAGAAUACACCUAAGUAGCUAGUGGUACUACUUCAGAUGAGGAAGAAAAUGUUAACUAAAUUCCAAAUAUACUGCCGUGCCAUCACACUUUGACAAACACGCACGGCCUUUUUUACACAUAGCUCUAGGUGGCUGCGCCCCUUUCUACUGCAUAUCGAUCAUCUACCAAGAAGAUAUGCACCACUCGAUCUAUAGGGAUCAUGUCACGGCCUUCAAUGGCGGCAUUCGAGCGCACAUUCUUCGGCUCAAGUUGCAUUGUCUCUACGCCACCAUCGAGUGCGCCGUAGAAAACCGAGAUAUAGCGAUCUCCCUGAUAUCUCCGCUUUUGCAAUCCCCAUAAAUAAAUAAUAAUUCAUGUUUGCGAAUGAUGAAGUGCCUGCAAUUUUUACUUCCUGCAUAUCAUAAUAAUUAUAGUGCAAGAAAACUAGUAAACUAGUUCUUUCAACUAUAAUUAUUAUGUUUUUCCUUAACAAUAAUUAUUAUGAUAUACUCCCUUCGUUCUUAAAUAUAAGUUUUUUUAAAGAUUUCACUAAUAGAGUAUAUACGGAUGUAUAUAGACAUACUUUAGAGUGUACAUUGAAUCAUUUUGCUCUGUAUGUAGACCUUUAGUGAAAUCGCUUAAAAGACUUAUAUUUAGAAACGGUGAAAGUAAAUGGAGUAUAAUCAAUUCUACUUCCUCUAAGUCUGAAGGUGAGGACAACACAACCACACAACGCCGCAGUGACAAGCGUUGACUCCGGAUGAGGACCUCGUUGGAGACGGGGACGAUGUUGUGACUAUCAGUGUCUCAAUUGGAAAAAGGGCACACAUGAGAUGAAUUAACAAUACUACCUCCGUUACGGUUUAGAAGACACAUUGAUCACGGUUUAGAUUUCCAGUAUUUUACGGGCAAGAAGAGGAAAAUGAAAAAAAAAUUAAGCAUACAAAUAAAAACAAGAACAAAUGAGAAAAGAAAAAGAAAUGGUGUGUAUUAUCAUUAGAAGGCCUCGCCAUCAGUGAAAAGAAAGAAAGAAAACAGCACUAUCAGUGGGACUAGGGUUAGCUAUAAUUCACAGACUGGAGAGCUCAGACCAUGACGGCAAGUAAAAUGAAUUAAAGGGAGUAGUUUAAUUUGCGUAGAAGAAUAAGAGAUGUGAUCAGCUGAGAAAUGAUGAGAUUAAUCAAGAGGCAAAUCGAAUGAUGAUUUUUCCAACAGGUUUUAUUAGAUAAAAUGUUUGGUCAUGUCUCUAGCCAUUCCAAGAACCAAACUAAAAUAUCCUAAAAUAAAAAUAAAAUAAAAUAACAGUACUAAUAGAUUCUAGCCCAGCAUUUAUUUUUGCACCGAUCUGGACCAAGGGCAGACAGCAGGAUAGUGGUACUAGGAUACAAGGCUGGCACUAUAGAACGUGCAUGGACGUGACGCGAUGUACACAUGUACUGAUCAGGUCGGUGCAUGCAUGCGUGUGACUCAGCGCGAUGGCCCCCUCUUUACAACGCCAAAGGUACGCUUGCCCUCGUGGCCUUGCCAGCCCUCUCCCUUGGCCCUUUUCCCCAAACAUAUCAAAGAAAACCAAACCCGUAAACAUAGCAGUUUGGACCUUAGCCUCCGUGCAUGCGUGGCCACCACCCUAAUUUCGAUACAGCGAUCACCGUACGCAACUUGCUUGCAUCUACAGUACGUACCAGUACUAUAGUUUUGCAAUAGUAUAUUCCCAACCAAGAUCAGAAUGAUGCAGAUCAGUGUUUUGAUUCCUCGAUUUCAUUUUAUUUUCCUGCGUGACGCAAAAGGGCUGCUCGCUUUUGCGUCCUAGCUGUGAAUCUUGUGACCGUUUUGCCCUCCAGAGCCACUAUAUAAGCCCCUCUACCGCAGCACAUUUGCUUCACACAACACAGCCGAUCGCAUACUCUGAUCUGAUCAGUCGCACCAAACCGAGCUAUAGCAUCAGCUCGUCGGAGUUCGGACCGGUCGACUCGGAACUCGUCAUCAAUGGCCGCCGUCCAGGUAGACUGCUCAAUACUGCUUCGUUGCGUUUCGAUCAUGUAGCUUUUGACCUGCUGCCACGGUGCCAUGCCACCUCGAUCUCUUCUGGCACGAGCAACCUGAUCACACGUACGCUGCGUACUGGUACUUCUCUGACAUGAAGGCGUGCAUCAAUGUAAACGCAGGUCCACGCCGCAACCCACGCCAUGCCCGUCGAGGAGGCUCCGGCGCCGGCGGUGGUGGAGGCUGUCGAGCCGGCCGUCGUCGUUGUCGAGGAUACUACCGUGGCGGUGGAGGUCGUCGAGCCGGCCGUCGUCGCGGUCGAGGAGGCUACGGUGGCAGCAGUGGAGAUUGUCGAGCCGGCCGUCGACACAGUCGAGGUGGCAACGGCUGAGGCUGUCGAGCCGGCCGUUGUCGCUGCCGAGGAGGCCGUGAAGGAGGAAGUUGCUGCGCCGGCCGUGACCGAGCUGGCGAAAGAGCCCGAGGCAGCUCCAGCGGAGACCAAGGAGGCCGAGACAGAGGUUGUCCAGCCGGCCGCCGCCGCUGAGGAGGCCCCUGUCACGCCGACAGUGACCGAGACCAAAGAGCCGGAAGCUGCCCCUGCCGAGGGAACAGAGACCGAAGUGGUGGAGCGUGAGGCAGCACCGGCUGAGGCCGAGACCAAGGAACCAGAGAAAGAAGCUGCUCCGGCCGAGACCGAGACCAAGGAACCAGAGCAAGAAGCUGCUCCGGCCGAGACCGAGACCAAAGAGGCAGAGCCAGCCGCUGCCGAGGCCGAGGCCAAAGAGCCGGUGGCAGAGGAGACACCGGCCAAGGAGGAGGCCGCUGUGGCAGUGCAGGAGGAAGCAGCAACUACGGAGGCACCUGUGGAGGCUGCCGUGGCAGCCGAAGCAGCCGUGGAAGAGACAGAAGCACCAGCUGCUGCUGCCGACGUCGAGGCCAAAGCGCCGGUGGCGGAGGCACCGGUCCAGGAGGAGGCAGCGCCCGCAGCCACCGCCGCCGAAGCGUCUUCCGUGCAGGAGGAGGCGGCACCGGCCGAGGCACCCGUGGAUGCACCCGCUGCCGCCGAGGCGGUGCCGGCAGAGGCACCAGCUGCUCAGGCUGCCGCCGCCGCCGACAAGGCCGCCGAGUGAGUUGAUGCGCGCGGGUGCGAUCGUGCUCCUGAGCUAGCCUUUGCCUGGCUUCGCCGUGCGCGUGCCGUGGCAUUGCCAUGGCACGGUACCUUAGUUCGUUUAUUAUUGGAUCCGUAUGUGUGGGCGUAUUUCGUGAGUGGUUGAUCGUCGUCGCGUGGGUGCGCAAUGUACGUCACGUAGCUGCGUACAUGGUCUAGCUAGCAGUCGUAUGUGUGUCGUUCUCAGUUGGCUUCAAUAAUGUGUCAGUGGCGUUCCGGGUCCCACUGUCAGUGAUGUCAUGGGGUCACUGGCUUUGGAGGCUGUUUUCGUCUCUUUGUUUUUUGUUUUUUGUGUUGGUUAAUACAUGCACUAGCUAUUUAUUUGUAUACUGUAUAUGUUGGUACUCCAUCCGUAAAAGAUUUUUGAGUUUUUUUUCCUUUGAGAACCCCUCCGUAAAGAAAUACAGUAUAUGAGUGUUUAGAUCACUAAAGUAGUAAUCUAAAUGAUUUUAUAUUUUUUAGAAAGGAAUACUAAAAAGGCUUGUGAUUUGUGUAAUGCCUCAUCUAUGGGGUCCAUGAUCUGAGCUGCAAUUUAAAAUAAUUAAUUCGGACAUACAUAU
rnacentral:lncRNA from 1 species